rnacentral:lncRNA from 1 species
UAGUAGAGAUGGUAAAAAAUUUGACACUACUUGUGACUCUUCUGUUAGCAGGUUGUGAAGAGGUUUCUCUAGUCUUAUUAAAGAGAUCGGUUAAUUGAUGCAAAUCCUCAAUAACACUCAUUAGCUUGCAUGAACCUCACCAAAUUUGGAUUGCAGGUCAAUGAAAUUUGAACCAGCACUUUUUCCCAUGUGAAGGUCAAUCCAAACUUGAUCCUGGCCUUAGCUCAACCAAGUAUGAAAAUUCAAUUCUAGGGCUUUGCUUGUUUAGAGCACUAAAUUGAACAAGAAAAAUAUGGAAACAAUUCAGGAAACUCCCACCUUUCUGGUUUCAGAAUUCACAUCAGAAGGCAACCGCAGCCAAGCUGAGUAGAGCAAGGACUCAUGGACGGUAACAUGAGGAGAGUGGAUAUCAUUCUGCUCACAGUAUCCAGAAAUUCGAGCAAAAGUCUCUUGCUUCUUUGGGUAGCCAGAAAUGGUGAUCUUACCCUCAAUAUAUCCACCAGUUUUCCGACCAGCCAGUACAUCCAUGAGAGUGGUUUUACCAGCACCGCUAACACCCAUCAGAGCUGUAAGAACACCAGGCCUGAAAGCACCACUCACCCCCUUCAGAAGCUCCAGUCUGUCUUCAAGGGCACCCUGACUUUUCAUUUCCUGCAAGUUCAUUUCAAAUUACUCAGUUCUCAUUUUUGGUUUUAUAGUACAUUAUGAAGAAACAUAUGUCGUCAUUUAAAUAAAUAUGACGUUACCUCUGGCAUGUCAACGGAGUAUCUAAUAUCAUCAAAGGUGAUAGAAUGUGGUUGGAAUGGAAGAACCAUUCCUUUCUUCUUAUUAUGUUUAGCCUCAGCAAUGGCUUCUACCAUUUCCUCUCCCCUCUCUGCAUUUCAAGUUUAAAUUCAAUGAGCCAUAUAAAACAUGUAGUUAAAUGACAAGAACUGAGUCGCACAAUGGCAUGCAUGCAUGCACCAUGUUUGAGUUUCAUCACCUGUGGUUGCAGUUUUGGCAUUGUCAGACUCUUCUGUUAUAACAGCUUGAUGAUUCUCAAAUGCUGCGCAAUUUGCAACAUGUUAGUACACUAAGCUCAUAUUUUUAGGAGUUUCAAUGCAGAGAAGGUAGAGACACCCACGAUUUAGGUAAUUGAGGCACAGAGUGUAAAAGAAGUUGAACACAAAUAUGAAUCCAAGCAGUGCCCCAGCUCCUAUCCAGUACCAGUGUGCGUCUGUGGAGAACCCACGAGACUUCAAUACUGUAACUCCAAGGGAUUCUGUUGAAUCGGUAACAUUCUGAAAAAGGGAAAUACAUACAAUCAUCAGUUACUGACACACAUAAAUAAACACAGAUAUUCACAUGGAACAUUCAAGAACUUACUUUGCUCCAACUCUUCCCAAGGAAUUCAUUUACCACUAUUGCAUUCUGUGCAUACAUCAGAGGGGAAGACCAGUAACCCCAAAUCCACCAUUUCUUGACAUUAUCUGCAGCAUUGACCAAAUAAAAAAGGAAACAAAAAUUCAUUAUUAGGGGUUAUGCGCAAGAAGGUUCUAUGCUUCCUAAAAGAAUAUUUCCUCAUCAUACCAUGUGACAGGAUAAAACCACCCGAUGCCAAGAGCAUAAGUAAAGCAAAUGCCCCAAAUGUGUUUGCAACAAUCAUGUUUCUACCAGCUGCUGCUAUAAAUCGAAAUAAUCCAGAUGCCAUCUGAUUAACAAGCAAGAGGAGAAGAUACUGUCUAAACAACCUGCAAUAAGGAGAUUUGUUUAUUCAGCAUUAAUCAUUUUGGAACAGAGAAAACAUGUAAAAGAAAUCUGGAUAAGUUUCUGCAACUUCAUAACUUUUUCACUUUUACCUUUCCACAUUUGGAUCAAAUCCAAUGACAUAGUAAGUGAUGAACACCCAAACAGCAACUUCAACAAAUGUGAUGGGGAUCUUGAGCACCCAUGAUGGAAGAGCAUAUGCCCAUGCAGGAUAGAAGAGUAGGUCUCUUUGCUUGUAAAAUACGGGAAGUUUUGCAAUUGCCAUGGCAAGUUCUGCCAUUCCAUUAAACAUGAUCAUGACAACAGUGAAGAACAAAGCACCGGUGUAAAUGCUUCCGUCAUCUGUUGAAUUUUUGUGCAUCUCAGUUCUUAGGAAGAGUGUCAUUGCAAUCACUGCCAUUACUGCAAGCUAAAAACAGAAAUAGAAAUAAUAAAAUUACGAUCACAUAUAGAAAAUUAAAAGCCAUUGUUACAAGUAACAAUAAUAAUAAUAAUAAUACUCACUUGGGUGAGCUUGAAAAUAUAGACAAAUGAGUUCCUCUUCAUCAGCAAGUACUCUCUUGACAUGUUGGCAUCCAACAGUACCUUCUUUCUAACACCAUACUUCUUUGUUGUCAAAGCAGCUGGGUGGCUUUUGGCCUUGUCAAAUGGUGAUGCCAGCUCAUCUGCUACUUUCCGUCCAAUGUGAAAUGACUGGAAUGCCUCAGCAAAUUCCUUGACCGUGACAAAACUGUAAGGCUCUUCUUUACGUGCCCAAUACUGGGCCUGAUCUUUCCUAGAUGUUACCUGCAAUGAAGUUUAAAGUUAUGUUCUAGCUCAAUUUUUUUUCUUAAAAAAAAUUUAAAAAAAAAAAGAGAGAUGAAGAUAGAAGAUGCCAAAAGCUACAAAGCUAGAUUUGCACUCACUUCUUGCAGAAAGUCUGCCACACCCUUCCUUGCAGGACAUUUGAAGCCCAUGGAUUCAAAAAAUUCAAGCACAUCUUCACGAGGACCCUGAUAAACAAUCUGACUAUCAGAGAGGAGAAUGAUGUCAUCAAAAAGAUUGUAAGUCUCAGGUGCUGGCUGGAGGAGAGAGAUGACAGCAGUCCCGUUGAGAAUGUGGAUGGUUUGCUUGAGAGAAUUGACAAUUUGAUAAGUUGUUGAGCUGUCCAAGCCAGUAGAGAUCUCAUCCAUGAACAGUGCCUUUGAUGGUCCUACCAGCAUCUCACCUAUCAUUCAUACAUUUCACAUAAUUGAAUUAAAUUAAAUUAAUGAACAAAAAAAAAUCUAAUUGAUUUGUUUUUUCAUUUAGUUGGAAACCAAAUUAUCCUGCCUGUUGUGACACGCUUCCUUUGUCCUCCAGAGAUACCCCUUAUCAUCUCAUCUCCUACCAUGGUAUCUGCACAGAUGUCUAGUCCCAGAAUCUGUAGAUUUAAAUGUAAAAAAAAAAAAAAAAAAUUAUGAAUUAGAAUUGGGUUUUCUCACAAAUCUAUAAGCUAUCAUUGAAAGUUUCAUGGUUAUAAUACCUUCAAUGUAUAAUCAGUGACAACAUUUUCCUUCUGACCUUCUGUUGCUGCUGCCUGAAAUAUUGGAAUCCAAUGAUGAAAAUGUCAACCACCAUGCAAGCAACUUCAGUACAUUAAGAAAUUUCAUAGAUAAAAGAUUCUGACAUAGCAUAAAAUUCACAAAUUAGAUUGAUUCAAGCCAUUCAUUUGAGUAAAAAAAGAAAGAAACAAACUCCAGAACAGACAGAACACCGACAAUACAAAGCCAUUUUGCCUAUCUAUGUCAGAAUUCAAAAUUUAAUUUAUGGAAAAGAGUAGUAUCCAUGUUCACUGAAAGCAAAUAGCUCAAUUUUCUGCAGAACUGAUUAAAAUUUCACUAAAAGUAGAUUCUGUCUUACCUUCAUGAGACAUCAAGAUCAGGAUCAGGCUUAUUAUUUGCUGCUUUNNNNNNNNNNNNNNNNNNNNNNNNNNNNNNNNNNNNNNNNNNNNNNNNNNNNNNNNNNNNNNNNNNNNNNNNNNNNNNNNNNNNNNNNNNNNNNNNNNNNACAUCAAGAUCAGGAUCAGGCUUAAUAUUUGCUGCUUUCUCUCUUCUUGACAGCUCUGCUAACAUGUCUGAGGAUGGCAAAAGUAAGAGUCAAUCUCCUAGGCUAUGCAAAUGUCAUAUAACCACAUUCACAACCUGCAAAAAGCAGAGAAAUAAAAAGCAAAGGCAAUGGUUUAGACUAACCAUAUCGAUCUCCAACACCCUGGCAUCUUGCAGAGAAUGCCAAGGUUUCCCUUACAGUCAUUUCUCCUAUAUGGGUAUCAUGUUGGCUGAUAUAAGCUGCAGUUCUCUGGGGUACAAACUCAUUCAUGCUGUGACCGUUGUAUGUCACCCUUCCCGUAACCUAAAGAAGGAAUUUCAGUUUUUAAGUUGGAUAUGAGAUUAAAGAAAUAAAAAAUCAAACAUUCGAUAGAGAAUCGGGGAGUGAUAAUCAUUUUCUUUCAACCUUUAGAUUGGGAUCAAGCUUUCCAGCCAAUGCCAAUAAGAGGGUGGUCUUUCCAGAACUUGGAGGACCUAAAAGCAACGUCAUUCUGCAGAAGAAAAAUAUGCACAAAAAUCAUGAUCAUGGAUCUUCAGGACAUUCUAAAUUUGGAGAACGAAAAAUUCAUUUGAGUUAUCAAUCCAUUUUUAAUUACUAGAAACAAAUUCAUGCUCACCUGCGAGGUUUGAUGAUUCCACUAACAUCAUUGAGAAUAGUGCAUUUCUUCUUUUUACUUGGAAGAAUGUGGACAGCGUUCAGGAUGCCCUUUGGAAAAGAAGGGAAAAUUAGAAUCUAAAAACAAACUUACCUAAAAGAAUACUAAGUACAUAGCUAAUGAUCAGCAUUUGCAUGUAGUUACCUCAAGUUUAUUAAAAAUGAAAUUAUGGAAUGAAGGCAAAGCUCUGCUUCCUACAAAAGCUUCUGCAUCGAUGGUAAGAUGCUCAAAUCUAACUUCAAUUUCGGGAACAUCAACUCCAACUCUGAAAAAUGGAAGAGACAUGAAAACCCAUUAUCAAAAAUUCAAAGGAAGAUGUUGGAUGCGGAGAAAUGUGGGAAACGCCUAUGAGGCAUAUUUCAGGUAAAAUUUUCAAUGUUCAAAAACAAUUGGCAAGGAAUGCAAGAGAGGAGGAGAAAUCUCACCUAUCGAUACGAUUCUUAAGCUUCAACAAGAAUUUCUCAUUGUCCUCUUCGGCAAUUUUUACCAACCUCUCCACUAAAUUCUUCUUUUCCUGAAACCCAAGGUUAUGUAUAUCAAUUUCACUGGCCUCACCCUCUGAUCCCAUCAGCAAACCUUUCCUCAACCGAUUGUAGGUGGGAAGUUUCUCGAGUGCGGCCCAUUUCAAAGCUUCCUCAUCAUCCUCAUCCCUCGAAGAUUGAGAGAAAACAUCCGCACCCGAGUUCCUCCAUAUCGAAGAACCGUUCCUCCGAAAACUACCACUGGCUCUAUAAAUGUCAGCAGUGGCCAUUGCAACCUGAAACGAAAAACCCUCCUGGAAGACCAACCAAAACCCACAAAAACCCAGAACCGUUUCCUCCAAAGUUUGGGAGAGAAGCUCAAAAAUCAGAGAUGCGUCUCCUCCCUCUCUCUUCUCUGCAUAAAAGUACCUUUGUAUUGCUAAUAUUUGAUGCCUAUAGAGUGGAGGGUUUAUAUAGUGAUGGGUAGAGCAGAAAAUGGGGUGGCUUUCAAGUUUUCAAACUUCUUGAUUUCCCGUGACUCUAUUAAAAAAUAAGCGGACAAUUUGAAUAUAUAAGAGGCUGCGCAAUGACCCCAUGAUAUAACGAACAAGGAGAUGCCACCAUUUUUUACCUGUCAAAUUCUUAAAUAAAACACUUCCAGCGUCUCUCAAUAGGGAACGUGAUUUAUUACAAGCUGUCCAACCCGCUACAUCAACUAACUUUGUCUUUUCAACCGUUGGUCCGGGUUGGUUCCAGGUGGACCCAAAUCCGCCAAAACUACAAAUGUAAGUUAUGUUUUGUUUUGUAUUUUUUUAAAAAAAACUGUUGAGUACAUUUCCCCUCCAACUCUCCUACCCCCCACAAACUUGAGUUCUAAAAUUUAAAUAAAUGACUUUUUAUGUUUAGAUAUUAUAAAGAAAAGUUAAGGAAAAACUGCCACAUAUCGUGUCACAUUCUAUAACAAUAAUAGUAAGUUCCAACGGUCAAGUCAAUCAUGGGAAAUAGAAGGUGAAUUUUUUUGUGUGUGUACUUCCUUUAGAGAGGGUUGUUUCGAUUUCUCGUUUGUUGUUGGAUGGAAUUUUGUCAUAGAAACUGAGUUUUUUACAAUUGAAAUCCUUGCACUUGGGGAUUUGGCAUACUUUCAAAUAUCAUGUUUGAAAUCCUUGCACCAUUUUUGACCAUUUUCUUUUGAGUUUACCUUUUCUGGUGUCAGUAGACCAUUGCCUAUGUCAUUUUUCAAGUUUCUUUACGUUUGUGGAUUUUCGUUUUAGUUUCUUUUUUAAUAUGUAUGACAAAGUGGUUUAGAAAUGUAGAAGAUAGAUUAACUCGUGUUUCUAACAUGCAAUCCCUUCCACCUAACCACUUUAAUUACCACACCACCAGUAACACAACCAAUGGAAGAGACACAUGCUGAGUAUAGCCUUGCUCUAGGCCAAGACCAAAGGUUAGGCCAUGGAAGUGCUAAGAAUGAAGAUUCUGCAUACACAAUUUCAGACUUUGAGAGACUAUUUUCAAGCCACAAGGAUCAAUCCACCCUUUUGUAUUAUUUUACCAUAUAAUGUAGUUGGAAUACAAGUCAGACCCCAGAUGGUGCAAUUCUUACACCAAUAUUACGAGAUGGAGGGAGCCUAAUUGUAACACUGACCACUUAAAGCUAGAACUAUUUUCUUUCUCAUUGAAAGAAAAAGCUAAGCAUUAGGGAGACCUAGGAGUAUUAGUUCUUGGUAUGAGUUGCAAAUAGCUUUUCUAAACUGAUUCUUUCCUGCUCAAAAGGUCACAGUGCUAAAGAGGCAGAUUCUGAACUUUUGUUGUAAAGGAAAGAAAGUUUAUAUGAAUGUUGGGAUAGAUUCAAAGAGUUGUUGAUGAGAUGUCCUCACCACAGAUUUGAAAUAUCUUAGAUAUUAGUUUCUUCUUUUUAUGAGGGAACUUCUCUCCAGAUGAAGCGAACAAUAGAAAUUGUGGUGUAGGAACUUCAUGACUCAACAACCAAACCAGGAUUAAGAUUUUUGUAGUAUGUUGCUGAAAAAUCUAGAUCCUAGGACAUUCCAAUAUCCCAACUCCUUUCAGAUUCAGCACAGUAAGCCCCACCUCAAGUGGAGGAAUUUUAAAAUUCAAUACAGAAAAUAAUUUACAAGCGAAAAUGUUUGUGUUAACUAAGACACUUGAGGAGUUGAAAACAAAAAAAGGCAAAGGAAACUAGGACUAUCAAUGAGGUUUCUACCUCAUUUGAUAUGUGUGAAGGACCUCAAAAUAUAGAAAUACAACCUAAACCAGUGCACGUUGUAGGGCAGCUUAGAAGUCAAAAACUCAUCUAAUCUAGAUGUUUUUCUUGUUAAAAGUAUGUCUUUAGCUUCUGUUGCUAGGAUCUAGAGGCUUAGGAAGAAAAUAAUGCACCUAACCUAGUAUUGGGAUAGGGAAGAGAGAGAUCUAGUAUUCCUUAUGUACGUAAGGGCUCUCUUGUGCACCUUUCAGGUGUGUUGUACCAAAUUGUGCACCCACUUAGGCAACUUAAAUUGUGCACCUCUUAAGUCAUGUGUUGGAACAAAUUGCACACCCCUUCUCCAAAGCCACUAGAAUGCCCAAGCAACAUACCUCCUCAAGACUUGAAAUGUGUAACUCUUCCACUAAUAAUAAAGCGCACCCCUAGAGGUCAUUGAAACCCAUGCACUAGUCCUACGUUUGCAAAGGUUGAACACUAGAUAAUUCUUCCAAUGAUUGGUACACUCACCAAAGUAGUGCAUUCAUUCACACCUCAAGUCUUCAAUUAUACUACCAAAACUCACCCCAUGUUGAUUACAAAAAAAAAAAAAAAAGAGGUACAUGUACCAACCCUAAGGUAAUACAUCAAGGGUGAUGAUUAGUUAAUUGUACUUGCACAAACAAGUAUAGUGACAUUGGAAUAGGUGGAACAAGAGCUCAUUUUGCCCAUAAAAAGAGAACUAUGAAUAUACAAGUAGAUUUCUCUUACGAGUAGGAGUAACUUAAAGUGGUUUUAGCUUUUAGUUGGAAUUUUUCAUUUUUUCUUUUUUGGUAACCUACAUAUGGGAGGCCUCAACUUAGAUAACCUUUAGCACUCCAAGGGGUAAGAGGAGUUGAAGUCUCCCAUAUGUAGGGAAUCUCGGAUCACUUUGUUCCCUAUCUUAGGACUAGGUUAGGUGCAUGAUUUUCUUUCUAUUCCACUAGAUCCUAACAAUGGAAGCAAAAUACAUACUUUUUAACAAAAAAGAUAUAAAUUAAUGCAUUUGGGAAACUUUACCUUUGAUUUGGACAUUCCCAAAUUAAAUCCUUUUGGUAAAGAUGAAGUCUCUAAAGUCUCUAGAGAUCUUGUAUACCCACAUUAAUCUUCUAACCUUGAUCCUUGACAUACAAAUGAUGGGUUGUUUAGGAGGUUGGAAGCUAAGACUCUCUCUAUUUGGAUGGUGGAAGACUAAAAGUUAGAAACCCUAACCCCUAAGGAGGUAUUUAUAAGGUUCCCCACUAGGCUUAAAUGACUUAAGCCUAUUAAGGGCUUAAGUCAUUUAAUUUAACAUAAAAAAAGUCCUAAUUAAUUAAUUAAUCCAAUAGUAUUGUUCAACUAAUCAAUUAGCUCAAUCUAAAGAUGUUGUUCACCAACCCAUAUGCAACCUUGUGAAAUUACCAAAAUAUCCUUAUGCACAUAAAUGAAUAAAGAGCUAAUCCAAUCCUCAUAAAUCAUGUCAUUAAGGUACAUGAGCUCGAGUGGGGACCAUUAGGACUUAAAAGAUAGUAGUAACUCCCUAAGAAUCCAAUUCUAAAUUUUAUUUAAUAUCCCAUUACAAAAAAAUCAACUAUAAUCCAGUACUGUAUAUAAAUAACAAUGAAACACUAAGUACUCAUGUUCGUGUCCUACCAUCCAUUGCAUACAGUUUCCUCAUGAAUUGGUAUUUAUAGCCUAAUAAAGUGAAAACUAUCAACCUCUUAAGACUACCUCUAUCAUUCAAUUACAAAUCUUUUUAUUGUGUGAUCAAUUGACAUAUCCUAGCUCAUAAAAAGCUUAAGCUAAGUUCCACUUAAGGAACUACUAUGGUCAUAUAUAGUUUACCUGAACACACAUCCUUAUGAUCACUUAAAAUAACACAUUGUCUCAAAGUUCAUAAGAUAUAUAUCAUGGUGUCUAUCAAGAAAACCUAUUGCUACUGACUUCCAUCAAUAGUGACCCAAUCUAUAAGAAAUAUAUGAUCACUUUAAUAUAUCUUCUAUAAGUCAAAGCCAUUGCUAUUUUGGCAUAAGUUUAGUAUUCUCUCAAGGUUAAAAAAAUAACAUAAUAAAAUAGCUUGGUGAAGUUAUGACAACUUGAUAGCAUUAUGUCAUGACUCACCAUAGGUUCUAUCCAAUAUGUAACCAUACACACUAGUGCAAAACCUUAUCCUAAUGACUAAGACCAACUAUCCCUUCAAUUAGGAAGUAGUACACUACAAUCUCUAAUACGUUGUCUAAGUUUAUUAUGUGAUCAACUAACAUACUCUAACUCCAAGGAGCACAUGUCAAAUUCCACUAAAGCAAUUACUAUGGCCAUAAAUUUCAUGAUCACAUAUCCUUUGAAUCACUCAAGAUGACACAUUGUCUCAAUCCCAUGAGAUAUAAUGGUGUCUCUAUUGAGAAUACAUGUUGCCACCAAUCUCCUUCAAUAAUGACCCAAUCCAUGUAUAUAAUGACCACUUUAGGGUCUUACCCAUAGGUCAAAGCCUCUUGUUGAUUUGGCACAAACUCAAUAUCCUCUCAAGGUUAAAAGUCCAUAUAGUAUAGUAGCUUGGUGAAUCAUGAUAAUUGAUAGCCUUGUGUCAUAAUUCAUUAUAGAUCUUGUUCAAUAUGCAUCACAUACACUAGUGCACUCACCAUGAGAAACUCAUCCUUACGGCCAAGAUAAGUCAUCCCUUCAAUUAGGAGGUGGUACACUAUAGUCUCUAUUGGAUUGCCCAAAUCCAUGAACCAAUUGUGGACAACUUAUCUACUUAUAAGGAACCCAUGACUUGUAUCUUCUAUGCAACUCUUAAUGCACCCAAGUUAUGUACAAUGUAAGAGACAUGGGUUGAAUGCUCAAAUCAAUGUUAAUACACCAAAGCGAUAGCAAAUGGAUAAUUAAGUCUAACUUUGUUACAUCAUGGCUUGUUUUUAUGGGCUUAAUCCCAAUAGUUUUGACUUCUUAUUUACAGUAUUUAGUUUCUAUAAAAGAAAUAGGAAAUUUGCAAAUACAAAAUAUUUCUUAUUGUAGCGGUUAUAAACUAGAAAAAUUGUUCGUUUUACCUUUCAAUAGAAGUGUUUACUCUUCUUUUAUACCAUUUGAUUUAGUUCAUUUCCCAAUUUCUACAAAAGGAAAGUCUUGAUAUUAUGUUUCCUUCAUUGAUGAUUAUACUCGUUAUUAUUGUUUUUAUCUUAUGAAACAUUGUUCUUUUUUUUUUUUUAGUAUUCAUAAUGCCUUUUAAGACUUUGUAAAAACUCAACAUUUUAUUGUUAUCAAGUGCUUUGGGUGUGAUUUCAAUGGAAAGUACACUUCCAAUGUAUUUCAUGAAUUACUUGCUUCACAUGGAACUAUUCACCACACUUCUUAUCCUAGCACUAUAGAGUAGAAUGGUGUUGCUAAAAUGAAACAUAGACACAUUGUUGAAACUACUCAUUUGCUCUUAUUAUCUACAUGUGUUCUUACUAAACCUUUAGUUGCUCAUGAUUUGAAAAGUUGUAACGUUAUGCUCUUGAUUACUUUUCCUUAAGAGUCUUUGGUUGUACUUAAUUAUUUUCUCUUUAAUUAGUCCUCAUGUGGAGCAUACUAAGUUAUCUUCUCAUUAUGUCAUUUGUAUUCUUAUAGGGUAUAGAGCAUACUAAGUUAUCUUCUCAUUCUAUUAUUUGUACUCUUAAGUCAUAUCAUUGCUUUAGCUUUUAUUCAUAAUCUUUCUAAGCAUCUACCCUAUAAAGAAGUUUUUCUUAAUCAUCUUUGGCAAUUGGGUAUGACUAAGAAACUUUCUGUUUUACAUGAGAUUAACACUUAGGAUUUGGUACCUUUACCACUUGGUAAGGGUACAAUUUGUUUGUGUCAUGUCCAUAAAAUCAAAACUAAGUUUGUUGGUUCAAUUAAGUGGUACAAAGCCCGAUUAGUUGCUAAAGGGUUCUUUAAAUACUCAUAUUUUACUUUCCCUAUAUGUUGAUGACAUGAUUAUUACAAGUGAUGAUGUUUAUAGGAUUAUAAUUUUAAAAUUAUAUUUGGAUUUUGAUUGGAGCCAAAAUAUGUGCUCUAAUGACACAUAUUCAAUAUAAUUUGUGCACCAAAGGACACUCAAAUCACCCAACUUGACCUAAAUCAAUGGUAAGGUCUUAGCCAUGAGUUUAACUUAUAUUUUGGAUAUUUAUGUCAGAUUCAAGGAAAGAAAAUGGUGCAAGUUGAAUUACUUUAGAUUUUGAAAGACCAAGAAAGGGUUAAAUAAAAAGAUAAGUGAGUCAAAACUCAUGAACCAUGAGGAAAGUCAAGAAGAGGAUAUCGUGAGUUUGAAAGAUGAGAAAUGACCAUUAUGGAGGAAGAAAGAAGGUAAGAAAACAUGGGAAAUGAAGCAUGAAGCAAGAUUCAACUGCAUGGAAAUUUAGAACUCAAAAUCCGGUGGUAACAUAUACUCUAAAUUUAAGGACAAAUUUGGAGUAGUUACUGGAGUCCAUUUUAGACAUACUAUAUAUUUUUUAGAAUCUUGGGAAUUCAGGAGUCUAACGCUUCAAACAGUAUGCAAAUCAGAGUUGAAAUGAAGAAGUUAUGGUCAUUUGAAGACAAUUGCACAAAGUUGAAGAACCAUUUCGAAAUUCAACUUAUGAAUUCGAAAUGACCCCAAUUUCAAAUUCACCCACUGUCACUUUGAUAUUUCACCUCCUCAACUUAUUAUUUUUUUAAAUUAUUUUUAGGUAAUUAUUUUGUAAUAAGUGGCUAAUGAGAGUGUUUUACAUGUUAGGUUUUGAUGAUAUUAUAUAAACUCUCUUAGUUCUAGGGUUUAGAGAUCUUAGAUCUUUUUUCGGAGAGUUUGACAUUGGAGGUGGAAAAAAAUGAGAACUUUGGUUUAUUUUCUUUUCUUCUUUAUUAAAUAUAUUGUUUUUAGUUCUUUUGAUUCAAAUUAUGGAUUUUUAUCCUAUUAUGGAUUAUGAAUGUGACAUUACCCCCAAGAGAGGCUAAAAAGCCAACUUGGGCCUUGAAGCAUGACAACCUAAGGACUAGGAAAUCUAUAGGGACAAUGGGUAAAUUAUUAUAACAAUGAGAUUAGUUAUUGGUUGGGUGACAAUUUAUUAAUUUUUUAUCCUAUCCUUGCGAGUUAGUUUAAGAAAUGAUACAGUAGGUUAUUACCCGAUACUAGUGAUUCUUGGUAACUCUUGAUCAUUAGUUAUCCUCGUCUUCUUUAUCUUUAUUGCCCCAAAACAAAGUUAUAAGGACUAGAAAGUUUUAAAAAGUCAAAUCGAUAAUCGAUAAUCAAUCUCAUUCAUUUCAUAGUUUUAGGAAUCUGUUUUAAAAAGAAAAAAUUAGGCUUCAGAUGCAAUUUUGAGUUAUAGAAUUCAAGUUGAUCGCGAGCAACCAAAGAUCCCAAAACCUUAAGAUCAUAUUACUUAAAAGACCCAAGAUCCCAAAACCCUAAGAUCAAAUUACUUAAAAGACCCUUGUUUUCUCUAACUUCUAUACCCUAAGUUGGAUUGUGGAAAGCCCCAAACUUGAAUCAAUCGAAUUUAAAAUCAAUAUUUAUUUUGUUAUUAAUUUAAUUUCUUUUUACUUAGUUUCACAUUAUUCACAUAUCAUUUUCCACUUUAGGAUUCAAAUAAAAGUAAUUUAUUUACUCUAGUAUUGACAAAUCCCAUAAGCCAAUCCUUGAGGAUGAUACCCGAAAUACUACAAAAGUCAUAGCAGUUUUUUCUUUGAUCUUUAUGGCCAAAGCUACUACAUAUUAGGCUUACGUAUUUUGGUACAAUAGAGAAGUUCGAUCAGUUUCCUAUUUUGAAAAGAAGAAUUUGGGCUCUCUACCAAACUUUUUAGAUAUUGGUGUAGUUUUUUUCUCCGAAAGGUUAUCUUCUCUCACUCUCUAAGUACAUAGUUGAUAUUCUCAAUUACUCGCCUCAUUAAUACUAAGACUGUUGAUACUCUUCUUGAGGUUAAUGUUCAAUAUUCUUCUUUUGAUGGUAACCCUUUGUCAUACCCUACUUAUAUUGUACUAUUAUUAAUAGCUUAGUCUAUUUCACAAUUAUAUGUUCAGACAUUGGUUAUGUUGUUCACAUUAUUAAUUACUUUGUUAUUUCUCCUAUUAUAGUUCAUUGGGUUGUUGUUAAUAAAAUACAAAAGACAUAUAAAUAAAGUUAAAUGUUAUAUUUUUUUUCAUUUUAUAUAUAUCUUUAUAUUUAAAUAUUAUAAAUGGUCUAUUUAAUAAAAUUUAAAAUAUUAAUAUAUUUAUAUUUCUCUUCAUCAUUUAAUUUGAUAUGUCAAAUAUAAAAAUAAAAUAUUAUUAAAAAAAUUUAAUUAUAUAUAAUUUUAAUUUCUUAUAAUUAUUUAAAAUUUUAUAUAAUAUAUAAAUUAUUAUUUAUGAUGUCAUCGGGACGACCAAGGUCCAACAAUCCGACCGAGGUCCCGACCAUCGAUUCUGAACCAUGAACUAAUAACUUUUCUGAUUCAAUCAUCAAUCCAAUUCUCAAAACAUUGAUCAUAUGAAUUAAUAGUACAAAAAUUCAUGGUCCCACUAUUGAUUUUUUUAAAAAUAAAAUAAAAUUAACCAUGAAAUAUGGGCCCCAUGUUGUUCUUAAAUCUUAAUUAUCAAAUAAAAUGAUGAAAUAUUUUAAAAUUUAUAAUUAUUUAUAUAUUUUUUUAACUUAUUAUAAUAAUUUUUAAUUUUUAACCGUGAUUCAACAAGCAAUCAUUGAAUCAUGAAUCAAUAACUAUUUUGAUUCAAUAACCAAUCCAAUUUUGAAAGCAUUGGUAAAUAUAGGCAUACAACUAUUGGAAAUGACUCCCGACUUUCCAAGGAAGGCCUAAACUUCCCUUUUUUCUUGCUGAAUUCUAAAUUUAAUAGCAUUGCAAACGCUGCAGAUUAAAAACACAGGUCUAGUUUUUUUAUAGUUUCUAAAUUUUCAUCCUUUUAUCGUGUCUUUGGUACUUAGAGCAGAGACUGAAAGUGGAGGCCCAUACUGUUAAGUUGGUAAUCAAGGAUGAAAGAAUAGCUCAAGGUUCUAUUACUGUCUGGAAUUUCAAACUACAUAAAAUUGGGACGACAAAGAAAUUAAAGAAUUUAACAUCCUAACAUCCUACUUACACGAAGAACAAAACCUUUUUUUUUUUCGUCUUACAAUUAAAUGUUGAACUGGAAAGUUUAGAACUUGUGCUCAUGAGUUCUUAUCGCUUUUGGAAGUUAAAUGCCUUAAUGGCAUAGGCAAAGAUGAAUAAGAAAAGCACCACAAACCCAACAACCACAGCUGCAACCACUCCCAGGAAAUCAUGUUUGAAUCCAAAAUAAUCAUCCAAGAAUUGUUUCACCGUUUGAUUAUUCUCAAGUAGUGUGCUCUGUAUAUCUCCAAACUGUGAUGCAACCAAUCCAUACAAAGUCCAUGCAACUGGACAUAUCCAACAGUACCAUCUCCACCACACCGGAAUUCUCUGUAUUCAUCAAGAAAUGCAACAAUACGAGUCAUUUCUAUAUCCAUGUGGUAAGGAAAGUUGCAAUUUAAAGAAUCACAGGUUGAGGCCACUUACGUUUCGUGGGACUAUGAAACCUGAAAAGAGGUUCCAUAAUGUAUAAAAUGUUGCGGCAAUGAUGGAAGCAAUAUGUUGAUUUGGCGUGGCAGCCACAGCCAUCAUGCCAUAGAAGGUGAAGUACAACAAAGUGCAGAACAUGAAGAACAGAUACCAGAAGAAUUUAGUGGCUGUCCAUUCAAAUCCAAUCAUUCCAUAAACUAUAACACCAUACACCACAGCUUGUGCAAAGACAUAUGGAAUCUCAACAAGAGCCUGCAACAAGAGAAGAAAUUUGAUUAUUAAAAGGCAAAACGUAUUACAUAUAUGCAAAGUCCGUAGCAUCAGAAAACUAAUUACCUGUCCAAAGGCAUAUGGCAGGGCUGAAUACAUUCCAGCAGCUCUUUCUCUGUAAAAGACUGUUCGUUCAACUACAAUGACUGGCUGGACCGAUUGGGCGUUCUGAACCCCAAGAAAGAGAACAGCAGCAUACAUAGAACCCAUUGCAUUUAACAGAUCUUGUUGCCUUGUCCUGCCAUUUACCUCAUCAAGUAAAAAUUAAAGUUGAUAUAGAGAAACAUACUGAGUUCUCAAAUUUUUGAACCGACAUCAAAUUACCUUCUGGUGCCCAGAUCCCAGAAAAUUAACCCAAACAUCAAGGCUAUGAAAGUUGUGAAGAGAAAUCUCACUGCCGUGUAUGGUGGGUUCCGCCAGUAUGACCAACGUUGUUUCCAUAAGCAUGCCAAAAAUUGGGUGAAGAAGGGUUGGGAGUAUUGAGUAGCAAAAUAGAGGUCUUUUGUACCAGGGGCAGGUUGGCUCAGUUCUUUAAUUAAAUCUUUGUUUCUCCUGAAACAUAUGCCACUUUUUAGAACAGGUUUCAACAACAAAUUUAAGCUUUUCACGAGAAACAUUAGGAUGGAUGUAUAUGACUUUUCAAUCUUAUAAUGCAAUUAGAUAACCUAUGCUUGAAUCACCUGUAUAGGUCUGAAUUCUUGUAUAUUUCAGUGAAAUCGACCCCCAAAGUUCCUUCUUGUGCUCCGGUGGUAACUUCCAGCAUCCAGGUUGCAGGGUUAUAACCAUCUUUGAUUUUACUGACUCCUUCAAUUCCCUUUAUGAAAGCAAGUGAUAUGUAUUAGUAAGUGCUUAAUAUGAAUUAACUCAAACUGAAGUAUUCACUUCUUAUAGCUUCUACAUUAUCAUGGCAGCUUACCUCAAAAUAAUUUAUCAGAUGGGAAGAAUGUCUACCCAGUGGUCCCACAUAUAUCUCUUGCCCUCCACGCUUCAUCAGGAGCAACUGCAAAUCCAUUUUAAAUAUUUCAGUGCCUAUAUGCAAAGAGCACAGAAGAGAAACUAUAAUUCUAUCCCUUAAUAUUUCCUACCUCAUCAAAGGCCUCAAAUAUGUCAAUACUUGGCUGAUGGAUGGUGCACACAACUGUUCUUCCUGUGUCCACAGUGUUUCUGACUGUUCUCAUAACAAUUGCAGCAGCUCUUGCAUCUAGCCCUGAAGUUGGCUCAUCCAUGAAUAUUAUUGAGGGAUUUGCCACAAGCUCAACUGCAAUAGUCAGCCUCUUGCGCUGCUCAGUUGAGAGGCCAUUUACACCUGGCAACCCAACCAGUGCAUCCCUCAAUGGGGUCAGUUCCACAAGCUCCAUGACUUCCUCAAUGAACAUCUGUAACCAUUAGCAAUGAUUAUAAAUUGUUCAAAAAACGUUGCAAACCAUAGUAGAGAUGGUAAAAAAUUUGAGACUGCUUGUGACUCUUCUGUUAUCAGGCUGUGAAGAGGUUUCCCUAGUCUUACUAAAUGGAUCGGUUAAUAGGUGCAAAUGCUCAAUAACGCUCAUUAGCUUGCAUGAACUUCACCAGAUUGGAUUAAAAGUCAAUGAAAUUUGAACCAGCACUUUUUCCCAGGUGAAGGUCAAUCCAAACUUGAACUGACCUUACCUCAACCAAAUAUGAAAAGUCAAUUUUAGGGCUUUGCUUGUUUAGAGCACUAAAUUGAACAAGAAAAAUAUAGAAACAAUUAAGAAGACUCCUACCUUUCUGGUUUCAGAAUUCACAUCAGAAGGCAACCGCAGCCAAGCUGAGUAGAGCAAGGACUCAUGGACAGUAACAUGAGGAGAGUGGAUGUCAUUCUGCUCACAGUAUCCAGAAAUUCGAGCAAAAGUCUCUUGCUUCUUUGGGUAGCCAGAAAUAGAAAUGUUACCCUCAAUAUAUCCACCAGUUUUCCGACCAGCCAGUACAUCCAUGAGAGUGGUUUUACCAGCACCACUAACACCCAUCAGAGCUGUAAGAACACCAGGCCUGAAAGCACCACUCACCCCCUUCAGAAGCUCCAGUCUGUCUUCAAGGGCACCCUGACUUUUCAUUUCCUGCAAGUUCAUUUCAAACAACUCAGUUCUCAUUUCUGGUUUAUAGUACAUUAUGAAAAAACUUCAGUGCUGCUAAAACAUAUGUCAUCAUUUGAAUAAAUAUGAUGUUACCUCUGGCAUGUCAACUGAGUAUCUAAUAUCAUCAAAAGUGAUAGAAUGUGGUUGGAAUGGAAGAACCAUUCCUUUCUUCUUAUUAUGGUUACCCUCAGCAAUGGCUUCUACCAUAUGCUCUCCCCUCUCUGCAUGUCAAGUUUAAAUUCAGUGAGCCAUAUAAAACAUGUAGUUAAAUGACAAGAAUUGAGUCAUACAAAGGCAUGCAUGCAUGCACCAUGUAUGAGUUUCAUCACCUGUGGUUGCAGUUUUGGCAUUGUCAGACUCUUCUGUUAUAACAGCUUGAGGCUUCUCAAAUGCUGCGCAAUUUGCACAAUGUUAGUACACUAAUCUCAUAUUUUUAGGAGUUUCAAUGCAGAGAAGGUACAGAUACCCACGAUUUAAGUAAUUGAGGCAGAGAGUGUAAAAGAAGUUGAAAACAAAUAUGAAUCCAAGCAGUGCCCCAGCUCCUAUCCAGUACCAGUGUGCGUCUGUGAAGAACCCACGAGACUUCAAUACUGUGAUUCCAAGGGAUUCUGUUGAAUUGGUAACAUUCUGAAAAAUGGAAAUAAGUACAAUCAUCAGUUACUGACACACACAAAUAUUCACAUGGAACAUUCAAGAACUUACUUUGCUCCAACUCUUCCCAAGGAAUUCAUUUACCACUAUUGCAUUCUGUGCAUACAUCAGAGGGGACGACCAGUAACCCCAAAUCCACCAUUUCUUGACAUUAUCUGCAGCAUUGACCAAAUAAAAAAGGAAACAAAAAUUCAUUAUUAGGGGUUAUGCACAAGAAGGUUCCAUGCUUCCUAAAAGGAUAUUUCCUCAUCAUACCAUGUGACAGGAUAAAACCACCCAAUGCCAUGAGCAUAAGUACAGCAAAUGCCCCAAAUGUGCUUGCAACAAUCAUGUUUCUACCGGCUGCUGCUAUAAAUCGAAAUAAUCCAGAUGCCAUCUGAUUAACAAGCAAGAGGAGAAGAUACUGUCUAAACAACCUGCAAUAAGGAGAUUUGUUUAUUCAGCAUUAAUCAUUUUGGAACAGAGAAAACAUGUAAAAGAAAUCUGGAUAAGUUUCUGCAACUUCAUAACUUUUUAACUUUUACCUUUCCACAUUUGGAUCAAAUCCAAUGACAUAGUAAGUGAUGAACACCCAAACAGCAACUUCAACAAAUGUGAUGGGGAUCUUGAGCACCCAUGUGGGAAGAGCAUAUGCCCAUGCAGGAUAGAAGAGAAAGUCUCUUUGCUUGUAAAAGACAGGAAGUUUUGCAAUUGUCAUGGCAAGUUCUGCCAUUCCAUUAAACAUGAUCAUGACAACAGUGAAGAACAAGGCACCCGUGUAAAUGCUUCCAUCUUCUGUUGAAUUUUUGUUCAUCUCAGUUCUUAGGAAGAGUGUCAUUGCAAUCACUGCCACUACUGCAAGCUAAAAAUAGAAAUAAAAAUAAUAAAUUACGAUCAGAUAUACAAAAUUAAAAGCCAUAGUUAUAAUUAGCAAUAAUAAUAAUAAUACUCACUUGGGUGAGUUUGAAAAUAUAAACAAAUGAGUUCCUCUUCAUCAGUAAGUACUCUCUUGACAUGUUGGCAUCCAACAGUUCCUUCUUUCUAACACCAUACUUUUUGGUUGUCAAAGCAGCUGGGUGGCUUUUGGCCCUGUCAAAUGGUGAUGCAAGCUCAUCUGCUACUUUCCGUCCAAUGUGAAAGGACUGGAAUGCCUCAGCAAAUUCCUUGACUGUGACAAAGCUGUAAGGCACAUCUUUACGUGCCCAAUACUGGGCCUGAUCUUUUCUAGAUGUUACCUGCAAUGAAUUUUAAAGUUCAUGUUCUAGCUCUAUUUUUUUCUCAAAAAAAGAAAAAAAAGAAAAGAAAAAGACAGAAGAUAACAAAGCUAGAUUUGCACGCACUUCUUGCAGGAAGUCUGCCUCACCCUUCCUUUCAGGACAUUUGAAGCCUAUGGAUUCAAAAAAUUCAAGCACAUCUUCACGAGGACCUUGAUAAACAAUCUGACUAUCAGAAAGGAGAAUGAUGUCAUCAAAAAGAUUGUAAGUCUCAGGUGCUGGCUGGAGGAGAGAGAUGACAGCAGUCCCAUUGAGAAUGUGGAUGGUUUGCUUGAGAGAAUUGAUGAUUUGAAAAGUUGUUGAGCUGUCCAAGCCAGUAGAGAUCUCAUCCAUAAACAGUGCCUUUGAUGGUCCGACCAGCAUCUCACCUAUCAUUCAUACAUUUCACAUAAUUGAAUUAAAUUAAAUUAAUGAACAAAAAAUCUAAUUUGAUUUGUUUUUUCAUUUAGUUAGAAACCAAAUUAUCCCACCUGUUGUGACACGCUUCCUUUGUCCUCCAGAGAUACCCCUUAUCAUCUCAUCUCCUACCAUGGUAUCUGCACAGAUGUCUAGUCCCAAAAUCUGUAGAUUUAAAUGUAAAAAAAAAAACAAACAAAUUAUGAAUUAGAAUUGGGUUUUCUCAGAAAUCUAUAUGCCAUCAUUGAAAGUUUUAUGGUUCUAAUACCUUCAAUGUAUAAUCAGUGACUACAUUUUCCUUCUGACCUUCUGUUGCUGCUGCCUGAAAUAUUGGAAUCCAAUGAUGAAAAUGUCAACCACCAUGCAAGCAACUUCUGUACAUUAAGAAAUUUCAUAGAUAAAAGAUUCUAACAUAGCAUAAAAUUCACAAAUUAGAUUGACUCAAGCCAUUCAUUUGAGUACAAAAAGAAAGAAACAAACUCCAGAACAAACAGAACUCCGACAUUAAUACAAAGCCAUUUUGCCCAUCUAUGUCAGAAUUCAAAAUUUAAUUUCUGGAAAGAGCAGUAUCCAUGUUCACUAAAAGCAAAUAGCUCAAUUUCUGCAGAGCUGAUUAAAAUUUCACUAAAAGUAGAUUCUGUCUCACCUUCAUGAAGACAUCAAGAUCAGGAUCAGGCUUAAUAUUUGCUGCUUUCUCUCUUCUUGACAGCUCUGCUAACAUGUCUGCACAUGGCAAAAAUAAGAGUCAAUCUUCUAGGCUACGGAAAUGUCAUAAAAUUGCAUUCACAACCUGCAAAAAGCGGAGAAAAUAAAAGCAAGGGCAAUGGUUUAGACUAACCAUAUCGAUCUCCAACACCCUGGCAUCUUGCAGAGAAUGCCAAGGUUUCCCUUACAGUCAUUUCUCCUAUAUGGGUAUCAUGUUGGCUGAUAUAGGCUGCAGUUCUCUGGGGUACAAACUCAUUCAUGCCAUGGCCGUUGUAUGUCACCCUUCCCAUAACCUAAAGAAGGAAUUUCAGUUUUGAAAUUGGAUAUGAGAUUAAAGAAAUAAAAAAUCAAACAUUCCAUAAAGAAUGGAGGAGUAAUAAUCAUUUUCUUUCAACCUUUAGAUUGGGAUCAAGCUUGCCAGCCAAUGCCAAUAAGAGGGUGGUCUUUCCAGAACUUGGAGGACCUAAAAGCAAAGUCAAUCUGCAGAAGAAAAAUAUGCACAAAAAUCUUGAGUAUGGAUCUUCGGGACAUUCUAACUUUGAAGAACGAAAAAAUCAUUUGAGUUAUCAAUCCUUUUUUUACUAGAAACAAAUUCAUUCUCACCUGCGUGGUUUGAUGAUCCCACUAACAUCAUUGAGAAUAGUGAAUUUCCUCUUUUUACUUGGAAGAAUACGCACAGCGUUCAGGAUACCCUUUGGAAAAGAAGGGAAAAUUAGAUCUAAAAACAAACUUACUUAAAAGAAUACUGAGUACAUAGAUAAUGAUCAGCAUUUGCAUGUAGUUACCUCAAGUUUAUUAAAAAUGAAAUUAUGAAAUGAAGGCAAAGCUCUGCUUCCUACAAAAGCUUCUGCAUCGAUGGUAAGAUGCUCAAAUCUAACUUCAAUUUCGGGAACAUCAAUUCCAACUCUGAAAAAAUGGAAGAGUCGUGAAAACCCAUUAUCAAAAAUUCAAAGGAAGAUGUUGUUUGGCUGUGGAGAAAAUGUGGGAAACACUCAUGAGGCAUAUUUCAGGUCAAGUUUUUUUUUUUUUUUCCUCUUUAUGUCCUUCUGUUUUCAAUGUUCAAAAACAAAUGGCAAGGAAUGCAAGAAAGGAGGAGAAAUCUCACCUAUCGAUACGAUUCUUGAGCUUCAACAAGAACUUCUCAUUGUCCUCUUCGGCAACUUUUACCAACCGCUCCACUAAAUUCUUCUUUUCCUGAAACCCAAGGUUAUGGAUAUCAAUUUCACUGGCCUCACCCUCGGAUCCCAUCAGCAAACCUCUCCUCAACCGAUUGUAGGUGGGAAGUUUCUCGAGUGCGGCCCAUUUCAAAGCUUCCUCAUCAUCCUCAUCCCUCGAAGAUCGGGAGAAAACAUCCGCACCGGAGCUCCUCCAUAUCGAAGAACCGUUCCUCCUUAAACUACCACUGGCUCUAUAAGUGUCAGCAGUGGCCAUUGCAACCUGAAACGAAGAACCCUCCUGCAAGACCAAUCAAAACCCACAAAAACCCAGAAAUUUUUCCUCAAAAGUCUGAGAAAGAAGCUCAGAGUUUUGAACCCUGGAGCCCAAAGAAGCUAAAAAUCAGAUACGAGUCCCCUUCCCCCCUUUUCUCUGCAUAAAAGUCUCUACCCUUUGAAUUGGUAAGACUUGAUGCCUUCAGAAUGGAGGGUUUAUAUAGGUGAUGGGUUGAACAGGCCCUCAAGUUUUCGAACUUCUUGGUUUCCUAUGACUUUUCCUUAAAAAAAAUUAGCGUGGAAAUUGAAUAUAUAAGCUGCUGGGUAACGAUUCCAACGACUUUGACCCGUCAAAUUCUUAAAUCAAACACUUCUAGAGUUUCCCAACGGGAGCGCGAUUUGUUUAAAGCUUCCAACCCGCCAAAUGAACUAACUUUUUAAAACACUCAUCUUCUUAUCUCUUUCAGGAAAAUAAAUAAAUAAAUAAAAUUGUGGUCAUAUCAACAAUAAAAAAUAAAUUUAAAAUUUUUUAAAUUUAAAAUAUAAUUAAAAUUAAAAAUAUAAAAAAUAAAAUAUUGACCCUGAUUACAUUUUCAGCGCUUUUUCAUUAUCUAUCUUUUGUUUAUUUGUUUAUUAUCAUUAUUAUAUACUAAAAUUCCCGCAAAACAAAAUUGAAUAUAAAUAAACAUAAAUAAUAAUAAUAAUUGUUAUUAUUAUUGUAUACAAUAGUAAUAAUAACAAUAAUGAUAAAUGAAAAAAAAAUAAACAAAAGAUAGGUAUUGAGAAAGAGUUGAAAAUGCGUUAAGAGCUAACAUAUCAUUUUUAUAAUUUUAGGAUUAAAGUUUUUUUUUAACUUUUUAUUGCAUUUAUUUUUUAAAACUUUCAUUUUAUUGUUUAGGCCAACCAACAAAAUUUUUUUCAAUUUUUUAUUUUUAAUUUUUAAAAAAAGAGAUAAGAAGAUGAGAUGUUAAAAUCAAGAAUGUUUGAUUUAUAUAAUGCAAAAUAUAAAAUUAUUAUGGGAGGAUUUUUCCACAAUGACUUGCAUUCAAUAUUAUAUAAUUAAUAAAUUAAUAAAUAUAUUUACUAGUAAGAUGAUUUUAACAAAUUUAUAAAUAUAUUUAUUAGCAAGAUAAUUUUAUUUAUUAUUAUCAAAUUUUUAGGAGAGAUCAUUAAGAGGAUCUAGUUUUGCAUGAUUUUAAUAUUUGAUCCCUAGUUUUAUUACUAAAUAUGAGAUUAUGGUUCUAGGUAAAAAAAAAUUGCUAAUGUUAGAAAUUUGAAUAUAUAUAUAUAUAUAUAUAUAUAUAUAGGUUAUGUUUGGUUCCUAGAAAAUACUAAAGAAAGAAAAAAAAUGGAAAGAAAAAUAAUUUUUUCAUGUUUGGUUGUCCUAUGAAAAAUAUAAAAAAAAAUCAAAUAUAAUUAAAACUAAUUAAAAAAUUAUGUAUUUUUAAAUUAUUUAAUCUUUAUAUUAAUAAUUUAAAAUAAAUAAAAUGAGUUUGAAGUAACAAAAAAAUAAUUUAUCAACUUUUAAUAUAUUUUUUAUUUUUCUUCACUUUUUAUUUCCUUCUACUUUUCCUUUGUAUUUUCUUUUCCUUACAUUUUCCCUCAAAUUUUCUAGGAACCAAACAUAACCAUAGUAUUUCAACUCGGGGACCCCAACAACCAUAAACAAACCCUAAUUAGUCAACUAACCGAUUUGAUCAAUUUAUUAGUCACUAUGCAUUUAAUGCAUUGAUAGAUGAUCACUUAGACUUAGAUCCUUAAUCAGUUGAGCAAUGAAUUUGACGGAUACUCAACUAGUCAAAGCUUAAACUACUAGAAAAGAGAAAAAUAACAAAUGUCUCUUAAUUUAUCAAGUCUAACCUAUUUAGUCGGUUCCUCAACUCCUCAAUCGUAAAUGGCAUGGUUUAAGGUCUGAAACCUCCAAUAACUUACAUAAACCUUCUUAAAACUUUUCAGGAUAAAUUUAAAAGUAAUUUAGCUCAAGGUUUUAAUUGAAAAUAAGAAAUCGCCCAAUUCUUUGAGACAUAUGCAUAUAUAUAUAUAAAUUAUCUUAAUUUUACACAACAUUUUAGGUUGAUUUAAGUCUUCAAGGAUCCUAAGUCUUCCAUGAUUGCUUGAGCUUUCUUUAGAUUUUCAAUAGUAAACUUAAAAAACUUAAUUUGAUUUAAACUAUUAGUAAUUUUAACUUUAUUUUGUAAUUAUAAAAAACCUAUUAGGAGAAUCGUUGGGCUAAUAGUCUUGAUGUUUGAUCUUUAAGAUUAUUCAAUUCUAAAAAGAAAUGGGAGGGUCAAGGAUUUUUGUUGGUUGAAGGAGAGUGAGAGGGGCUAGCCAUGUCAAAUAGCACACUUUUGAUGCCUUUUAAUAAGAGUUAUUUGGUUAAAUGGGUCAAAAUAACCCCACUAUUUAUAAAUAUAACCCAUCUAUCAAAAAGUUAAAUAAAAAAAAAAACUGUUGAUUAAGACAAAAAUGCCCUUCCUUUUAUUUCCCUCCAACACUUACAACUUCUCAUUUUCUACUUCAUUUAACUUUCUAUAGAACGACUUCUCAUCUUUUCCUUCAGAAACCGUAAAAAAUUUCUCAUCAUUUUCUUCUACUUCAUUCUCUUCUUUUGGUGUACAAAAAGGAAAACUUAUCUUCUAUUCUGCUUCAUUUACAUAACAACUCCUCAUCUUUUAUUUUCUUCUUCUAUUUCAUUCUCUCCAUUUGGUGCAUAGAACAGAAAGCUCAUAUUUUCUUUAGAAGCCCUAGAAAAUUUCUCGUCUAUCAUAUCAUCUUUUGUUUCAUUCUCAAUCCUUAGAAAAAUUAUCUCAUCUCAUUUUAUCAUUUCAUCUAUCCUCUUAUCCUCUCAUUUUUUUGUCCAGUUAUCUCAUAUUGUAUCUUCAAGCACAAUAAAAAAAAAAUAGGUUCAUUGAAGAGUGAUAAAAGAAAAAGGUUAAAAAUGGUGAUAAAAAAAUCAAAAAUCCCAAUUGCGAAGAGAAAAAGCAAAAAAUUGUGACUAUGAACUUAACUGUGGUUAAGUUCUUUAUUAAUGCAACUCAACUAUUGUUAAGUUCAAGUGAAAAUUCCAACUGUGAACUUAACUGUGAUUGAGUUAUUCGUUAAUACAACUCAACCACUAUUAAGCUCAAGUGAAAAUUCUAACUAUGAACUUAACUGUGGUUAAGUUAUUUGUUAAUGCAACUCAACCACUAUUAAAUUUAAAUGAAAAUUCUGACUAUGAACUUAACUCUGGUUAAGUUAUUUGUUAAUGCAACUUAAUAAUAGUUAAGUUUAUAUUAAUGCAAUGACUGUCAACUUAACCAUAAUUAAACUUAACUAAUUAAUUUAUAUGAUAAAACUAAAACAUUAAUUUAAAAUUUCAAUCUAUGAUUCAAAAAAAUUGCUUUAAGCAUAUACAAAAAAAUAGGCUCACAAAUCCCUUCAUGACCCUAUACAAAAAAUUAAAUAAAUAAAAAUGUAGAUACAUAGUUAAAUCAUCCUCAAAAAAAAAAUUCUAUGGUAGCAAUAUUAAAGUGACUUAUGAACUGGUUGUAAGGAAAAUUCUUGGAUGUUGAUAUUCCUCUCAACAAUAUUGACACAACUAUAUUCAUCUCUAGGAUGUAAUGAGAUUGGUCGUUUGCAUGUUUUUUUAUCAUGCCCAUAAUCACCAAAUCUACCACAACAUCGUGUGUGUUUAACCUCUCCACUUGAACAAAUUCUCUCCUUUCUUGGUCUUCCUACUAGUCGUUGACUUUUUAGUGGUAGCACAACUCUACAAUGAAUGUCUUCCGGAAUACAAUACAUAACUCAAUUGGAUCUAGUUGAAGAAUGCGAUACACAACUCUCAUUAAUUCAUGAUAUGAUAUAUUCUUCUUCACCGUAAAGUCUUUACCUUCACUUCCUUUAAAGUGGUAUAUGUUCUCAUCUUAUACCUAAUUCCCUUUAUACAAAAGCAUUAUUCCUACAUCAUCAAUGACUGUAGAAAUAAAUAUUUCAAAUUAUCAUAUUAAGAAUGAAAUAGUACAAUAUAUGAUAUACUUUUAUUGAGUUUCAACUAUAGACUAUGUAAUGAAUCUUGAAACAUAUAUUUAUAUUUUUAUUAAAUAACCCACUACAUAAUAAUAUGUCAACAAUUCAAUCUCAGUUUUCAGUAAAGUUAUAUAAAAAUAAAUUUUUGCUUUGAAUAGCAACACAUAAACUCAACUUAUGUUAAGUUAAACCUAACAAAUAGUAAAAUUUGUUGUUCAAUGCAUCAAUGCAACACUUCCCAUAAAUCAAAUAUCCAAAGGAACAAUAUAUAACUACAAUGGGUAUUAAUCAUGAGCAAUACUAAAACCAUAAUAAAUUUUCAUGCAUGUGAUUUAUUGCUUACCAUCAUUUGACCUUGUCAUAUGGAUAAAUCUUUUCAACUUCUUUUGAAUGAACUUUUCACUUUUUCAUAAUUAAUAAUGGAGUCUCUAUUUUUUACCUACAAUGGUGAAGUGAUAUUUUGAAUUUUUAGAAAAUAGAAAGAAAUAAAAUGAUAAUCUAAAAAAGAAAUUGUUGGGUGCUUACAUUUUUUUUUUUUCAUUUUAUCGUGAUCAAGAAUGAAGAAUAAAUGAAACAAUGGUAAGGACUUAGGCUUGUUCUCUACAGGAAAACAAAAAGAAGCAACCAAUGAUUGAAUAAAAAAAUAAAAACCUAAUCUACUAUAAAAAUAAAAUGAAUUGAAAGUUAUAUUGGAGGGAAAAUGAGGGGUAUUUUUGUCUCAAUCAAGUCAACUUUUUUGCCUUUUUAGGGGUGGGUUAUAUUUGUAAAUAUGAGUGUUAUUUUGACUCAUAUAACCAAAUAACCCUUUUAAUAAGGGUGACCAUGGUUUGAUAACCCUUACUCCUUUCCUUUUGAUUUAUUUUCAUUUCAUGGCCACUUAUUAAGAUGAGUGUUCUUCAAUAGAUUACCGUAUGUUCUUCAAAAUACAUCAUUUCAGCCUGUCUAAGCUUUGAAGAUUUUGUAACUCCAACUUUGAAUCUCUUAGAAGCAUUAAAGAUUCUUAUGCAUCCCCAAAUGAAGAUAGUAGCGGCAAGGAAAGUUUCCUAGUCUAAAAUGAAAUCUAAAGAAGGGACUUUUCCCUUCAUCUUUGAGGUUUGGACAUGACAAAGGCAACAUUUUGCACCAACUUCCUCCUAAAAGAGGUCUGUCCCAGCAAGUUCCUUUUCUUAAGGUCCUAUUGCCUUUUCCUUCAGAAUGUGUUCAACUACCACCUCCAAUGAGGGUUUUUCCUUGUCCUCCCCAUGUCAAGAUAGAUGGAGGGCUUCACUAGAUGCCCCCCCCUCCCCUUCCCCCCAAAUUAGGAAGGUUGUUGCAAGGUUCUCUUAAACGCAUCCUUAAAAAAGUUAUGCACAAUUCUUCUACCAAAGCCAAGAGUCUGUUUGCUUGUGAGUUCACAACUAAAAUAGUAAUUACAUUCUUUUCAAGUCAUUCAGUUUCCUUACUUUGGAUGGUUGUAUGCUUAAUGCUUUCAUCGUUCAUUUGUAGGCUUGCAUGAUUGUAUUUGGGGUCGCAAACCAAGCUGGUCUAUUUCAAGAGAUGCCAUUCUACCAUAAGAAUGAGAUUAAGCACCUUCGUCUUUUGAUGAAUAAGGUGUCCCUUGCACGAGUUCAAGGGUGAAGUCCAUAUUCUUGUGUAUGAGAGAAUUGUCCAAGAUAUUUCAACUUUUGGGUGGAGAAAAUAGUAAAAGAAAGAGGUGGUAGCUGUCUAAACUAACCUUAAUUUCUGCCUUCCAAGCAGAGAAUGAAUCCCUCCAUUGCAAGGUUUCUCAACUUGAUAAAGAACAAAAAAGUUUGGAAGUAGGACAGAUUUGGAUUGAGAUUAGACAUAAAGAUUCAAAACAAGAAAAGUUUGAACAAGAAUCCAGGAUUAGAAAGGCCCUAAUAGGAGGCCAAAGAAAAUGAAAAGAUAAAAUGUAUAUAUAGAAGUUGACUACAAUUUUUAGAAUGACUUAGAAAAGGCUUUCAAUAAUAGCAUAGCAAGGUAACAUCCUAAAAGGCUACAUCCUUUCAAACCAGAUGAAAAUCGACUACAUCUUUUCAAACCAAAUGAAGAUCGAGUCUAUUUAAGAGUGAUUAUGAUUAAAAUGUCAUUAUUCAUAGCAUUUUUAUUACUAGCUUCCAUUAGAAACACUUUUAAAUCUUGGACAUGAGGCUACUAAUAUUCUAAUCGGUAAUCAAGGAUGAAAGAAUUUCAUAAACUUUUAUUAUUGUCUCGAAUUUCAAAUACAAGAAAAUAAAGAUUGUUUUAUUUAAUAUAAUAAGGUGGGGGUUUUUUUCUUUUUUCUUUUUUUACUUAAUUUUAAAUAGAACAUAAAACUAAAUAGUGCUUAGUAGUAUUAAGUUUUAGAUUGUUUAUUUUUAUAAUAUUUUAUUUCUAUUAAGUGUUAAAAAAUAUAGAAAAAAAUCAGCAUAUUACUUUUUCCAUUUAAAAAAAAAACUAAAUAUUUUAGUUUUUUUAUUCAACAAAAAAAUUAUAAUAAGUCAUGAAAAUGUAAAAUAUAUAUAUAACCUAAAGUCUGAAAACAAAUUGCUUUUAGCAAAAAGUUAAAAAAGUAAACACCCUCAAAAUGUUUUUAUGAACUUGCCCAUUCUAAAGAUAUGAGUUCCAAAACAUAAAAUACAUAGAAGAGUCGUUUCUUUUUAGGGAAAAUCAUCUAACCAUACACCAACUACAAAAAAAUAUGAGAUUUUGGAACUUUACUUUUUUCUUUUUAAUUUUAGUGUAAAAUGGGAAAAAAUAUUGUUUAUUCAUGCAUUCCAAUAGUGUUUUCAAAUUUGUUCCACAAUUACUCUCAAAAGUAAAGGACAAAGUACAUACCAAUUUAAUACCACUUGUUAACAAGUACAUGAGUCAUUUAUUUUUAUUAUUUUUCUCACAUCAAGAUAUCUCCCUUACUACUUGUCACGUUUUCACUUUUUUCUUUUUUUUUCUUUUUUCUUUUUUUUUCCUCUCUUGCCACCAUAAUCCAUUGUCACCUAUUAUAGUUUUUAUUAUUAUUUUUCUUUUUUUCCUUUAUAUUCUUUUUAAUAUGCUCGCGCAUUUUCUCAUAAAACUUCUUUAAUUUUAAUUUAUUUUUACUCUCUAAUUUGUCUAUAUUUAUUGAUUUUAAUUAUUUUUUUGACAUAUUAAACUUAAAAUGAUAACAUAUAAUAAAUAAUUAAUAUAACAAAUUAAAUAAAAACAAAAUCUAUAAUGGACAAAAAUGAAAAUAUCAUCCCACAAAUAAUAAUGAUUUUAAAUAUUAAUUAUAAUAAUACAUUUUAUAAAUUAAGGUUUAAAUUUAAAAUUUACAUUUUAUUAUUUAGAAGUUUAUGAUAUAAGAUUUUUUAUAUUAAUACUAAACAAAAGAUUUAUUUAUUUUGUAAAUUCUAUCACAUGUAAAAGUAAAAAUAUCAUUGUAAUGUGUUGGGCUUUGUGGAGCCUAGUUUUGUUUGAUCCGAUUUGACGACCCAACCCGAAUAAUAUUGCAUGGCUUUUUUAAUGGGAGAUUUAUUGAGGCCUGUUGGGCCCGUUUAGCCCAUUGUGGAACCACCUUUUGUAAUUAGGGUUUUUUAGUAUGGUAGGGUUGCCGUGCUAUAUAUAUAGAGAGAAUAUUGUAGCCGCCAGGUUGUACUCUGUAUUCUUUCCUGAUAAUAGUGAUAUCCCUGCAACUUCGUGGACGUAGGCAAAUUGCCGAACCACGUAAAUACUGUUUGUGUGUGAUUGUUUUUCUUUGGCGUGUGUUUUCUCUAAUUUUUUGUUUCUCACAGGUUGGGAAUUUUGUUUAAUUCCCUACAAUUGGUAUCAGAGCCUAGGGUUAGGUUUGAGUGGGAGCAAUGGCAGAGGAAGCAGGAAAGGAGUCUGGAAUAGAAAAGUUUGAUGGCACAGACUUUGCGUAUUGGAGGAUGCAGAUUGAAGAUUAUCUCUAUGGGAGGAAAUUGCAUCUGCCUCUUUUGGGGACAAAACCUGAGAGUAUGAAGGCUGAGGAAUGGGCGCUUCUUGACAGACAGGUUCUAGGAGUUAUUAGGUUAACUCUGUCUAGGUCUGUUGCACACAAUGUUGUAAAGGAGAAGACCACAGCAGAUCUGAUGAAGGCUUUGUCCGGUAUGUAUGAAAAGCCAUCCGCAAACAAUAAGGUGCAUCUGAUGAAGAAAUUGUUCAAUUUGAAGAUGGCAGAGAAUGCAUCAGUAGCACAACAUCUGAAUGAAUUUAAUACAAUCACAAAUCAAUUGUUGUCUGUAGAAAUUGAUUUUGAUGAUGAGAUUCGUGCUCUGAUCGUCUUGGCUUCUUUGCCAAACAGUUGGGAGGCAAUGAGGAUGGCAGUAAGCAAUUCUACGGGAAAGGAAAAGCUCAAGUACAAUGAUAUACGAGAUUUAAUUCUGACUGAGGAGAUUCGUCGAAGAGAUGCAGGUGAAACCUCAGGAUCUGGUUCUGCCCUAAACCUUGAGACAAGAGGUAGAGGUAAUAACAGAAAUUCAAAUCAAGGUAGAUCAAAUUCCAGAAAUUCUAAUCGGAACAGAAGCAAAUCUAGAUCAGGCCAAUAAGUACAAUGUUGGAAUUAUGGGAAAACAGGUCACUUUAAAAGGCAAUGCAAAAGCCCUAAGAAGAAGAAUGAAGAUGAUUCUGCUAAUGCUGUAACAGAAGAGGUACAUGAUGCAUUAAUUCUUGCAGUAGACAGUUCACUUGAUGAUUGGGUUUUGGAUUCAAGAGCUUCGUUUCAUACCACUCCACACCAAGAAAUCAUACAGAAUUAUGUUGCAGGUGAUUUUGGUAAGGUGUAUUUGGCUGAUGGUUCAGCCUUGGAUGUUGUGGGUCUGGGAGAUGUCCGGAUAUCGUUGCCCAAUGGGUCUGUUUGGUUACUGGAGAAGGUUCGACAUAUUCCUGACCUGAGGAGGAAUCUGAUUUCUGUUGGACAACUUGAUGAUGAAGGACAUGCAAUACUAUUUGUUGGUGGUACUUGGAAGGUUACAAAUGGAGCUAGGGUAUUGGCUCGUGGAAAGAAGACUGGCACUCUGUAUAUGACCUCAUGUCCAAGAGACACAAUUGCAGUUGCUGAUGCAAGUACUGAUACAAGCCUAUGACAUCGCAGACUUGGUCACAUGAGUGAGAAAGGGAUGAAGAUGUUGCUGUCAAAAGGAAAACUACCAGAAUUGAAGUCCAUUGAUUUUGACAUGUGUGAAAGUUGCAUCUUAGGAAAGCAAAAAAAGGUGAGCUUCUUGAAAACUGGCAGGACACCGAAGGCUGAAAAAUUGGAACUAGUACACACUGAUUUGUGGGAGCCUUCUCCGGUUGCAUCCCUAGGAGGUUCAAGGUACUACAUCACCUUUAUUGAUGACUCAAGUAGAAAGGUAUGGGUUUAUUUUCUGAAAAAUAAAUCUAAUGUAUUUGUAACUUUUAAGAAGUGGAAGGUCAUGGUUGAGACAGAAACAGGUUUGAAAGUAAAAUGUUUGAGGUCAGAUAAUGGAGGAGAGUACAUAGAUGGAGGAUUCAGUGAGUAUUGUGCUGCACAGGGAAUUAGGAUGGAGAAGACCAUUCCUGGGACACCAUAGCAGAAUGGUGUGGCUGAGCGCAUGAAUAGAACUCUCAAUGAGCGUGCUAGAAGUAUGAGGUUGCAUGCUAGACUACCAAAAACUUUUUGGGCUGAUGCUGUUAGCACUGCAGCUUACCUGAUAAACCGAGGACCAUCAGUUCCCAUGGAGUUCAGACUUCCUGAGGAGGUUUGGAGCAGUAAAGAGGUGAAGUUUUCACAUUUAAAAGUUUUUGGUUGUAUUUCUUAUGUUCAUAUUGAUUCUGAUGCUCGUAGUAAACUUGAUGCAAAGUCAAAAAUAUGUUUUUUCAUUGGCUAUGGUGAUGAGAAAUUUGGCUAUAGGUUUUGGGAUGAACAAAACAGGAAAAUCAUCAGAAAUAGAAAUGUGAUAUUUAAUGAACAGGUUAUGUACAAAGACAGGUCAUCUGUAGUGUCAGAUGUUACAGAGAUAGAUCAAAAGAAAUCUGAGUUUGUCAACUUAGAUGAAUUGACUGAAAGUACUGUCCAAAAAGGGGGUGAAGAAGAUAAGGAGAAUGUAAAUUCACAGGUAGAUCUGAGUACACCUGUAGUUGAAGUUCGCAGAUCUUCUAGGAACAUUAGACCUCCGCAGCGUUAUUCACCUGUUUUAAAUUAUCUCCUGUUGACUGAUGGUGGUGAGCCAGAGUGUUAUGAUGAAGCCUUGCAAGAUGAGAAUUCAAGCAAGUGGGAGUUAGCCAUGAAGGAUGAGAUGGAUUCCCUAUUGGGGAAUCAGACAUGGGAACUAACUGAAUUGCCAGUAGGAAAGAAGGCUUUGCACAACAAAUGGGUAUACAGAAUAAAGAAUGAGCAUGAUGGUAGCAAACGUUACAAGGCCAGAUUAGUUGUUAAAGGGUUCCAGCAGAAGGAGGGCAUUGACUACACAGAGAUAUUUUCUCCAGUUGUGAAGAUGUCAACAAUUAGACUUGUACUUGGAAUGGUGGCUGCAGAAAACUUACAUCUUGAGCAGUUAGAUGUGAAGACAACAUUCCUUCAUGGUGACUUGGAGGAAGACCUUUACAUGAUUCAACCAGAAGGGUUCAUUGUUCAGGGACAAGAGAAUCUAGUCUGCAAACUGAGAAAGAGCUUGUAUGGCCUUAAACAAGCUCCUAGACAGUGGUACAAGAAGUUUGACAAUUUUAUGCAUAGAAUUGGGUUCAAGAGAUGUGAAGCUGAUCACUGUUGCUAUUUUAAGUCCUUUGACAAUUCUUAUAUCAUAUUACUAUUGUAUGGCAAACCUGUAAGGCUCAUUUUUUAGUGUCCAAUACUGCUCCUGAUCUUUCCUAGAUGUUACUUGCAAUGAAUUCAGUUUUCAGAAAGACUAAUUGUGCAUCUUAAUAUGUAAAGCUUAUCUUCUAGCUCGGUUAUAUCUAAAAGAAGAAAAUACCAAAAGCUACAAAGCUAGAUUUGCACUCACUUCUUGGAGGAAGUCUGUCACACCCUUUCUUUGAGGACAUUUGAAGCCCAUUGACUAAAAAAAUUCAAGCACAUUUUCACGAGGUCCUUGAUAAACAAUCUGACUAUCAGAGAGGAGAAUGAUGUCAUCAAAAAGAUCAUAAGUCUCAAGUGGUGGCUGGAGGAGAGAGAUGACAGCAGUCCCAUUGAGAAUGUGGAUGGUUUGCCUGAGAGAAUUCACAAUUUGAUAAGUUGUUGAGCUGUCCAAGCCAGUAGAGAUCUCGUCCAUGAAUAGCGCCUUUGAUGGACCGACCAGCAUCUCACCUAUCAUUCAAACAUUUCUCAUAAUUCAAUUAAAUUAAAUCAAUGAACCAUACAUAUAAAUACAUAUGUAGUUUUUUUCUUCUUCUUUCGGUUAGAAACCAAAUUAUUCAACCUGUUGUGACACGCUUCCUUUGUCCUCCAGAGAUACCUCUUAUCAUUUCAUCUCCUACCAUGAUAUCAGCACAGAUAUCUAAUCCCAGAAUCUGUGGAUAGAAGCAGGUAUAAAGACAAAUAAACAAAGUAUGAGCUAGUAUUGGCUUUUCUUAGAAAUCCGCAUGUCAUCAUUGAAAGUCAUAUGGUUAUAGUACCUUCAUUAUAUGAUCAGUGACCACACUUUUCUUCUGGCCUUCAGUUGUUGCUGCUUGAAAUAUUAGAAACCAGUAAUGACAAUAUUAGAAACCAAUUCUGUUCAGUACAUUAAGAAAUUCCAUGGAUAAAAGAUUUUGCAGUAGAGCAAAAUUCAGGAAUAAGAUCGACUCAAGCCAUUCAAAAGAGUACAAAAAGAAGGGAACAAACUCCAUAAUAGACACAACAUCAAGAAUACAAAGCCAAUUUGCCUAUUUAUGUCAAGAUAUCAAAAUUUUCAUUCUAGGGAAUACAAACAUCCAUGUUCUCCACUAAGAGCAAAUAGAUCAAAUUCCGAAGAACUAGUUAAAAUUUUACUGAAAGUAGCUUCUGUCUCACCUUCAUGAAGACAUCGAUAUCAGGAUCAGGCUUAAUGUUUGCUGCUUUCUCUCUUCUUGCGAGCUCUGCUAACAUUUCUGCAGAUAGCCAAAAUAAGAGUCAAUCUCCUAGCCUAUACAAAUGAGAUAUAACUGCAUUGGCAACCUUCAAAAACAGAGAAAAUAAAAGGCAAAGGCAAUGGCUUCGACUAACCAAAUCAAUCUCCAACACCCUGACAUCUUGCAGAGAAGGCCAAGGUUUCUCGUAUAGUCAUUUCUCCAAGAUGGGUAUCAUGUUAACUGAUAUACGCAGCAGUUCUCUGUUGUACAAACUCAUUCAUGCCAUGACCAUUGUGUCACCCUUCCAGUAACCUAAAGAAGAAAUUCCAGUUUUCAAAUUAGACAUGAGAUAAAACAGCUAAAAUUUGAAUAGUCAUGAUUAUUUUUUUCAUUCAACCUUCAGACUAGGAUCAAGCUUUCCGGACAACGCCAAUAAGAAAGUGGUCUUUCCAGAACUUGGAGGACCCAAAAGUAACGUCAAUCUGCAGAAAAAAAAAUGCACAACAAUUGAAUAUAGAUCUUUGAGUAUAUUCUAAAUUCAAAGGAACUAUUCGUCUGUUUUAUUAAGUAAUCCAUUUUUACACUCGAAACAAAUUCAUACUCUCACCUGCCAGGUUUGAUGAUUCCGCUAACAUCUCGAAGAAUAGUGAAUUUUCUCUUUCUAGUUGGAAGAAUCCGAAGACCAUGCAAGAUAUUCUUUAAAACAGAAGGAAAAUUAUAAACUAUAAGUAUACGUAUCGAAAAGAGUAUUUAUUGCAUAGCUAAUGAUCUGCAUUUGCAUUGUAGUUACCUCAACUUGAUUAAAAAUGAAAUUAAAGAAUGAAGGAAAAGCUCUGCUGCCUACAUAAGCUUCUCCAUCAAUAGUAAGAUGCUCAUAUCUAACUUCAAUUUCGGGAAGUUCAAUCCCAACUCUGAAAAAGUGGAAGAGACAUGAAAACUCAUCAUUAAAAAGUUAAAGAAAGUUGUUUGGUUGGGGAGAAAAUGUAGGAAACACCUAUUGAUUACUACUCAAAAAGUGCUAUUUGAUAGCCUAUAAUUAAUCCUUUUUAACACUUUUGAGUAGUAGUUUAAGCCUUUUAACUCAAUUGGCAUGUUAAGGAUCCUUUAAAGCAAUUUUGAUCACUUUGUGUAAGUUUUGGUGUUUUUGUUAGUAUUUUGAUCACCAAAGCAAGUCAAGACUGAGGAGAGCUAUGAGGAAUCUUGGGCAAAGCUUAGAAUUCAAUUGCCAAGAGUGAAUCCGGAUUGCAAGGAGAAAAAGCAAAGAGAAUCUACCAUGAAGCCUAUUCUUGAUGACAGUCGUAGCAGCCACUUUUGGAGCACUUUCUGAAGUCCAAAUGAUGCAUGCUAUAUACCAUUUCAAAGCUCAGGAAGUCAACAAUCCAAUGCUUCAAACGGUGCACGAUUCGGAGUUGAAACGAAGAAGUUGCAGCCAUUGCAAGUCAAUCACUCUAAAGUGUUGCGGAAUCAGCCUUUUGUUGCGAGAAUUUCGCAGUACUUUUGUACAGAAAGGUGUUUCUCCUUCUGACAAUUCAGGAACCAUGCCGCGAGAAGGGAGCUGGGAACCUCAAGGUGGAAGCCAACUUCGCAGCCUAGUGAAGAUAGCUCGGUGUUGCGAAAUAAUUUCGCAGCCCUCUUGGGUGUCUGCGAAAUUUCGCAGACUUCAUUUUUCACCUGCGAAAUGGCUCCUGAAGCCUCCCGAAACUUGCUACCGACAUUGGGAGAUAUUUUCCAUUAGAUUUUUGUUGUCUAAAUCCCAAAAUACUCCUUGUAAACCACCAAUUACAUGAUUCCUUAGUUUUUAAGUUAGUAAAAAGACUAAAUAUCUUUGUAACAAUUAGUUUUAUAUUGUUUUGAUAUAUAUACCUCUCGGGAGCCUGUUCUCGGAGAGGAGUUCCUUCUGUAACCGUUUGGGUAAGCAAGUAAAGGUCUUUUCUUUCUACUGUCUUACCUUCUCACUUUGUAUUUUCAUUUUAUUUCUAAGUUAUGAAUUCUCUGAGGAGUUUUCCCCAGAGAAUGAGUAACUAAACCUCCAAUUCCUUGGAGCUAAGGUUGCCGGGGAAGGUUCCAAGUGCAAGAAUGCAAAGCUCUGUGGUUUUAGCUAGUAAUGAAGAGGAAGUGAAAUCCUUUAGUGAUUUCAAUGUUUUUAGUUAACUUAAAACACCUUAGAGUCACCUGGGCCAACACUUGGUAAGGCAAGUGAUUUCCAACCAUGGAAAUGCACUAGUUUACCCCUUGCGAGCCUCUGGGAGGUGACUUCAGGGUAGGAUUUUCUAGAAUAGCCAACACUUGGUAAGCUUUUGGACUCUUAGGAGACAUCCAUUAGUUACCUCUUGCGAGCUUUUGACGGGUAAUCCAAGGUUAAAGAUCACCUUGAAUGGUAAGUGCUCGUGAGAGGCAUGAACCAUUGCAAGUUGCAUCAGUGAGAGAAUUAAAGUGAAAUCUAAUUGAAGGAGUCUCUGUACAUCACCGGUUAGAGAAUUGACUCUAAGUUGAAUCUCUAAUGCGAGGAAAUGAACCAUUUGACCAGAGCCGUGUCUUUUGCAUGAGGAACCACCCCGGUGAACCUAAAUCUCCAAGGAAUGUUUUUCUUCCUAAAUUAUUCCAAACUUCUGUUAAGUUAGUUAGUUUAAGUCUCAACCUUUACCAAUCAAAGUUUGUGUUUUAUUUCUUAAGCUAACCGUGAAAUGAAACAAGACCAAUUCACUUGGAAUUGGUAUCCUUGAUUGCUUGUUAGUCAUUCCCAGUGAACGAUCCUAGAGCCACUAUACUAUAGUAGCUUUUUAUUUGCUACCCUAGUGUAUGGUGUUAUAGGUAUAAAUUUUGUUGAUCACUUCCUCAAUCAAGGAGCACCAGCUGAACACAAAUCAGCUGAGACACCAAUUGGGCAUGAAUCACCUAUCAGGCAAACUCACCCAUCCAUACGAUUCUUGAGCUUCAACAAGAACUUCUCAUUGUCCUCUUCAGCAAUUUUUAUCAACCGCUCCACUAAAUUCUUCUUGUCCUGAAGCCCAAGGCUAUGUAUAUCAACUUCAAUGGCCUCACCCUCUGAUCCCAGCAGCAAGCCUUUCCUCAACCGAUUGUAGGUGGGGAGUUUCUCGAGUGCGGCCCAUUUCAAAGCUUCCUCAUCAUCUUCACCCCUCGUAGAUUGGGAGAAAAUCUCGACGUCAGGGGUCCUCCAUCUCAUAGAACCAGCUCUACGAGUUUCAGGAGUCGACAUUGCAAACAGAAAGGAAGAACUCUCCUGCAAAACCAAUAAGAACCCGCCAAAACCCGAACUGUUGAAAUUAUAAUGCGAGGUAAAGUCAAACUAAAAGAAUUUUAGGAAUUUGAUAAAUAUUAAAAAUUAUUAUUUAUUUAGAUUUAUAUGUUAAUUAAGACUUUUGGUAUAAUAGCAAUUGGAGUCUAGAAUAUAAACUCCUUUUUCUCGCUCUUAGUACAAUGUUAUGUCUUGUUGUAUUGCUGCUACUGCAUUGUAAAAAUCAUAUAGAAUGGAAGGUUUAUAUAGUGAUUGGUAGGACAGAAAAUGAAGUGGUUCAAAAGAUUUGAAACUGGUUUAUUUUCUUGUGAUUCUUUAAGUUAUGUUUGGUUUCUAAAAAAGUACUAAGGAAAGAAAAAAAAUGUUAAAAAAAAAAAUGGUUUUCUCAUGUUUAGUUUCAUAAUGAAAAAAUACAAAAGAAAAUAAAAUAUAAUUAAAAUUUGUUAAAAUUUUAUAUAUUUUUAAAUUAUUUAAUCUUUAUAUAAUAGACGAAAAUAAGUAAAAUAACUUUGAAGAAAUAUAUUAAGGUUAUGUUUGGUUCUCGGAAAGUACCAAGGAAAGAAAAAAAAAUGUAACAGAAAAUGGUUUUCUCAUGUUUGGUUUCAAUAUAAUUUUUUAAAAAAAAUUAAAUAUAAUUAAAAUUAGUUAAAAAUUUAUAUAUUUUAAAAUUAUUUAAUUUUUAUAUAAUGAAUGAAAUGAAGUGAAAUGAGUUUGAUGAAACAUAUAAAAAUAAUUUAUUAAUUUAAAAUUUUUUUUUUUCAUUUUUUCUUUCCUUCUACUUUUCCUCUUUAUUUAUUUCUCUCACAUUUUCUCUCAAAUUUUAUGAAAACCAAACAAAGCCUAAAGUAAUUUAUUAAAUUUAAAUCUAUUUUAAUUUUCUUCAUAUUUUUCUUUCUUUCUACUUUUCCUCUUUAAUUUUUUUCCUUCACAUUUUUUUCUCAUAUUUUCCAGGAACCAAACAUAGCCUAGAAAAUUGGUGAGGGAAAUCGACUAUAAAAAAGUUUGCACAACGACUCCAUAAUAAUGUACACAUGCCACCAUUUUUUUUUCCCUUCAACUUCCUAUAUUAAGACUUUCACGGUUCAUAAUUUUUGGUUUCUUACACUUUCUUUAGCAAGUAAAUAGAAAUGUGAAUGAUCGAAUGUUUUGUUAGUUUUUAAAAUAAGAAGAAAUAUAAUACUUAAUUUUAUACAUGUUUUCCGGCAUGUUUGGUAUGUGAGAUAUGAUAGGAUAGAGUAUCUAUAUUCUAUAAUAUCAAAUUCCAUUAAAUGAAAAAUGCAUAUUUUAAAAUAUAAUUUUCAAUGAGAUAUGAUAUAUUUUUUAUAUUAAAUUCAAUCGAUAUGAUAUUGUAAGAUGACAUAUCCAAUGCAUUUCCUAAAAUAAAUUAUUUCCAUAUAUUUUUUAAGAUUAUUAAAUCCAAUGGAUAUAAUAUUAUAAGGUAACAUAUAUAAUGAGAUAGGUAAUGUAACAUUAUGCUUAUAUUUAAUUUGUAAAAUUAAUAAAAAAUAAAAUGGAAUAUAUAUUAUUUUAUAAUAUAUUUUGUAAAUGUUUUUUUAGUUCUUCUAUUUUAACCAUAAAUUUAACUUUAUAAUAAAAAAAUUAUUUUACUAAAUAAGUGAUAAAAUAAAAUAAAAAAUAAUAAAAGAAAAUUAAAUUUAUGAUACAUAAAAUAAUAUAUCUCACUACUUAUCCUAGAAGGAAUAUAAAAAAGCUAUAGAUAAUAUAUUUCACUACUUAUUCUACCAUGUGUUACAUCCAUCCAACCAAACCAUGACCUUACGGAUAUAAAAAAAUUUAACGUUUAAUAGCAUCCACAUUAAUGAAAACAAACAAUUUACUAAUAUAAACUAAACAAUCAAACACUCAAAUGAUAUUUCGCUCUAUUUAGACUAAUGAAAAAUAAACAAUUUAAAUAUUUAAUAACAUUCCACUUUAUUAAGCUUUAAGCUUAGAAUCUUAAAAAAAAAAAAAAAAAAAUACUUUAAAAAUAUUUUUUAGAGUUGUUUCAAAGGAAUGGGAUUAUUUGUUUUUUUUUUCUCAUUUAUGUCAUAAAGCAAAUUAUUUUAAAACUUAAAAUCAAAAUAUAAAAAUUUAUUUUUUAUAUUAAGAUAAAAUUGUCUUAUAAAAAGUAACAAGUUAAAAAACAAAUAAUUUUUAAAAUGACUUAAGUCUUAACACUAUUAAGUAUUAUUUAGAUGUAAGGUUUAUUUAAUUUUAUUUUUUUUUCAAAAAAGCACCACCUUUCAAAUAAGAUUUAAGCAGGUUUAACCUAUUCAAAAUUGCUUGAAAUUUAAGAGGUUAUUUGUUUUUUAAAGUUAAAUCUUAAAGCUAGUUGCUUUAAAAUUUAAGAUAAAAGUAAAUAAAAUAAAAUGAAAACUUUUGUUAUUAAGACAAAAUUUUCUUUUAAAAAUGAUAAACUAAAAAAAUAAUUUGAAAAAUGACUUCCAUCUUAAAGCAACUCUUUUUAUUAGGAUUGUAUCUCUAUCCUAAUUAAAAUUAACAAUCAACUUGAUUUUGAGUAAGAUUAUAUCAAUGUUAACCAACAUUAUUUUCUAAUAAAAGUAUUUGCGAAAACAUAAACACAUUUAUGCUUCAAUAAAUGGAAUACAUUUUUUUAGUAAUAUAACCAUAUUUUAAUUUUGAAAAAAAACAUAUUAGUCUAAUCAUCAAUAUUCAUAAUUGAUAAUAUCAUACAUUAAAAAUUAUUAAUGGUGAAUAACUGAUAUAUAUAUGGAUUAUUAAAGCAACUAUGACCAUACAACCUAUGGAACUUGGUGUAAACUUUUUUGUGGACCUGUAUUUUCUUUGCUUAUUAAAAAAUAAAUUAUUAAAGCAAUAAUGAGCAUAGAAAUUAAUUAAAACAAUAACUAUCACUCAAAUGAAGUAUUAGGCUCUAUUGAUAAUUGUUUUUAAAAACAAUUUUUAGUCUCCAGAAUAAAAAUUAAAAAUUAAAAAUUAAAAAAUAAAAAAACAAGAAAACAAGUUUGAUAAUAGAAAACAAAAACAUUGUAUUUUCAAUUCUUUAAUUGUUUUCACUUUUUUUAAAGGAUUAUUUUUAAAAAAGUCAUACAAAUACGAAGAAUGAUUAAAAAUAAAACACUGUAUAUAAAAAUUAUUUUUAAAAUAUAAGAAACAAGUUAAAAAUAUUUUAGAUUUUUAAAUAGGCUUUUGUUUUAUAAAAAAUCAAACAACAAUUUUCAAAAAUUAUUUUUAAAAAUUGUUUUCAAAAAAACACUUUUCAAAUAGAACCCUAUCCUACCAACUAUAUAUAUACACACACACAAUGCUAAUGAUAUUUAAAAGAAAAACAGUCACAUGAAAAAGGUAAUAAUAUUAGAGACUACAGAAGAACUUACUAUCAGAAAAACAUUGUCAAUAAUACAUGGGAUGAGAAUGAUUUCAUACAGCUACUGAGAUUGUCCUCAAAGUUGUUCUUAAAAAACAAAAAUACUAUAAAUGGUUGGAUCCAACCUUUCAAGGAAACCAAAGCCCUGUUCUUUUUUUCUUUUUUUGAUAAAGAGAUUUUCAUUUUUUUCCUUCUAAAAGGAACAUUCUAUAUAUAGAAUCUAAAGGUAUCAAACUGUGCCUCCAAGUAGUUUGACUGUAAAGUACAAUUCAAUCCAAUGUGUUGAUUGUUCUUUUGGUUUGCUAAUUGAUCAGGCAAUCAAUCUUUCCUCAUGUGGUUUCCAUAUUAUCAUUUUUUCAUCUUUUUCCACAUCAUUUUUAUCCUUUUCCAUAAAUAAAAAAAAUAUUUAGAUAAAUUAUUUCAUUAGCAAUUUGUUGAAGACUUGAAAAUAAAUUAAAUAAGAGAAAUAUUCACAAAUUUUUUACUUAAUUAUUCAUGAUGACAUUAAUAAUGAGAGUAACGUAUAACCAAAUAAGACUAAGAUAGGAAAAAAUGAGACAAAAGAAUUUGUCUCUAAAAGGUAUGAAAAAAUGAGAAUCAAAUAUGAAUUAAGGAGAUAUAGGUAUAAACUUAAUAAGAAAAAUGUUAAUUAUGCUUAAAUCUAUGAAUUUAAGAAAAUCUAAAAUUUUGGCCAUAAUUAUUCAUGAUCACAUCAAAUUUAUAUAUAGGAAUGGUUGAAAAUAAUGAGAGCAAUGCAUAACCAAAUGGUACUAAGAUGGGAAAUAAUGAGACCAAAGAAUUUGUCUUUAAAAGGUAUGAAAAAAUGAGAUUCAAAUACCAAUUAACUAGAUAUAGGUAUAAACUUAAUAGAAGAAAUAUUAAAUACGCUUAAGGUUAUGUUUGGUUUCAAGAAAAUAUUAAGAAAAUAAAAAAAAUAAAGGAAAAUGAUUUUCUCAUAUUUGAUUGUCUUAUGAAAAAUAUAAAAGAAGGUCAAGUAUAAUUAAAAUUAAUUAGAAACUUACGUAUUUUUAAAUUAUUUAAUCUUUAUAUCAAUUAAUUAAAUUAAACAAAAUGAGUUUGAAGUAAUAAAUAAAAAUAAUUUAUCAAAUUUUAAUCUAUUUUUUAUUUUUCUUUACAUUUUCCCACAAAUUUUCGUGGAACCAAACAUAGCAUAAAUGUAUGAAUUUAGGAAAAUCUAAAAUUUUGGCCAUAAUUUUUCAUAAUUACAUCAAAUAUAUAUAGGAAUGGUUGAAAAUAAUGAGAGCAAUGUGUAACCAAAUGAUAUUAAGAAAAUAAUGAAACCAAAGAAUUUGUCUCUAAAAGGUACGGAAAAUGAGAGUCAAAUAUGAAUUAAUGAGAUACAAGUAUAAAUUUAAUAAGAGAAAUACUAAUAAUGCUUAAAUAUGUGAAUUUAAGAAAUUCUAAAAUUUUGACCAUAAUUAUUCUCACAUCAAAUAUAUAUAUAUAUAUAUAUAUAUAUGAAUGGUUGUAAAUAAUGAAAUCAAUGUGUAACCAAAUGGGACUAAGAAAAAUAAUGAAACCAAAAAAUUUGUCUCUAAACAGUACCAAGAAAUGAGAAUCAAAUAUGAAUUAAUCAAAUAUAGGUAAAUUUAGUUAGAGAAAUAUUAACAAUGCUUAAAGAUAUGAAUUUAAAAAAAUCUAAAAUUUUAACCAUAAUUAUUCAUGAUUACAUUAAAUAUAUAUAGGAAGGGUUCAAAAUAAUGAGAGCAAUGUAUAAGCAAACGGGACUAAGAAAAUAAUGAAACCAAAAAAUUUGUCUCUAAAAGGUAUGAAAAAAUGAGAGUAAAAUAUGAAUUAAUGAAAUAUAGGGAUAAAUUUAACAAGAGAAAUAUUAAUAAUGCUUAAAUAUAUGAAUUUAAGAAAAUCUAAAAUUUUUAUAAUAAUUAUUCAUAAUCACAUCAAAUAUAUAUAGUGAUGGGUGAAAAUAAUGAGAUCAAUGUAUAACUAAUAGAGACUAAGAUAGAAAAUAAUAAAACUAAAAAAAUUCUCUAAAAUGUAUGAAAAAAUGAGAGUUAAAUAUGAAUUAACAUAUAUAUAAAUUUAAUUAGAAAAAUAUUGACAAUCUUAAGUAUAUGAAUUUAAGAAAAUCUAAAAUUUUGGCCAUAAUUAUUCAUGAUCACAUCAAAAAUAUAUAGGAACAAUUGAAAAUAAUGAAAGGUAUAAUCAAAUGAGACUAAGAUAGAAAAUAAUGAAACCAAAGAAUUUGUCUUUAAAAGUUACAAAAGAAAUUAAAAAAAAAAAAUCAGAGUCAAAUGUGAAUUAAUGAGAUGUUGGUAUAAAUUUAAUAAGAGAAAUAUUAAUAAUGCUUAAGCAUAUGAAUUUAAGAAAAUCUAAAAUUUUGGUCAUAAUUAUUCAUUAUCACAUCAAAAUAGGACGCUUGAAAAUAAUGAGAGCAAGGUAUAAUAAUACGAGACUAUGAUUAUCAAACUACUUCAAAAUCAAAAUCCUUAAUAGAAUCAAAUCAUCAAGAUGAUGUUAAUUAGUCUUUUUCAAAACAUUGAAGAAAAUCUAAGCCAAAGUUCCAAUGACCAAGAAAUAUGCAUAAAAGAUAGUUGCCCGCCAAAGACCUUAAAUGUAAUCACUAAGGAAUAAGAAUUAAUUUUAGAAUUAUUUAUUAAGGUUCAAGAUUCUUCAAUAAAAACAUAAUUAUGUGAAAUUUGUAAGAAAUCGAUUUCUAAACUAGAAAUGAAAAAAAAAAACUAUAAAACCUUAUAACUUCUAUGAAAUCUUGACAAGAUUUAACUAUAAUUCCCUAAAAAAGUGAUUAUUAAAGAUCUUCAAAAGGAAAUAAGAUGAUGUUAGAAGUUAGAGAAUUAAGACAAUACACCAACAUAUGUUUAACAAACCUUCAAGAACAAAUUAAUUAGAUAGUAAGUAAUAAGAAUUAAUAUAUCCUAAAAUCCUUAUAAGUUAAUGAAGAUUUAUCACACUUAUAUCUCAAUGUUAUAAAUAGGGUCAUCUUUAAAAAAUGCAGUGUUUCCCUAACAAUUGUGAUUAACAAUGAGUUCAUCGCUAAGAUUAAUUGUUGUCUUAAUAGAUUCAAGAGUAGCUUCUUUAUGGCAUGCUAAUAGGUCAAACUUAAGAUUAGCUACAAAUUGUCUAAGGCUCAUGUCAAUAAUCAAGGGAUGCACACAACAUUUAAUUUGGUAUAAGAUUUAAGAGAAGAAAUAUUCUUGGAAUACCCUAUUUAGUUGUCUACCCUAUCACUAGAGUAGAUGGUCAAGGUAUAAGACUAAACUCUUAAAUCAAGAGACUCCUUUUGAAUUUGCAUAUCCUCUAAAAAGAAACCUAAAUAAAUUAAGAUCUUUGAUUAUUUCUAUAAAAAAAAUACAUUUUUUUUAGUUCAAGAAGUUAGAUCUAAGAGAAUUGAAGAACAAUUGGAAGUUAAAAAGACUCAAGAUGCUAUCCAAUAAUUCAAAGAAAAGUUGGUUAGAGAAGCCCAUCCUAAAUUCCCUAAUGUAUUUUGGCAUAGGGAUGAACAUGUUAUAGAACUACCUUACAACCUAGAAUUUAGGGAAAAUAAUAUUCCCACUAAGGCAAGACCAAUUCAAAUUAUUCAAAAACCAUUGAGAUAUUAUGAAAAGGAAAUUUAAGAACUCUUUGAUAAAAAAUUAAUAAAGAAUCUAAAUCUCCUUGAAGUUGUGUAUGCGCAAAUUUCAUGAAGUCUUGCAAAACAACCAAAAACUAUAGGAAAAAUAUAUGUGAUCAAAACUUUAUAUUAAAAUUAAUUGAUUGUGCGGUAUAGACUCAAAUAUAAUAUUCUUUACAAAAGAAUAUUUUCCAUUUGAUUCAUUCACUUUGAUUACAAUCCCAAAGAUGAUGACAAGAGUCUUUUCUUGAUUUUAGAAAAUCAAUCCAAGGCCUAGAGUGGUUUUUUCUUGAAUGAACUUAUUAAAUGGUGAAAAACACGUAUAUGCUUUUAUUGUAUAAAAGUAUAAAACACUUUCACAUUUAAUUUUAAAAUAAUUAUAUAAUGUAAUUAAAAAUAAUAAUACAAAUUAAUUAAUAUAAUAAUUUCAAAAUAAUAAAAUACUAAAGACAUGCAAAUAAAAUUAAAUAUUAUAAUUUUAUUUUCAUUUUAUAUAUAUCCUUAUAUUUAAAUAUUAUAAAUGGUCUAUUUAAUCGAAUUUAAAAUAUUAAUAUAUUUAUAUUUCUCUUCAUCAUUUAAUUUGAUAUGUCAAAUAUAAAAAUGAAAUAUUAUUAAAAAUUUUAAUUAUAUAUAAUUUUAAUUUCUUAUAAUUAUUCAAAAUUUUAUAUAAUAUAUAAAUUAUUAUUUAUGAUGUCACCAAGUCGACCAAGGUCCGACCAGUGAACCAUGAAUUGGUAACUUUUUCGGUUCAAUCAUCAAUCCAAUUCUGAAAACAUUGAUCAUAUGACUUGAGAGUACAAAUAUUCAUGGCCCCACAAUUGAUUUUUUUUAUUAUUAUUUUAACCAUGAAAUGUGGGCCCCCAUGUUGUUCUUAAAUCUUAAAUAUCAAAUAAAAUGAUGAAAUAUUUUUAAAAUUUUAAUUAUUUAUAUAUAUUUUUUCACUUAUUAUAAUAAAUUUUAAUUUUCAACCGCAAUUCAACAACUGGUUCAACCAUUGAAUUAUGAAUCAAUAACUAUUUCGAUUCAACAACCAAUCCAAUUUUGAAAGCAUUGGUAAAUAUAGGCAUAAAACUAUUGGAAAUAACUCCCGACUUUCCAAGGAAGGCCUAAACUUCCCUUCUUGCUUCCUGAAUUCUAAAUUUAAUAGCAUUGUAAACGCUGCAGAUUAAAAACACAGGUCUAGUUUUUUAUAGUUUCUAAAUUUUCAUCCUAUUAUCAUGUCUUUAUGUCUUUGGUACUUAGAGCAGAGAUUGAAAGUGGAGGCCCAUACUGUUAAGUUGGUAACCAAGGAUGAAAGAAUAGCUCAAGGUUCUAUUACUGUCUGGAAUUUCAAAUUACAUAAAAUUGGGACGACAAAGAAAUUAAAGAAUUUAAUAUCCUAACAUCCUACGUACACAAAGAACAAAACCUUUUUUUCAUCUUACAAUCAAAUGUUGAACUGAAAGGUUACAUACAUAAAAUAACCAACCAUCCUUGAAGAACUUGUGCUCGGAAUGACUUCUUAUCGCCUUUGGAAGUUAAAUGCCUUAAUGGCGUAGGCAAAGAUGAAUAAGAACAGCACCACAAACCCAACAACCACAGCUGCAACCACUCCCAGGAAAUCAUGUUUGAAUCCAAAAUAAUCAUCCAAGAAUUGUUCCACCGUUUGAUUUUUGUCAAGUAGUGUGUCCUGUAUAUCUCCAAACUGUGAUGUAACCAAUCCAUACAAAGUCCAUGCAACUGGACAUAUCCAAUAGUACCAUCUCCACCACACCGGAAUUCUCUGUAUUCAUCAAGGAAGAAAUGCAACAAUAUGAGUCAUUUCUAUAUCCAUGUGGCAAGGAAAGUUGCAAUUUAAAGAAUCACAGGUUGAGAGCACUUACGUUUCGUGGGACUAUGAAACCUGAAAAGAGGUUCCAUAAUCCAUAAAAUGCCGCAGCAACGAUGGAAGCAAUAUGUUGAUUUGGCGUGGCAGCCACAGCCAUCAUGCCAUAGAAGGUGAAGUACAACAAAGUGAAGAACAUGAAGAACAGAUACCAGAAGAAUUUAGCGGCAGUCCAUUCAAAUCCAAUCAUUGCAUAAACUAUAACACCAUACACAACAGCUUGUGCAAAGACAUAUGGGAUCUCAACUAGAGCCUGCAACAAGAGAAGAAAUUUGAUUAUUAAAAUGCAAAACAUAUUAUACAUAUACAAAGUCUAUAGUGUAAGAAAACUAGUUACCUGUCCAAAGGCAUAUGGCAGGGCUGAAUACAUUCCUGCAGCUCUUUCUCUGUAAAAGACUGUUCGUUCAACUACAACAACUGGCUGGACCGAUUGGGCGUUCUGAACCCCAAGGAAGAGAACAGCAGCAUACAUAGAACCCAUUGCGUUUAACAGAUCUUGUUGCCUUGUCCUGCAAUUUACCACGUCAAGUAUAAAUUAAAGUUGAUAUAGAGAAACAUACUGAGUUCUCAAAUUUUUUAACCGACAUCAAAUUACCUUUCGGUGCCCAGAUCCCAGAACAUUGUCCCAAACAUCAAGGCUAUGAAAGUUGUGAAGAGAAAUCUCACUGCCGUGUAUGGUGGGUUGCGCCAGUAUGACCAACGUUGUUUCCAUAAGCAUGCCAAAAAUUGGGUGAAGAAGGGUUGGGAGUAUUGAGUAGCGAAAUAGAGGUCUUUUGUACCAGGGGCAGGUUGGCUCAGUUCUUUAAUUAAAUCUUUGUUUCUCCUGAAACAUAUGCCACUUGUUAGAACAGGUUUCAACUACAAAUUUAAGCUUUUCAUGAGAAACAUUAGGAUGGAUGUAUAUGACUUUUCAAUCUUAUAAUGCAAUUAGAUAACAUAUGGUUGAAUCACCUGUAUAGGUCUGAAUUCUUGUAUAUUUCAGUGAAAUCGACCCCCAAAGUUCCUUCUUGUGCUCCGGUGGUAACUUCCAGCAUCCAGGUUGCAGGGUUAUAACCAUCUUUGAUUUUACUGACUCCUUCAAUUCCCUUUAUGAAAGCAAGUGAUAUGUAUUAGUAAGUGCUUAAUAUGAAUUAACUCAAACUGAAGUAUUUACUUCUUAUAGCUUUUACUUUAUCAUGGCUGCUUACCUCAAAAUAAUUUAUUAGAUGGGAAGAAUGUCUACCCAGUGGUCCCACAUAUAUCUCUUGCCCUCCACGCUUCAUCAGGAGCAACUGCAAAUCCAUUUUAAAUAUUUCAGUACUUGUAUGCGAAGAGCAUAGAAGAGAAACUAUAAAUUCUUUCUAUCCCUUAACAUUUCCUACCUCAUCAAAGGCUUCAAAUAUGUCAAUACUUGGCUGAUGGAUGGUGCACACAACUGUCCUUCCUGUGUCCACAGUGUUUCUGACUGUUCUCAUAACAAUUGCAGCAGCUCUUGCAUCUAGCCCUGAAGUUGGCUCAUCCAUGAAUAUUAUUGAGGGAUUUGCCACAAGCUCAACUGCAAUAGUCAGCCUCUUGCGCUGCUCGGUUGAGAGACCAUUUACACCUGGCAACCCAACCAGUGCAUCCCUCAAUGGGGUCAGUUCCACAAGCUCCAUGACUUCCUCAAUGAACAUCUGUAACCAUUAGCAAUGAUUAUGAAUUGUUUAAAAAACGUUGCAAACCAUAGUAGAGAUGGUAAAAAAUUUGACACUGCUUGUGACUCCUGUUAGCAGGUUGUGAAGAGGUUUCCCUAGUCUUACUAAAUGGAUCGGUUAAUAGAUGCAAAUGCUCAAAAACACUCAUUAGCUUGCAUGAACUUCACCCAAUUGGAUUAAAAGUCAAUGAAACUUGAACCAGCACUUUUUCCCAGGUGAAGGUCAAUCCAAACUUGAACCUGACCUUACCUCAACCAAGUAUGAAAAGUCAAUUCUAGGGCUUUGCUUGUUUAGAGCACUAAAUUGAACAAGAAAAAUAUGGAAACAAUUAAGAAGACUCCUACCUUUCUGGUUUCAGAAUUCACAUCAGAAGGCAACCGCAGCCAAGCUGAGUAGAGCAAGGACUCAUGGACAGUAACAUGAGGAGAGUGGAUGUCAUUCUGCUCACAGUAUCCAGAAAUUCGAGCAAAAGUCUCUUGCUUCUUUGGGUAGCCAGAAAUAGUGAUGUUACCCUCAAUAUAUCCACCGGUUUUCCGACCAGCCAGUACAUCCAUGAGAGUGGUUUUACCAGCACCACUAACACCCAUCAGAGCUGUAAGAACACCAGGCCUGAAAGCACCACUCACCCCUUUCAGAAGCUCCAGUCUGUCUUCAAGGGCACCCUGACUUUUCAUUUCCUGCAAGUUCAUUUCAAACAACUCAGUUCUCAUUUCUGGUUUAUAGUACAUUAUGAAAAAACUUCAGUGCUGCUAAAACAUAUGUCAUCAUUUGAAUAAAUAUGACUUUACCUCUGGCAUGUCAACUGAGUAUCUAAUAUCAUCAAAAGUGAUUGAAUGUGGUUGGAAUGGAAGAACCAUUCCUUUCUUCUUAUUAUGAUUAGCCUCAGCAAUGGCUUCUACCAUUUGCUCUCCCCGCUCUGCAUGUCAAGUUUAAAUUCAGUGAGCCAUAUAAAACAUGUAGUUAAAUGACAAGAAUUGAGUCAUACAAAGGCAUGCAUGCAUGCACCAUGUAUGAGUUUCAUCACCUGUGGUUGCAGUUUUGGCAUUGUCAGACUCUUCUGUUAUAACAGCUUGAGGCUUCUCAAAUACUGAGCAAUUUGCACAAUGUUAGUACACUAAGCUCAUAUUUUUAGGAGUUUCAAUGCAGAGAAGGUACAGAUACCCACGAUUUAGGUAAUUAAGGCAGAGAGUGUAAAAGAUGUUGAAAACAAAUAUGAAUCCAAGCAGUGCCCCAGCUCCUAUCCAGUACCAGUGUGCGUCUGUGAAGAACCCACGAGACUUCAAUACUGUGACUCCAAGGGAUUCUGUUGAAUCGGUGACAUUCUGAAAAAUGGAAAUAAGUACAAUCAUCAGUUACUGACACACAUAAAUAAACACAAAUAUUCACAUGGAACAUUCGAGAACUUACUUUGCUCCAACUCUUCCCAAGGAAUUCAUUUACCACUAUUGCAUUCUGUGCAUACAUCAGAGGGGAAGACCAGUAACCCCAAAUCCACCAUUUCUUGACAUUAUCUGCAGCAUUGACCAAAUAAAAAAGGAAACAAAAAUUCAUUAUCAGGGGUUAUGCACAAGAAGGUUCUACAUUUCCUAAAAAAAUAUUUCCUCAUCAUACCAUAUGACAGGAUAAAACCACCCAAUGCCAAGAGCAUAAGUAAAGCAAAUGCCCCAAAUGUGUUUGCAACAAUCAUGUUUCUACCGGCUGCUGCUAUAAAUCGAAAUAAUCCAGAUGCCAUCUGAUUAACAAGCAAGAGGAGAAGAUACUGUCUAAACAACCUGCAAUAAGGAGAUUUGUUUAUUCAGCAUUGAUCAUUUUGGAACAGAGAAAACAUGUAAAAGAAAUCUGGAUAAGUUUCUGCAACUUCAUAACUUUUUAACUUUACCUUUCCACAUUUGGAUCAAAUCCAAUGACAUAGUAAGUGAUGAACACCCAAACACCAACUUCAACAAAUGUGAUGGGGAUCCUGAGCACCCAUGUGGGAAGAGCAUAUGCCCAUGCAGGAUAGAAGAGAAGGUCUCUUUGCUUGUAAAAGACAGGAAGUUUUGCAAUUGCCAUGGCAAGUUCUGCCAUUCCAUUAAACAUGAUCAUGACAACAGUGAAGAACAAAGCACCCGUGUAAAUGUUUCCAUCAUCUGUUGAAUUUUUGUGCAUCUCAGUUCUUAGGAAGAGUGUCAUUGCAAUCACUGCCAUUACUGCAAGCUAAAAAUAGAAAUAAAAAUAAUAAAUUACAAUCACAUAUACAAAAUUAAAAGCCAUAGUUAUAAGUAGCAAUAAUAAUAAUAAUACUCACUUGGGUGAGUUUGAAAAUAUAAACAAAUGAGUUCCUCUUCAUCAGCAAGUACUCUCUUGACAUGUUGGCAUCCAACAGUUCCUUCUUUCUAACACCAUACUUUUUGGUCGUCAAAGCAGCUGGGUGGCUUUUGGCCCUAUCAAAUGGCGAUGCAAGCUCAUCUGCUACUUUCCGUCCAAUGUGAAAUGACUGGAAUGCCUCAGCAAAUUCUUUGACUGUGACAAAACUGUAAGGCACAUCUUUACGUGCCCAAUACUGGGCCUGAUCUUUUCUAGAUGUUACCUGCAAUGAAUUUUAAAGUUCAUGUUAUAGCUCUGUUUUUUUCUAAAAAUAAAAAAAGGGAAAAAGAUAGAAGAUACCAAAAGCUACAAAGCUAAAUUUGCACUCACUUCUUGCAGGAAGUCUGCCACACCCUUCCUUGCAGGACAUUUGAAGCCCAUGGAUUCAAAAAAUUCAACCACAUCUUCACGAGGACCCUGAUAAACAAUCUGACUAUCAGAUAGGAGAAUGAUGUCAUCAAAAAGAUUGUAAGUCUCAGGUGCUGGCUGGAGGAGAGAGAUGACAGCAGUCCCAUUGAGAAUAUGGAUGGUUUGCUUGAGAGAAUUGAUGAUUUGAUAAGUUGUUGAGCUGUCCAAGCCAGUAGAGAUCUCAUCCAUGAACAGUGCCUUUGAUGGUCCGACCAGCAUCUCACCUAUUAUUCAUACAUUUCACAUAAUUGAAUUAAAUUAAAUUAAUGAACAAAAAAUCUAAUUUGAUUUGUUCUUUCAUUUAGUUAGAAACCAAAUUAUCCCACCUGUUGUGACACGCUUCCUUUGUCCUCCAGAGAUACCCCUUAUCAUCUCAUCUCCUACCAUGGUAUCUGCACAGAUGUCUAGUCCCAGAAUCUGUAGAUUUAAAAGUAAAGAAAAACAAACAAAUCAUGAAUUAGAAUUGGGUUUUCUCAGAAAUCUAUAUGCCAUCAUUGAACGUUUUAUGGUUCUAAUACCUUCAAUGUAUAAUCAGUGACAACAUUUUCCUUCUGACCUUCUGUUGCUGCUGCCUGAAAUAUUGGAAUCCAAUGAUGAAAAUGUCAACCACCAUGGAAGCAACUUCAGUACAUUAAGAAAUUUCAUAGAUAAAAGAUUUUGACAUAGCAUAAAAUUCACAAAUUAGAUUGACUCAAGCCAUUCAUUUGAGUACAAAAAGAAAGAAACAAACUCCAGAACAGACAGAACACCGACAAUACAAAGCCAUUUUGCCCAUCUAUGUCAGAAUUCAAAAUUUAAUUUCUGGAAAAGAGCAGUAUUCAUGUUCACUAAAAGCAAAUAGCUCAAUUUCUGCAGAGCUGAUUAAAAUUUCACUAAAAGUAGAUUCUGUCUCACCUUCAUGAAGACAUCAAGAUCAGGAUCAGGCUUAAUAUUUGCUGCUUUCUCUCUUCUUGACAGCUCUGCUAACAUGUCUGCACAUGGCAAAAAUAAGAGUCAAUCUUCUAGGCUACGGAAAUGUCAUAAAAUUGCAUUCACAACCUGCAAAAAGCAGAGAAAAUAAAAGCAAAGGCAAUGGUUUAGACUAACCAUAUCGAUCUCCAACACCCUGGCAUCUUGCAGAGAAUGCCAAGGUUUCCCUUACAGUCAUUUCUCCUAUAUGGGUAUCAUGUUGGCUGAUAUAGGCUGCAGUUCUCUGGGGUACAAACUCAUUCAUGCCAUGGCCGUUGUAUGUCACCCUUCCCAUAACCUAAAGAAGGAAUUUCAGUUUUGAAAUUGGAUAUGAGAUUAAAGAAAUAAAAAAUUAAACAUUCCAUAAAGAAUGGAGGAGUAAUAAUCAUUUUCUCUCAACCUUUAGAUUGGGAUCAAGCUUGCCAGCCAAUGCCAAUAAGAGGGUGGUCUUUCCAGAACUUGGAGGACCUAAAAGCAAAGUCAAUCUGCAGAAGAAAAAUAUGCACAAAAAUCUUGAGUAUGGAUCUUCGGGACAUUCUAACUUUGAAGAACGAAAAAAUCAUUUGAGUUAUCGAUCCAUUUUUUACUAGAAACAAAUUCAUUCUCACCUGCGUGGUUUGAUGGUUCCACUAACAUCAUUGAGAAUAGUGAAUUUCCUCUUUUUACUUGGAAGAAUGCGCACAGCGUUCAGGAUACCCUUUGGAAAAGAAGGGAAAAUUAGAUCUAAAAACAAACUUACUUAAAAGAAUACUGAGUACAUAAGUAAUGAUCAGCAUUUGCAUGUAGUUACCUCAAGUUUACUAAAAAUGAAAUUAUGGAAUGAAGGCAAAGCUCUGCUUCCUACAAAAGCUUCUGCAUCGAUGGUAAGAUGCUCAAAUCUAACUUCAAUUUCGGGAACAUCUAUUCCAACUCUGAAAAAAAUGGAAGAAUCAUAAAAACCCAUUAUCAAAAAUUCAAAGGAAGAUGUUGCUUGGCUGUGGAGAAAAUGUGGGAAACACUCAUGAGGCAUAUUUCAGGUCAAGUUUUCAUUUUUUUUCCUCUUUAUGUUCUUCUGUUUUCAAUGUUCAAAAACAAAUGGCAAGGAAUGCAAGAAAGGAGAAGAAAUCUCACCUAUCGAUACGAUUCUUGAGCUUCAACAAGAACUUCUCAUUGUCCUCUUCAGCGACUUUUACCAACCGCUCCACUAAAUUCUUCUUCUCCUGAAACCCAAGGUUAUGGAUAUCAAUUUCACUGGCCUCGCCCUCGGAUCCCAUCAGCAAACCUCUCCUCAACCGAUUGUAGGUGGGAAGUUUCUCGAGUGCGGCCCAUUUCAAAGCUUCCUCAUCAUCCUCAUCCCUCGAAGAUCGGGAGAAAAUAUCCGCACCGGAGCUCCUCCAUAUCGAAGAACCGUUCCUCCUUAAACUACCACUGGCUCUAUAAAUGUCAGCAGUGGCCAUUGCAACCUGAAACGAAGAACCCUCCUGCAAGACCAACCAAAACCCACAAAAACCCAGAAAUCUUUCCUCAAAAGUCUGAGAAAGAAGCUCAGAGUUUUGAACCCUGGAGCCCAAAGAAGCUAAAAAUCAGAUACGCGUCCCCUUCCUCCCUUUUCUCUGCAUACCUUUGAACUGCUAAUACUUGAUGCCUUCAGAAUGGAGGGUUUAUAUAGGUGAUGGGUUGAACAGACCCUCAAGUUUUCUAACUUCUUGGUUUCCUAUGACUUUUCCUUAAAAAAAAUUAGCGGGGAAAUUGAAUAUAUAAGCUGCUGGGUAACGAUUCCAACGACUUUGACCCGUCAAAUUCUUAAAUAAAACACUUCUAGAGUUUCCCAAUGGGAACGCGAUCUGUUUAAAGCUUCCCACCGGCCAAAUGAACAAACUUUUUCCUUCCAACUGUUGGGUCCAGGAAGGUUCCUAGUGGACCCAAAUCCUCCAAAACUAUAUAUAUAUAUUUGGCAUUUUUUUUAACGGAUUAAAUACAUUUUUCCCGGCUUUUGCACAUAUGUCUUCUGACGACUUUACGGAAAAUCCUUGGAGAAUUGUCCUUCUAGACGUUCUAAAACGGUAAUGUUUUGGUCAAACGGAAAGUCAACCAUGGAAAAUAAAGGUUUAACAGAUAGAUAACAAUGAUGUUUUUUUUUGUGCGCAUACCCUCUGACCUCACGAACACGCACGUUUCUAGAUUUCCUUGACCUUGUGAACACGCACGUUUCUAGAUUUCCUUUACCUUAUGAAUACGCACGUUUCAAUCUAUAGUAAUGAGUACGAGUAUAGAUUACUUUAAGUGGAAAAAUUUUCUAAAUGCUCAAGAGUUUGAUAAUAAUUUUAUAUUUCACAUUAUAUAAAUCAAACUUCCCUUUUAAAACACUCAUCUUCUUAUCUCUUUCAAAAAAAAAAAAUUGAGUUGAUAUCAACAAUCAAAAAUAAAUUUAAAAAUUUUUAAAUUAAAAAUAUAAUUAAAAUUUAAAAUAUAUAAAAAAAAAUAUUCACCCCAACUACAUUUUCAACGCUUUCUUAUUAUAUAUAUUUAUAAAUCCCAAAGAUUAUCUCAAUUUUAUUUUUAUAUUUUGACCUCAAUUUUGUUAAUAAAUUUUAAAUCUUAAUAACAUGUGUUUUUUUGGCCCACUCACCCUUUAAUUUUAAUUUUUAUUAUUUUAUAUUUUUUUAUUUUAUUAUUAUUAUUACUUACUACUACUACUAUUAUUAUUAUUAUUAUUAUUAUUAUUAUUAUUAUUAUUAUGUUUUAUUUUAUUUUUUUAUUUUUUUCUUUCUUUUCUCUCUCCUCUCUCUUCUCUCUUCCUACUCUCCAACUACCCCACCCACUGUCUCUCUCUCUCCUCCCAUACCCCUCAUCCCACAACCAUACCCCGAUUACCCCCCUCCUCCUCCUCCCAUUCAUUCUUCUACUAUGGCUGGCCUCCCAUUCCCCUUUCUUUUUUUUUUUUCUUUUUUUUCUUUCUUCUGCUUCUCACCCUAGGACACACGCACAGCCGGCCCAUUUUUCCCCCAUUCUCACCGGAUUCCAGAUAUUUUUCCUCUUCUCGGCUGACUCCCACAGUAGUCAACAACCCUAUCUCCCCACUCCGUUUCUCAGCUCUUUCCCCAUUUUUCCUUCACUCCACAGACGACCAUAGCUGGCUCCCCAGUUUUCUUGAUUUUUUUUAUUUUUAUUUAUUUUUAUUUUUAUUUUGGCUACCCAAACACCACAUCUCGUCGACCCCGAUUCUCUUCUUCCUAUUUUUUCUCUCAUUUUCUCCAUUUUUUUCUCAUCUCUCUCCUUACUCACUCUCACAUGAUUGGAGCCCCCCAUUUUCUUCUUCCCCAUUUUUCAUUUUUGUUCUCUAUCCAAACACCCACUUGCAGAGACACAGGCUGACCCAUUUCUUCUCUUCCAUUUUUAUUUUUAUUUUUUAGUAUCUCCCUUUUUUUUAUUAUUAUUAUUAUUAUUAUUAUUAUUAUUAUUAUUAUUUGUUUUUGUCUUUCAAAAACACCAUCAACCCUCAUUGCGCCGGUCGGCGACCCCCUCUCAUUUCCUCUCAUUCCGUCACUUUCCUAUCCCACUCACUUUCCAUUACUAUUAUUAUUGUUAUUAUUUUUUAUUUGAUUUUAUAAAUAAAAUUGAAUAAUGAUAAAUAAAAUUGAAUAUAAUAAUAAUUGUUAUUAUUAUUGUAUAUAAUAAUAGUAAUAACAAUGAUAAAUAAAAAAUAAAUAAAUAAACAAAAGAUAAAUAUUGAGAAAGAGUUGAAAAUGCAUUAAGAGUUAACAUAUAUAUCAUUUCUAGGAUUAAAGUUUUUUUUUUUUUUUUUACUUUUUAUUGUAUUUUUUAUUUUUAAAAUCUUUUAUUUUAUUGUUUAGGCCAACCAACAAAAUUUUUAUUCAAUUUUUUUUAAAAGAGAUAAGAAGAUGGGAUGUUUUAAUCAAGAAUACUUGAUUUAUAUAAUGCAAAAUAUAAAAUUAUUAUGGGAGGAUUUUUCCACAUUGACUUGCAAUCAAUAUUAUAUAAUUAAUAAAUUAAUAAAUAUAUUUGUUAGUAAGAUAAUUUUAAUAAAUUUAUAAAUAUAUUUAUUAGCAAGAUAAUUUUAAUAAAUUAAUAUGAGAAAUCAAUUUUAUGAUAAUUUUAUUUAUUAUUGUCAAAUUUUUAGUAUCUAAAUUUUUAGGAGAGAUCAUUAAGAGGAUCUAGUUUUGCAUGAUUUUAAUAUUUGAUCCCUAGUUUUAUUACUAAAUAUGAGAUUAUGGUUCUAGGAAAAAAAAAAUUCUAAUGUUAGAAAUUUGAAAAUAUAUAUAUAAUUACUAGUCAUUAUGCAUUUAAUGCAUUGACAGAUGAUCACUUAGGCUUACAUCCUUAAUCAGUUGAGCAAUCAAUUUGACGGAAACUCAACUAGUCAAAGCUUUAACUACUAGAAAAGAGAAAAAUAACAAAUGUGUCUUGAUUUAUCAAGUCUAACCUAUUCAACAGAUUCCUCAACUCCUCAAUCGUAAAUGGCAUGGUUUAAGGUCUAAAACCUCCAAUAACUUACGUUAACCUUCUUAAAACUUUUCAAGAUAAAUUUAAAAGUAAUUUAGUUCAAGGUUUUAAUUGAAAAUAAAAAAUCGUCCAAUUCUUUGAUAUAUGUAUAAAUGAUCUUAAUUUUACACAACAUUUUAGGUUAAUUUAAGUCUUCAAGGAUCCUAAGUCUUCCAUGAUUGCUUGAGCUUUCUUUGGAUUUUCAAUAGUAAACUUAAAACUUAAUUUGAUUUAAACUAUUAGUAAUUUUAACUUUAUUUUGUAAUUAUAAUUAAAAAAACCUAUUAGGAGAAUCCUUGGGCUAAUAGUCUUGAUGUUUGAUCUUUAAGAUUAUUCAAUUCCAAAAAGAAAUGGGAGGAUCAAGGAUUUUUGUUGGUUGAAGGAGAGUGAGAGGGGCUAGCCAUGUCAAACAACACACUUUUGAUGCCUUUUGAUAAGGGUUAUAAUUGGUUAAAUUGGUCAAAAUAACCUCAAUAUUUGCAAAUUUAACCCACCUAUCAAAAAGUUAAAAAAUAAAAAUAAAUAAAUUGUUGAUUGAGACAAAAAUGCCCUUCCUUUUAUUUCCCUCCAACACUUACAACUUCUCAUCUUCUACUUCAUUUAACCUUCUACAAAAAAAACUCAUCAUCUUUUUCUUCAAAAACCAUAAAAAAAUUCUCAUCAUUUUCUUCUACUUCAUUAUCUUCUUUUGGUGUAUAGAAAGGAAAGCUUAUCUUCUAUUCUGCUUCAUUUAUAGAACAACUUCUCAUCUUUUAUCUUCUUAUUUAUUUCAUUCUCUCCAUUUGGUGCAUAGAACGGAAAGCUCAUCUUUCCUUUAGAAGCCCUAGAAAAUUUCUCGUCUAUCAUCUCAUUCUCUAUUUCAUUCCCAAUCCUUAGAAAAAUUAUCUCAUCUCAUUUUAUCCUCUAGUCUAUCCUCUUAUCCUCUCAUCUUUUUGUCAAGGUAUCUCAUAUUGUAUCUUCAAGCACGAUAAAAAAAUAAGUUCAUUGAAGAGUGAUAAGAGAAAAAGAUUAAAAAUGGUGGUGAAAAAUCAAAAAUCACAAUUGCGAAUAGAAAAAGCAAAAAUUGUGACUAUGAACUUAACUGUGGUUAAGUACUUUAUUAAUGCAACUCAACUAUUGUUAAGUUCAAGUGAAAAUUCCGACUAUGAACUUAACCGUGGUUGAGUUAUUUGUUAAUGCAACUCAACCACUAUUAAGCUCAGGUGAAAAUUCUAACUGUGAACUUAACUGUGGUUAAGUUAUUUGUUAAUGUAACUCAACCAUUGUUAAAUUCAAGUGAAAAUUCUGAUUGUGAACUUAACUUUGGUUAAGUUAUUUGUUAAUGCAACUUAAUAAUAAUUAAAUUUAUAUUAAUGCAAUGACCGUUAACUUAACCAUAAUUAAACUUAAUCAAUUAAUUUAUAUGAUAAAACUAAAACAUUAAUUUAAAAUUUCAAUCUAUAAUUCAAAAAAAUUGCUUUAAGCAUAUACAAAAAAAUAAGCUCACAAAUCCCUUCAUGACCCUAUAUAGAAAAAUAAAUAAAUAAAAAUGUAGAUACAUAGUUAAAUCAUCCUUAAAAAACAAAUUCUAUUGUAGCAUUAUUAAAGUGACUGAUGAAUUGGUUGUAAGGGAAAUUCAUGGAUGUUGAUAUUGCUCUCAACAAUAUUGACACAACUAUAUUCAUCUCUAGGAUGUAAUAGGAUUGAUCGUUCGCAUGUUUUUCGAUUAUGCUCAUAAUCACCACAUCUACCACAACAUCAUGUGUGCUUAACCUCUCCACUUGAAUGAAUUCUCUCCUUUCUUGGUCUUCCUACUGGUCGUCAACUUUUUAAAGGUAGCACAACUCUACAAUGAAUGUCUUCCUGAAUGCAAUACACAACUCUCAUUAAUUCAUGAUAUGAUAUAUUCUUCUUCACCAUAAGGUCUUUACCUUCAUUUCCUUUAAAGUGGUAUAUGUUCUCAUCUGAUACCUAAUUCCCUUUAUACAAAAGCAUUAUUCAUACCUCAUCAAUGACUGCAAAAAUAAAUAUUUCAAAUUAUCAUAUUAAGAAUGAAAUAGUACAACAUAUGAAAUACUUUUAUUAAGUUUCAAUUAUAGACUAUGUAAUGAAUCUUAAAACAUAUAUUUAUAUUUUUAUUAGAUAACCCACUACAUAAUAAUAUGUCAACAAUUCAAUCUUAGUUUUCAAUAUAGUUAUAUAAAAAUAGACUUUUGCUUUGAAUAGCAACACAUAAACUCAACUUAUGUUAAGUUAAAUCUAAAAAAUAGUAAAAUUUGUUGUUCAAUGCAGCAAUGCAACACUUCCCAUAAAUCAAAUAUCCAAAGGAACAAUAUAUAACUACAAUAGGUAUUAAUCAUAUGAGCAAUACUAAAACCAUAAUAAUUUUUCAUGCAUGUGAUUUAUUGCUUACCAUCAUUUGACCUUGUCAUAUGGAUAAAUCUUUUUAACUUCUUUUGAAUGAACUUUUCACUUUUUCAUAACUAAUAAUGGAGUCUCUAUUUUCUACCUACAAUGGUGAAGUGAGGUUUUGAAUUUUUAGAAAACAGAAAGAAAUAAAAUGAUAAUCUAAAAAAGAAAUUGUUGGUUGCUUACAUUUUUUUUUUUCAUUUUAUCGUGAUCAAGAAUGAAGAAUAAAUGAAACAAUGGUAAGAACUUAGGCUUGUUCGCUACAGGAAAACAAAGAGAAGGAGCAACCAAUGAUUGAAUAAAAAAAUAAAAACCUAAUCUACUAUAAAAAUAGAACAAAAGGGAAAGUUAUAUUGGAGGGAAAAAUGAGGGGUAUUUUUGUUUCAAUUAGGUCAACUUUUUUGCCUUUUAAGGGGUGGGUUAUAUUUGCAAAUAUGGGUGUUAUUUUGACUCGUAUAACCAAAUAAACCUUUUAAAAAGGGUGACCAUGGUAUGAUGACCCUUUCUCCUUUCCUUUUGGUUUAUUUUCAUUUCAUGGCCACUUAUUAAGAUGAGUGUUAUUCAAUAGAUCACCGUAUGUUCUUCCAAAUAAAUCAUUCCGACCUGUCUAAGCUUUGAAGAUUUUGUAACUCCAACUUGGAAUCUCCUAGAAGCAUUAAAGAUUCUUAUGCUUCCCCAAAGGAAGAUAAUAGCUACAAGGGAAGUUUCCUAGUCUAAAAUGAAAUAUAAGAAGGGACCUGUCACUUCAUCUUUGAGGUUUGGACAUGAUGGAGGCAACAUUUUGUUUGGUUGGGGAGAAAAUGUAGGAAACACCUAUCAGGCAAACUCACCUAUCCAUACGAUUCUUGAGCUUUAACAAGAACUUCUCAUUGUUCUCUUCAACAAUUUUUAUCAACCGCUCCACUAAAUUCUUCUUGUCCUGAAGCCAAAGGUUGUGUAUAUCAACUUCAAAGCCCUCACCCUCUGAUCCCAGCAACAAACCUUUCCUCAACCGAUUGUAGGUGGGGAGUUUCUCGAGUGCAGCCCAUUUCAAAGCAUCCUCGUCAUCCUCACCCCUCGUAGAUUGGGAGAAAAUCUCGACAUUAGGGGUCCUCCAUCUCAUAGAACCAGCUCUACGAGUUUUAGGAGUCGACAUUGCAAGUAGAAAGGAAGAACUCUCUUGCAAAACCAACAAGAACUUGGCAAAACCCGAACGGUUGAAAUUAUAAUCCGAGCUAAAGUCAAACUAAAAGAAUUUUAGGAAUUUGAUAAAUAUUAAAAUUGUUAUUUAUUUAGAUUUUUAUGUUAAUUAAGACUUUUGGUAUAAUAGCAAUUGGAGUCUUGGUACAUUGGUUUAUUAUAAGUUAUCAUGUUGAAAAGAAAAAAUGCAAUAAAGUAUUAUUUUAGCAAAAAUAUUAUUAAUACUCAAUUGUGUGGGUUCCAACUGAAACCUUUCCAAAGAAUAUAAACUCCUUUUUCUCUCUCUUAGUACAAUGUUAUGUCUUGUUGUAUUGCUACUACUGCAUUGUAAAAAUCAUAUAGAAUGGAAGGUUUAUGUAGUUAUUGGUAGGACAGAAAAUGAAGCGGUUCAAAAGAUUUGAAACUAGUUUAUUUUCUUGUGAUUCUUUAAGCUAUGUUUGGUUUAUGGAAAGUAGUAAGGAAAGAAAAAAAAGUGUUAAGAAAAAUGGUUUUUUUAUGUUUAGUUUCAUAAUGAAAAAUAAAAAAGAAAAUAAAAUAUAAUUAAAAUUUGUUAAAAAUUUAUAUAUUUUAAAAUUAUUUAAUCUUUGUAUAAUAGUCGAAAAUAAGUAAAAUAACUUUGAAGAAAUAUAUUGAAGUAAUUUAUUAAAUUUAAAUUUAUUUAAAUUUUCUUCAUUUUUUUUUCUUUCUACUUUUCCUCUUUAUUUUUUUUCCUUCACAUUUUUUCUCAUAUUUUUUGGGAACCAAACAUAGCCUAGAAAAUUAGUGAGGGAAAUCGACUAUAAAAAAGUUUGUGCAAUGACUCCAUAAUAUUGUACGCAUGCCACCAUUUUUUUUUUCCUUUCAACUUCCUAUAUUAAGACUUUCACGGUUCAUAAUUUUUGGUUUCUUACACUUUCUUUAGCAAGUAAACAAAAAUGUGAAUUAUUGAAUGUUUUGUUAGUUUUUAAAAUAAGAAAUAUAAUACUCAAUUUUAUACAUGUUUUCAGGCAUGUUUGGUAUGUAAGUUAUGAUAGGAUAGAGUAUCUAUAUUCUAUAAUAUCAAAUAUGCAUUAAAUGAAAAAUGCAUAUUUUAAACUAUAAUUUCAAUGAGAUAUGAUAUAUUUUUUAUAUUAAAUCCAAUAUGAUAUUGUAAGAUGACAUAUCCAAUGCAUUUCCUAAAAUAAAUGAUUUCCAUAUAUUUUUUAAGAUUAUUAAAUCCAAUGGAUAUAAUAUUCUAAGGUAACAUAUCUAAUGAGAUAGGUAAUGUAACAUUAUGCUUAUAUUUAAUUUGUAAAAUGAAUAAAAAAUAAAAUGGAUUAUAUAUUAUUUUAUAACAUAUCUUCUAUUUUAACCAUAAAUUUAACUUUGCAAUAAAAAAAAAUAUUUUACUAAAUAAGUGAUAAAAAAUAAAAAAAUAAUAAAAGAAAAAUAAAUUUAUGAUACAUAGAAUAAUAUAUCUCACUACUUAUCCGAUGUAGAAGGAAUAUAAAAAAGAUAUAGAUAAUAUAUAUCACUACUUAUUCUACCAUAUGUUCCAUCCACCCAACCAAACCAUGACCUUACGAUAUAAAAAAAUUAAAGUUUAAUAGCAUCCACAUUAAUAAAAACAAACAAUUUACGAAUAUAAACCAAACAAUCAAACACUCAAAUGAUAUUUCGCUCUAUUUAGACUAAUGAAAAAUAAACAAUUUAAAUAUUAAAAAACAUUCCACUUUAUUAAGCUUUAAGGUUAGAAUCUUAAAAAAAAGUUGCUUUAAGAAUAUUUUUUAGAGUUAUUUCAAAGGAAUGGAAUUAUUUGUUUUUUUUUUUUUUUCAUUUAUGUCGUAAAGCAAAUUAUUUUAAAAUUUAAAAUCAAAAUAUAAAAAUUUUAUUUUUUAUAUUAAGAUAAAAUUGUCUUAUAAAAAGUAACAAGUUAAAAAACAAAUAAUUUUUAUAAUGACUUAAGUCUUAACACUAUUAAGCAUUAUUUAGAUAUAAGGUUUAUUUAAUUUUUUUUUUUAUAAAAAAAUACCAUCUUUCACAUAAGAUUUAAGUAGGUUUAACCUAUUCGAAAUUGCUUGAAAUCUAAGAGGUUAUUUGUUUUUUAAACUUAAAUCUUAAAGCUAGUUGCUUUAAAAUUUAAGAUAAAACUAAAUAAAAUAAAAUAAAAUAAAAACUUUUGUUAUUAAGACAAAAUUUUCUUUUAAAAAUGAUAAACUAAAAAGAUAAUUUGAAAAAUGACUUCCAUCUUAAAGCAACUCUUUUUAUUAGGAUUCCAUGUCUAUCCUAAUUAAAAUUAAUAAUCAACUUGAUUUUGAGUAAGUUUAUAUUAUUGUUAACCGACAUUAUUUUUCAAUAAAAGCAUUUGCGAAAACAUAAACACAUUUAUGCUUCAAUAAAUGGAAUACAUUUUUUAGUAAUAUAACCAUACUUUAUUUAAAAAAAAAAACAUAUUAGUCUAAUAAUCGAUAUUCAUAAUUGAUAAUAUCAUAUAUUAAAAAUUAUGAACGGUGAAUAACUAAUAUAUAUGGAUUAUUAAAGUAACGAUGAGCAUACAACCUAUGUAACUUGGUGAAAACUUUUUUGUCCAUCUGUUUUUGCUUUGCUUAUUAAAAAAUAAAUUAUUAAAGCAAUAAUGAGCAUAAAAAUUAAUUAAAACAAUAACUAUCACUCAAAUGAAGUAUUAUAGGCUCUAUUGAUAAUUGUUUUUAAAAACAAUUUUUAUUCUCCAGAAUAAAAAAACAAUGAAACAAGUUUGAUAAUAGAAAACAAAAAACAUUUUAUUGUUUUUUUUUAUAAAAAAAAGACAUUGUUUUUUCAAUCCUUUAAUUGUUUUCACUUUUUUUAAGGAUUACUAAAAAAAAUUAACCAAAUGAUUAAAAAUAAAACACUACAUGUAAAAAUUAUUUUAAACCAUAUUUAAAAAUAUAGAAAAUAGGUUAAAAAUAUUUUAGAUUUUUAAAUAGACUUUUGUUUUAUAAAAAAUCAAAUAACAAUUUUCAAAAAUUAUUUUUAAAAAUUGUUUUCAAAAAAACAUUUUUCAUAUAGAACCCUAUCCUACCAACUAUAUAUAUAUAUAUAUAUAUAUAUAUUCACACAAUGCUAAUGCUAUGAAAAGGUAAUGAUAAUAGAGAGUAGAGAAGAACUUACUAAAUUGAAGAUCGAACAAGUCUUAGAAAAACAUUGUCAGUAAGACAUGGGAUGAGAACGAUUUCAUAUAGCUACUGAGAUUGUCCUCAAAGUUACAGCUAGUAAAAUUGUCCUCAAAGUUGUUCUUCAAAAACAAAAAUACUAUAAAUGGUUGGAUCCAACCUUUCAAGGAAACCAAAGCCUUUUUUUUUGAUAAAGAGAUUUUUUUUUUCCCUUCUAAAAUGAACAUUCUAUAUAUAGAAUCUGAAGGUAUUAAACUGUGCCUCCAAGUAGUUUGACUGUAAAGUAAAAUUCAAUCCUAUGUGUUGAUUGUUCUUGUGGUUUGCUAAUUGGUCAGGCAAUCGAUCUUUCCUCAAGUGGUUUCCAUAUUAUCAUUUUUCAUCUUUUUCCUCAUCAUUUUUAUCCUUUUCCAUAAGUAAAAAAAUAUUUAAAUAAAUUAUUUCAUUAGCAAUUUGUUGAAUACUUGAAAAUAAAUUAAAUAAGAGAAGUAUUCACAUAUUUUUUACUUAAUUAGUCAUGAUGACAUUAAUAAUGAGAGUAAGGUAUAACCAAAUAAGACUAAGAUAGGAAAAAAAUGAGACCAAAAAAUUUGUCUCUAAAAGGUAUGAAAAAUUGAGAAUCAAAUAUGAAUUCAGGAGAUAUAGGUAUAAAUUUAACAAUAAAAAUGUUAAUUAUGCUUAAAUGUAUGAAUUUAAGAAAAUCUUAAAUUUUGCUCAUAAUUAUUCAUGAUCACGUCAAAUUUAUAUAUAGGAAUGGUUGANNNNNNNNNNNNNNNNNNNNNNNNNNNNNNNNNNNNNNNNNNNNNNNNNNNNNNNNNNNNNNNNNNNNNNNNNNNNNNNNNNNNNNNNNNNNNNNNNNNNAGCAAUGCAUAACCAAAUGGUACUAAGAUAGGAAAUAAUGAGACCAAAGAACUUGUCUUUAAAAGGUAUGAAAAAAUAAGAUUCAAAUACCAAUUAACUAGAUAUAGGUAUAAAUUUAAUAGGAGAAAUAUUAAAUACGCUUAAGGUUAUGUUUGGUUCCAGGAAACUAUUAAGAAAAGAAAAAAAAAUAUAAAGGAAAAUUAUUUUCUGUUUGAUUGUUUUAUGAAAAAUAUAAAAGAAAAUCAAAUAUAAUUAAAAUAAACAGAAUGAGUUUAAAGUUAUAAAUAAAAAUAAUUUAUCGACUUUUAAUUCUUUCGUAUUUUCCCACAAAUUUUCAUGGAACCAAACAUAGCAUAAAUGUAUGAAUUUAGGAAAAUAAAAAAUUUUGGCCAUAAUUUUUCAUCAUUUCAUCAAAUAUAUAUAGGAAUGGUUGAAAAUAAUGAGAGCAAUGUAUAACCAAAUGAUAUUAAGAAAAUAAUGAAAUCAAAUAAUUUGUCACUAAAAGGUACUGAAAAUGAGAGUCAAAUAUGAAUUUAUGAAAUACAAGUAUAAAUUUAAUAAGAGAAAUCCUAGUAAUGCUUAAAUAUGUGAAUUUUAGAAAUUCUAAAAUUUUGACCAUAAUUAUUCUCACAUCAAAUAUAUAUAUAUAUAGGAAUUGUUGAAAAUAAUGAAACCAAAAAAUUUGUCUCUAAAAAGUACCAAGAAAUGAGAAUCAAAUAUGAAUUAAUCAAAUAUAAGUAAAUUUAGUUAGAGAAAUAUUAACAAUGCUUAAAGAUAUGAAUUUAAGAAAAUCUAAAAUUUUAACCAUAAUUAUUCAUGAUUACAUUAAAUAUAUAUAGGAAGGGUCGAAAAUAAUGAGAGCAAUGUAUAAGCAACUGGGACUAAGAAAAUAAUGAAACAAAAAAAUUUGUCUCUAAAAGGUAUGAAAAAAUGAGAGUAAAAUUAUGAAUUAAUGAGAUAUAGGGAUGAAUUUAACAAGAGAAAUAUUAAUAAUGCUUAAAUAUAUGAAUUUAAGAAAAUCUAAAAUUUUGGUCAUAAUUAUUCAUAAUCACAUCAAAUAUAUAUAGUGAUGGGUGAAAAUAAUGAGAUCAAUGUAUAACCAAAUGAGACUAAGAUAGAAAAUAAUAAAACUAAAAAAAUUCUCUAAAAUGUAUGAAAAAAAUGAGGUUAAAUAUGAAUUAACAUAUGUAAAAAUUUAAUUAGAAAAAUAUUGACAAUCUUAAGUAUGUGAAUUUAAGAAAAUCUAAAAUUUUGACCACAAUUAUUCAUGAUCACAUCAAAUAUAUAUAGGAACGGUUGAAAAUAAUGAAAGGUAUAAUCAAAUGAGACUAAGAUAGAAAAUAAUGAAACCAAAGAAUUUGUCUUUAAAAGUUACAAAAAUAAAAAAAAAUGAGAGUCAAAUGUGAAUUAAUGAGAUGUUGGUAUAAAUUUAAUCAGAGAAAUAUUAAUAAUGCUUAAGCAUAUGAAUUUAAGAAAAUCUAAAAUUUUGGUCAUAAUUAUUCAUUAUCACAUCAAAAUAGGACGCUUGAAAAUAAUGAGAGCAAGGUAUAAUCAUACGAGACUAUGAUUAUCAAACUACUUCAAAAUCAAAAUCCUUAAUAGAAUCAAAUCAUCAAGAUGAUGUUAGUCUUUUUCAAAACAUUGAAGAAAAUCUAAGCCAAAGUUCCAAUGACCAAGAAAUAUGCAUAAAAGAUAGUUGCCGACCAAAGACCUUAAAAGUAAUCACUAAGGAAUAAGAAUUGAUUUUAGAAUUACUUAUUAAGGUUAAAGAUUCUUCAAUAAGAACAUAAUUAUGUGAAAUUUGUAAGAAAUCGAUUUCUAAACUAGAAAUGAAAAAAAAACUAUAAAACCUUAUAACUUCGAUGAAAUAUUGACAAGAUUUAACUAUAAUUCCCUAAAAAAGUGAUUAUUAAAGAUCUUCAAUAGGAAAUAAGAUGAUGUUAGAAGUUAGAGAAUUAAGACAAUGCACCAACAUAUGUUUAACAAACCUUCAAGAACAAAUUAAUUAGAUAGUAAGUAACAAGAAUUAAUUUAUCCUAAAAUCCUUAUAAGUUAAUGAAGAUUUAUCACACUUAUAUCUCAAUGUUAUAAAUAGGGUCAUCUUUAAAAAAAUGCAAUGUUUCCCUAACAAUUGUGAUUAACAAUGAGUUCAUCGCUAAGAUUAAUUGUUGUCUUAAUAGAUUCAAGAGUAGCUUCUUUAUGACAUGCUAUUAGGUCAAACUUAAGAUUAGCUACAAAUUGUCUAAGGCUCAUAUCAAUAAUCAAGGGAUAUGCACACAACAUUUAAUUUGGUAUAAGAUUUAAGAGAGAAAUAUCCUUGGAAUACCCUUUUUAAUUGUCUACCCUAUCACUAGAGUAGAUGGUAAAGGUAUAAGACUAAACUCUUAAAUCAAGAGACUCUUUUUGAAUUUGCAUAUCCUCUAAAAAGAAACCUAAAUAAAUUAAGAUCCUUGAUUAUUUCUAAAAAAAUAUAGGCUAAGGAUAAUCAUAUCAAUUUUUUAGUUCAAGAAGUUAGAUAUAAGAGAAUUGAAGAACAAUUGGAAGUUAAAAAGACUCAAGAUGCUAUCCAAUAAUUCAAAGAAAAGUUGGUUAGAGAAGUCCAUCCUAAAUUCCCUAAUGUAUUUUGGCAUAGGAAUGAACAUGUAAUAGAACUACCUUACAACCUAGAAUUUAGGGAAAAUGAUAUUCCCACUAAGGCAAGACCAAUUCAAAUGAUUCAAAAACCAUUGAGAUAUUAUGAAAAGGAAAUUUAAGAACUCUUUGAUAAAAAAUUAAUAAAGAAUCCAAAUCUCCUUGAAGUUGUGUAUGCGCAAAUUUCGUGAAGUCUUGCAAAACAACCAAAAACUAUAGGAAAAAUCUAUGUGAUCAAAACUUUAUAUUGAAAUUAAUUGAUUGUGCGGUAUAGACUCAAAUAUAAUAUUCUUUACAAAAAAAUAUUUUCCCUUUGAUUCAUUCACUUUGAUUACAAUCCCAAAGAUGAUGACAAGAGUCUUUUCUUGAUUAUUUUAGAAAAUCAAUCCAAGGCUUAGAGUGGUUUUUUCUUGAAUGAACUUGUUAAAUGGUGAAAAACACGUUUAUGCAUUUUCUCAUACUUGCAGGGAGAUUUUAUAAUAAUAAUAAAAAAAUUCUUUGUAAAGCUUUUUUUCCUAUGUGAAGUCCUUUUGCCAAUCUCUCUUUUCCUUGAAAGAAGUCACCUUUAUUUAUAGGUGAAGAUAGGAAAUUAAAUUUUGAAUUUCAAGAUUUGAUUACUUCAUUCAAGGAAUUUGGUUCCUUGAUUAUUUUCAUAACUUUUCUCCUUCCUCACUAAAGUUUUGUCAACAAGAUAAUAUCUAUUAUUUGGUUGGAGAUUUUUGUUCCCCUUUUUUUAGGAAACUUGUUAAAAAGAGAAUAUCUAUUUCUACUUCUCUUCGAUUAGAAGACUUAAUUUCAUAGUCUUCCAAAUUUUACUACGUGUUACCUUCAAAGUUGCAUGCCACAUGUCUAAUGACUUGUCAAGCCUAAAUUUUGUUGAAAUAUGAAGUUACAAUUUUGAAGUCCGAUUUAAUGGUAAUUUAAUCCACUAAAAAUUUGGAUAGCUACAAAUUUCUCUAUUGUUUAUGUUAAAAAACAAACAAAAUUUGAAAGAGGAACACCUAGGCUUGUGAAUAAUUACAAACCCCUUAAUGAAGCCUUAAGAUGGAUUAGGUAUCAUAUUCCAAAUAAGAGAGACCUUCUUCAAAGAUUAGUUAAUUAGUCUAGGAUAUUCUUUAAGUUUGACGUGAAAUCAAGCUUUUUUGGCAAAUCCAGAUCAUAGAAAAAAAACAUGUAUAAAACAACUUUUACAAUACCAUUUGGACAUUAUGAAUGGAAUUUAGUAUCAUUUGGUAUUAAAAAUGUCCUCUCAUAAUUUCAAAACAUUAUGAGGCAACUGUCCUAAUGAUGAACUCAUUGUUAAUUACAAUUGUUAGGAAAAUAUUUCAUUUUUGAAAGAUGAUCCUAUUUAUAACAUUGAGAUACGAGUCUGAUAAACCUUCAUUGACUUUUGAGGAUUCUAAGAUAUCUUGAUUUUUAUUACUUAAGAUCUUAUUAAUUUGUUCUUGAAGGUCACUUAAACUUAUAUUGGUGUAUUGUCUUAAUUCUUGAACCUCUAUGUGUGCGUGCGUGCGUGUUCUCAUAACAAUUGCAGCAGCUCUUGCAUCUAGCCCUGAAGUUGGCUCAUCCAUGAAUAUUAUUGAGGGAUUUGCCACAAGCUCAACUGCAAUGGUCAGCCUCUUGCGCUGCUCAGUUGAGAGACCAUUUACACCUGGCAACCCAACUAGUGUGUCCCUCAAUGGGGUCAGUUCAACGAGCUCCAUGACUUCCUCAAUGAACAUCUGUAACCAUUAGCAAGGAUUAGAAAUUGUUUGAACCGGCACUUUUCCCCAGAGUGAAGCUCAACCAAUUUUGGGAUGAUGCACACUAAGCAAGGCUUCCAAAAUUCUGAACAAUCAAAGCAAGUGAUUCUACAAUUCAAAGCAUAACUGCUUCAUUUGGAUAUGAUCAUCAGGAUACCACUGUAUGAGCACCAAACUUUCUUUCAUUGAAUGAGUUGAAUACUAGGAAAACUGAACUACUUCUCUUCAUGGGUCCAACAUAUCAGUAGAAAUGGGAUCUGAAAGCGCAGACAUGGAACCGCUGGAAAUAACUCUGAACCUUCUGAAGAAGGCCACAACUUCCCUUUUUGAUAACUCAAGUCUAAAUUUAAGAGCAUUGCAAACCCUGCCCCUGGUACACACUUUGUUGGCUUUGAAACCAAACUAUUUUCAUGUUGAUACCGUGUCUUUAUGAUUUCGGCUACUUAAAGCAGCUACCAAAAGUGGAGCACCAUACUGGUAAGUUGGUAAUCAAGAUGAAAGGAUUGCAUAAGGCUAUAUUAUUGUCUUGAAUUUCAAAUUUUAAAUUACAAAAAAAAUUAGGAGAAAACAAAAUACAAUAAAAUUGGGAGAAAACAAAAUACAAGAAUUUAACAAGAUAAAUACUACCCGCUAUGACACUCUCUAACAGCCUAGACAUAGACCAAAACUUUUAUUCAUCUGUGAAGAACUUGUGCUGUUAUCGCCUUUGGAAGUUAAAUGCCUUAAUGGCAAAGGCAAAUAUAAAUAAGAAAAGCACCGUAAACCCAACAAUCACAACUGCAACCACUCCAAGGAAAUCAUGUUUGAAUCCAAGGUAGUCAUCCAAGUAUUGUUUCACUGUUACAUUUGAGUCAAGUAGUGUGUCCUCGAUAUCUCCAAACUGUGAUGUAACCAAUCCAUACAAACUCCAUGCAACUGGACAGGCCCAAUAGUACCAUCUCCACCACACAGGAAUCCUCUGUAUUCAUCAUGUAAGAAAUGCAACAAAAUGAGAUCGUUUCUGUAUCCAUGUGCUAAAGAAAGUGGCAAUUUAAAGAAUUAUGGGUUGAGAGCACUUACAUUUCGUGGGACUAUAAAACCUGAGAAGAGGUUCCAUAAUGUAUAAAAUGCUAAGGCAACGAUGGCAGCAAUAUGUUGAUUUGGUGUGGCAGCCACAGCCAUCAUGCCAUAAAAGGUGAAGUACAGUAAGGUGAAGAACAUGAAGAACAGAUACCAGAAGAACUUAGCAGCUGUCCAUUCAAAUCCAAUCAUUGCAUAAACUAUAACACCAUACGCCACAGCUUGUGAAAAGACAUAAGGUAUCUCAACUAAAGCCUGAAAGAAGAGAUGAAAUUUGAUUAAUAAAACCCAUAAAGUAUUAGAGAUAUACGAAGUCUAUAGCAUAAGAAAACUAAUUACCUGUGCAAAGGCAUAUGGCAUGGCUGAAUACAUUCCUGCAGCUCUUUCUCUGUAAAAGACUGUCCGUUCAACUGCCACGACUGGUUGCACCGAUUGGCCAUUCUGAAACCCAAGGAAGAGAACAGCGGCAUACAUAGAGCCCAUUGCAUUAGAUAUAUCUUGUUGUCUUGUCCUGCAUUUGCCAAUGUGAAGUAAAAAUUAAAGUUGAUAUGGAGAAGCAUACUGAGUUCUCAAAAUUCUGAACUGACUUCAAACUACCUUUUGGUGCCGAGAUCCCAGAACAUUGUCCCAAACAUCAAGGCUACGAAAGUUGUGAAGAAAAAUCUCACUGCCGUGUAUGGUGGAUUUCGCCAGUAUGACAAACGUUGUUUCCAUAAGCAUGCCAUACACUGGGUGAAGAAGGACUGGGAGUAUUGAGUAGGGAAAUAGAGGUCCUUAGAACCAGGGGUAGGUUGGCUCAAUUCUUUAAUUAAAUCUUUGUUUCUCCUGAAACAUAUGCCACAUCUUAGAAAAGGCUUCAACAACAAAUUCAAGCUUGCAUGAUGAACUUUGAAAUGGCUGUAUAUGACAUUUCAAUAUCAUAAAGCAUUCAGAUAUCCUAUAGUUGAAUCACCUGUAUAUGUCUGACUUUUCGUAUAUUUCGGUGAAAUCCACCCCCAAAAUUAAUUCUUGUGCAGAAGCGGUAACUUCCAACAUCCAAGUUGCAGGGUUAUAACCAUCUUUGAUUUUACUUACUCCUUCAAUUCCCUUAAUGAAAGCAAGUCACAUGUAUUAGUAAGCACUUUAUAUGAAUUAACUUAAACUAAAGUAUUUGCUGCUUAUAGCUUUUAAUUUAUCAUGGAAGUUUACCUCAAAAUACUUUAUCAGAUGGGAAGAAUGUCUACCCAGUGGUCCCAUAUAUAUCUCUUGCCCUCCACGCUUCAACAGGAGCAACUGCAAACCCAUUUUGAAUAUGUCAGUACUUAUAUGCAGGAGAGCAUAGAAGAGAAUAAAUCCUUUCUAUCCAUUAACAUUUCCCACCUCAUCAAAGGCAUCAAAGAUGUCAAUACUUGGCUGAUGGAUGGUGCACACAACUGUUCUUCCUGUGUCCACUGUGUUCCUGACUGUUCUCAUAACAAUUGCAGCAGCUCUUGCAUCUAGCCCUGAAGUUGGCUCAUCCAUGAAUAUUAUUGAGGGAUUUGCCACAAGCUCAACUGCAAUGGUCAGCCUCUUGCGCUGCUCGAUUGAGAGACCAUUUACACCUGGCAACCCAACUAGUGCACCCCUCAAUGGGGUCAGUUCCACGAGGUCCAUGACUUCCUCAAUGAACAUCUAUAACCAUUACCAAAGAUUAGAAAUUGUUUGAACCAGCACUUUUCCUCAAGAGUAUAGGUCAAGCCAAACUUGAACCUGACCAUAGCUCAACCAAGUUUGAAAAAUCAAUUCUAGGGCUUUGCUUGUUCAGAGCACUAAAUUCAAUAAGAAAAAUGUGGAAACAACACAGAAAACUCUCACCUUUCUUGUUUCAGCAUCCACAUUAGGAGGCAAUCGCAGCCAAGCUGAGUAGAGCAAGGACUCAUGGACAGUAACAUGAGGAGAGUGGAUGUCAUUCUGCUCACAGUAUCCAGAAAUGCGAGCAAAAGUCUCUUGCUUCUUUGGGUAGCCAGAAAUGCUGAUGCUACCCUCAAUAUAUCCACCAGUUUUCCGACCAGCCAAUACAUCCAUGAGAGUGCUUUUACCAGCACCACUAACACCCAUCAAAGCUGUAAGAACACCAGGCCUGAAAGCACCACUCACCCCCUUCAGAAGCUCCAAUCUGUCUUCAGGGACACCCUGACUUUUCAUUUCCUGCAAAUUCAAUUCAAACAACUUAGUUCUCAUUUUUGGUUUAUUAGUGCUGAUAAAACAUGUACAUUAUUUGCAUUAAUAUGAAGUUACCUCUGGCAUGUCAACUGAGUAUCUAAUAUCAUCAAAGGUGAUAGAAAGUGGUUGGAAUGGAAGAACCAUUCCUUUUUUGUUGUUACGUCUCGCCUCAGCAAUGGCUUCUGCCCUCACAGAAGAGGAUACGGAUGAGAUACUUCGCCCAAUUUCCUCUCCACUCUCUGCAUGUUAAGUUUAAAUUUAGAGAGCAAUAUAGAACAUGGGGUUAAAUGACAAGAACACAGGCACACAAAGGCAUGCAAGCACCAUGUAUGAGUUUCAUCACCUGUGGAUGCGGUUUGGUCAAUCGAGCCUUUUCUAUGGGACGAUAACUCAAUCUUUCCUUCAGUUUUGGCAUUGUCGGACUCUACUGUUAUAACAGCUCGAGGCUUCUCAAAUGCUGCACAAUUUGCAAAAAUCUUAAUACACUAACCUCCAAUAAUUUAGGAGUUUCAAUGCAGAGACGGUAAAGAUACUCACGAUUUAGGUAAGUCAGAGCCACAGUGUAACAGAAGUUGAAGACAAAUAUGAAUCCAAGCAGUGCCCCAGCUCCUAUCCAGUACCAGUGUGCCUCCGUGAAGAACCCACGAGCCUUCAAUACUGCUACUCCAAGGGAUUCUGUUGAAUUGGUAGAAGCAUUCUGAAAAAUGGAAAUACAUUCAAUCAUCAGUGACUGACACACAUAAAUAAACACAAAUACUCACAUGCAAAAUCCAAGAACUUACUUUGCUCCAACUCUUCCCAAGGAAUUCAUUUACCACUAUUGCGUUCUGUGCAUACAUCAUAGGGGAAGACCAGUAACCCCAAAUCCACCAUUUCUUGACACUUUCUGCAGCAUUGACCAAAUACAAAAAGAAAACAAAAAUCCAUUAUUAGUGUUUAUCAACAAGAAGGUUCUACAUUUCCUGAAAAUUUCUUUCCUCCUUAUACCUCGUGACAGGACAAAACCACCCAAUGCAAAGGGCAGAACUAAUGCAAAUGACCCAAAUGUGUUUGCAACAAUCAUGCUUCUACAAGCUGCUGCUAUAAAUCGAAAUAAUGAAGAUGCCGUCUGAUUAAGAAGCAAGAGGAGAAGAUACUGUCUAAACAAUCUGCAAUAAGAAGAUUUGUUUAUUGAGCAUAGAUCAUUUUGGAACAGAGAAAACAGGUGAAACAAAUCUGGACAAGUUUCUGCAACUUCAUAAGUUUUUAACUUUUACCUUCCCACAUUUGGAUCAAAUCCAAUGACAUAAUAAGUGAUGAAUACCCAAAGACCAACUUCAACAAAUGUGAUGGGGAUCUUGAGGAACCAUGAGGGAAGAGCAUAUGCCCAUGCAGGAUAGAAGAGCAGGCCUCUUUGCUUGUAAAAGACAGGAAGUUUUAGAAUGGUCAUGGCAAGUUCUGACAUUCCAUUAAACAUGACCUUCAUGACAGUGAAGAACAAAGCACCAGUGUAAAUGAUUCCAUCUUCUGUUGUGUUUUUGGGCAUCUCAGUUCUUAGGAAGAUUGUCAUUGCAAUCAUUGCGACUAUUGUGAGCUAAAAGCAGAAAUAAAAAUAAUAAAUUACGAUCAAAUGUACAAAAUUAAAAGCCAUUGUUAUAAGUAACAACAAUAAUAAUACUCACUUGGGUGAGCUUGAAAAUAUAGACAAAUGAAUUCCUCUUCAUCAGCAAGUACUCUCUUGAGAUGCAAGCAUCCAACAGUUCCUUCUUUCCAACACCAUAUUUUUCAGUUUUCAAAGCAGCCGGGUGGCUUUUGGUCUUGUCGAAUGGAGUUGCAAGCUCAUCUCCUAGUUUCCGUCCAAAGUGAAAUGACUGGAAUGCCUCAGCNNNNNNNNNNNNNNNNNNNNNNNNNNNNNNNNNNNNNNNNNNNNNNNNNNNNNNNNNNNNNNNNNNNNNNNNNNNNNNNNNNNNNNNNNNNNNNNNNNNNAUCUUUAUGUGCCCAAUACUGCUNNGAUCUUCCUAGAUGUUACUGCAAUCAAUUUUAAAAUUCGUGUUCUAGCUUGGUUUUUUCUAAAGAAGGGAAAAAAUGAGAAGAUGCCAAAAGGUACAAAGCUAUUAGCACUCACUUCUUGUAGGAAGUCUGCCACACCCUUCCUUUCAGGACAUCUGAACCCCAUGGAUUCAAAAAAGUUAAGAACGUCUUCACGAGGACCCUGAUAAAUGAUCCGGCUAUCAGAGAGAAGAAUGAUGUCAUCAAAAAGAUCGUAAGUCUCAGGUGCUGGCUGGAGGAGAGAGAUGAGAGCAGUCCCAUUGAGAAUGUGGACGGUUUGCCUGAGAGAAUUUACGAUUUGAUAAGUUGUUGAGCUAUCCAAGCCAGUAGAGAUCUCAUCCAUGAACAGUGCCUUUGAUGGUCCAACCAGCAUCUCACCUAUCAUUCAUAUAUUUUCAAAUAAUUGAACUAUAUUAGAUUAAUGAACAAAAAAUAUCUUCUUCUUCUUCUUUUUUCCUUUUUCAUGUUAGAACACAAAUUAUCCUACCAGUUGUGACACGCUUCCUUUGUCCUCCAGAGAUACCCCUCACCAUUUCAUCUCCUACCAUGGUGUCUGCACAGAUUUCUAGUCCCAGAAUCUGUAAAUUUAAGUGUAAAUGAAAAUAAACAAAUUAUGAGUUAGAACUGGGUUUUCUCAGAAAUCUGUAUUCCAUCAUUGAAAGUUUUAUGGUUAUGAUACCUUUAGUGUAUAAUCAGUGAUCACAUUCUCCUUCUGGCCUUCAGCUGCCGCUGCCUGAAAUGUUAGAAACCAAUAAUGAAAAUCUCAACAACCAUUAAAGUUAGUUUGGUACAUCAAGAUAUUCCAUGGAUAAGAUCGACAGAACAUCAAGAAAACAAAGUCAAUUUGCAUAUCUAUGUGAGAGAUCAAAAUUUUCAUUCUAGAGAAGACAAGUGUCCAUGUUCUCCACGAAAAACAAAUAGCUGAUCAAUUUCACAAAGUAGCUUCUGUCUCACCUUCAUGAAGACAUCGAUAUCAGGAUCGGGCUUUAUAUUUGCUGCUUUCUCUCUUCUUGAGAGCUCUACUAACAUGUCUGCAGAUAGCCAAAAUAAGAGUCAAUCUCCUGGCCUAGGCAAAUGUCAUACAACUACAUCCACAACCUUCAAAAACAAAGAAAAUAAAAGUGAAGGCAAUGGUUUAGACUAACCAUAUCGAUCUCCAACACCCUGGCAUCUUGCAGAGAAGGCCAAGGUUUCCCGUACAGUCAUUUCUCCUAUAUGGGUAUCAAGUUGGCUUAUGUAGGCGGCAGUUCUCUGGGGUACAAACUCAUUCAUGCCAUGACCGUUGUAUGUCACCCUUCCCGUAACCUAAACAAGAAAUUUCAGUUUUCAAAUUGGAUAUGAGAUUAAAGUGCUAAAAAUUGCAUCAAAGAAGAAAAGCAAUAAGAGUUUUUUUUUUUUUUUUUUCCAUUCAACCUUUAGACUGGAAUCAAGCUUUCCGGACAAAGCCAAUAAGAGAGUGGUCUUUCCAGAACUUGGAGGACCCAAAAGCAACGUCAUUCUGCAGAAAAAAAAUUAUGCACAAAAAAUUGAGUAUUGAUCUUCAGGGCAUUCUAAAUUUGAGAAAGGAAAAAAUCAUUUGAUUUAUCAAUCAAUUUUUUACUAGAAAUAAAUUCAAAUUCUCACCUUCCGGGUUUGAUGAUUCCGCUAACAUCAUGAAGAAUGGUGAAUUUCUUCUUUCUACUUGGAAGAAUUCGAAGAGUGUUCAAGAUAUCCUUUAAAACAGAAAGAAAAAUUAUAAUCUAAAAACAAACUUUCCCAAGAGAGUACUUAUUGAUUAGCUAAUGAUCUGCAUUUUCAUUUUAGUUACCUCAAUUUGAUUAAAAACAGAAUUAAUGAAUGAAGGCAAAGCUCUGCUUCCUACAUGAGCUUCUGCAUCAAUGGUAAGAUGCUCAAAUCUAACUUCAAUUUCGGGAAGAUCAAUCCCAACUCUGAAAAAUGGAAGAGCCACGAAAACUCGUUAUUAAAAAGUCAAAGGAAGAUGUUGUUUGGUUGCAAAGAAAAUAUAGGAAACACUAUCAGGCAUACUUAAGAUGAAUUCUUUCUUUUCCACUGUUUUCAAUGUUCAAAAAGAGGCAAGGAGCGCAAGAAAAGAAGAGAAAUCGCACCUAUCCAUACGAUUCUUGAGCUUCAACAAGAACUUCUCAUUGUCCUCUUCAGCGAUUUUCACCAACCGCUCGACUAAAUUCUUCCUUUCCUGAGGCCCAAGGUUGUGUAUAUCAACUUCACUGGCCUCACCCUCUGAUCCGAUCAGCAAACCUUUCCUCAGCCGAUUGUAGGUGGGAAGUUUCUCGAGGGCAGCCCAUUUCAAAGCUUCCUCAUCAUCCUCAUCCCUUGAAGAACGGGAGAAAACCUCCGCACCAGAGUUCCUCCAUAUGGAAGAACUGUUCUUCUUGAAACUACCACUGGCUCUACGACCACUGGCUGUAUAAAUUUCAGCUGUUUCCAUUGCAACACGAAACGAGGAACCCCCCUGCAAAACUAACCAGAACCCACCAAAACCCAGAAAUUUUUCCAAAAAAUCAGGAGAAGCCCAAGUUUUGAUCUCUGGAGCUGAAAAAAACUCAGAGAUGGGUGUCCUCCCCUCUUUUCUCUAUGCACUUUGUAGUGCUAAAACCUUGUUCUAUGUUAGAAAACCAUGAGGAAUGGAAGGUUUAUAUACUGGUUCGAAGGACAGAAUCAGAGGCGGCCUAAAAGUUUCAAAUUCUUAUUUUAACAUUUUCACAAUUCUCCACUAUCUUGUUUGUCAAGUAAAUGGAAAAGUGAAUUAUUAAAUGUUGUCCUAACCGCAAACUAACUAACUUUCCCGGGCCAAACUAACUAAAUUCCAAAUGUAAAACAUUUAUGGCAUCUUGUUUAUACUCUUGUUUAAUGAUAUGAUACUUUCGGUUUAGUUUGCCUGAAUUAAAAAUGUAAGUUAAUUUUUAACAUUUCAUUUAUAACCUAAUUUAAUGUUGAUAUAUUGAAUUUGGAUUACUUCUUUUAAUCUCAGAAUUUAUUAAGAUUAGAUCGGAGUUGAGUUAAUAGGCCUCGAGUUAAUUUAAAUUAUAUUCAAGGAAAGAGUUAAGUAAACUUUAAUAAGUGAAUGAUGAAAUUUUUUAUUUCUAAAUUAUAUGUAAUAUAAUCAAAUAUAUGUCUCGUUAUUACGAGUUUACAAGUAACCCAAUAGGCAUAAGAAUUAUUGAAGGUUGGCCCAACAGCCCCUUUUGACCCUUCAAAUGACUGCCCUUGUCAUUUUCAGCUUUACUCACCCUUGUCAACCAGCAAGCAACUCACUAGGAAUAGGAAUUAUCAAAUUAAGUAACUUUGCCACAAGCAGCCCCAACCCCACCCCCAAACCCCCAAACCCCCACCCCCCACCCCCCACCCACCACCCAACAUAUUUUUUUGGCAAUUUUUGUUAAAUCUAAUUUAAUAUUUUGAUAUUUGGAUUACCUAAAUUAGAAAUGUAAGUUAAUUUUUAGAAAUUUGUUUGUAGUCUAAUUUAAUGUUGAUUAAACUCGAGUAAGUUUAAAUUAGGAUUAAAUCUAUUUAAGGAUGGUGUUAAACAAAUGAGGAAACCUAAACCUUAAUUAAGUGGGUUAUUAGAAAAAAUAUUAUGGUAUUAAUUAUUUCAUGAAUUUGUAUAUCUUAAAAUUAGUUAAUAAUACCCCUCAUUAUUAUUCAAUAAAAGUGGCCAAUUCUAUGGUAAAGAAUAAAAAUAUUAAAAACAUUAGUAAAAGAUGUUUUAGACUUUACUAAAAAAAUAAGUUAAAAGACUUUUUCAAAAGAAUUUUAAAAAGUAUUUAAACUCCCCGCUAAGAUAUUUUAAUAAAUCAUUUUUUUUUUUACCAAGUCAAUGGAAAUUUGAAUUAUUAAAUGUUAUCUAACUACUAGAUAAAUUAAUAAGUUGUUUGACAAUUAUUUUUUGAGAACUAUUUUUUUAUUUUAUCUUUAAGUUGUUUUCACUUAUUUUUUAAAAUUUGUUUUAAAAAAUAACUAUACAGAAAAAUGAUUAAAAAUAAAGUACUAAAUAUAAAAAAAAUCAUUUUUAAAAAAUAUUAAAAACCAUUUAAAAUAUUUUAAAUUCUCAAAUAAACUUUUGUUUUAUAAAACAUUAAAAAAUAAUUUUUAAAAACUGUUCUUAAAAACUAUUUUUCAAAAUUAUUUUUUAAAACAAUUACAAAAUGGAUCCUAACUUUAUUUGCCUGAGUGCAAAUCUACCUAAAUUGUAAAUGUAAAAUACUUUUUUGGCAAUUUAUUUAUAAUUUAAUUUUAAGAUUCCAUACUUUGGGUUUUGAAUUACCACUUUUAAUCUCCCAACUUUUUAGAGUAGGAUUGGAUUAGCUGAAUUUGACUCUGCUUAGAGUUAGGUCCCGGGUGGUUUUCGACUGGCUCAUACUCUCCUAAAUUAUAAAUGUAAGUACAUUUUUUGGUACAUUUCCUUUUCUUUUUUUUUUUUUUAAAAACAAAAUAUCUUAUAUGAAAAAAAAAAAAAGGAAUUCUUGUAUAAAAGCUAGUUAUAUACCUUGUAUAAAAAUUUAAGUAAUUUUACUUCCACAAAUUUUCUAGGUUUUGAAAAGAAUUUUUAGAAAUACAAGGUAAAUUUUACCUUUUUAUAUAAAAGUUCUUAUAUUUUAUAUAGAAAUUCUUAUUUUUAAAAAUAAAAAAUGUACCUAAUCACCACCUAAAUUAUUUUUCACCAUUUUUUUAUACUAUAAUCUAAUGUUUAUGAUCGAAAUCUAGUGUUUGUAGUUAAGUUUGUAUUGAAGUUUAGUCAACAUAUUCAUGGAUGAAGCUAAACUAAUGACAGAAACUUUAUUUAAGUGAGCAAUUAGAACAAUUAUGAGGGUAAUAAAUAAUUGAUAAAUUUUCAAAAUUUAAAAUUUGUUAACAAUUCCCCUCAUUAUUAUAAAAAAUAUAUAUACAAUUAUAGAGGUUAAUUAUAAAAAAGAAAGAAAAUAUAUGAUAUAUCAAACUGAAUAAAAAUAAUAUCAAACAUAUUGGUAAAAAUAUUUUUGUUUUUCAAAAAAAAAACAUCCAAAAAAUUAAAAGGUUUUUUUUCAAAAGAAUUAAAAAAUAGUUAAAAUUUUCAAUAAGAAAUUUCUAAUAAUUUUGUUUUAACAAAAAUAGAAAAUCAACAAUUCCACUUAUAAAUUUCUUCUAUUUUUCAAAUAGCUAAAGAUAAAUUGAGUGAGGAAACUAUUUUUUUUAUGAAGUAUAUAUAAUAUAGUAAAAAUAUCAUAUUAAGUUAUAUAAUUUUUAUAAUUAAAGUUAAAUUCAAAUUCUCAUAAUAUAGUCAUUAUAUGAGAUUUGAUAUGAUGAUAUUUAUAAAAUCGAUGAGAUUGAUAUUCAAAUAUUUCUUUUUAAAACAUACUGAUUUAACUCUACAAGUGGUACCACCACCCAUAUAAAUUAAUAUUAAUUACAAACUUCCAUAAUACAAAUCAUUGCAUAGGAUUAGAUUUAUUAAAAAUUAAAUAACAUAUAAAUUUAUAUAGCUUUGUAGUAAAUUCUAAAUUAGUGAUUAUUUCAUUAAAUCUAAAAAAUAAAAGUAAAAUGACCAAAUCAAUCUGCAAAAAAUUCACCACUCAAAAUAAUUUAAUAAAAUGUCAAAUACUAAUAGAAUUUUUUGAGGGAUGAGGUUUAGAAAAAUCAAAUUUAGCUUUUUCUAUUUGAAAAAACCUCAUUUUCAAGGGAAGACAUUAUUAAAUCCUCCUUGAUGAUGGUAAAGUUAGGGAAAGAAAAAGAAACAACAAAUCUUAAUAUGAUGUUUCAGGGAACCCUAUCUUCAAUGAAUCAAACUAGUUUUAUGGGGCCUAAUUGACUGGAAGUUCUUAUUUUCAUUUGUCCAAAUAAAGAAAUAUUCAGAAACUGAAAAUCUUCUUUCCUAUCACAGUUCUGAACAAUCAAAGCAACUAUUAAUAAAAAAAAAACACUCAGAAUAUGACAGAUUUUGAACUAAAUAUCAUCUCGAUUCACCUACUCAAGAAAUUUGAUGAGUUUUUGAGCUUGGAAGAGUCAGGUCAAAUCCACAUGUCUGCAAAUUUGGAAGGCAGUGAUUCUACAAUUCAAAGCAUAACUGCUUCAUUUGGAUAUGAUCAUCAGGAUACCACUGUAUGAGCACCAAACUAUUUACAUUGAAUGAGUUGAAUACUAGGAAAACUGAACUACUUCUCUUCAUGGGUCAAGCAUAUCAGUAGAAAUGGGAUCUGAAAGCGCAGGCAUGGAACUACCUCUGAACUUUCUGAAGAAGGCCAAAACUUUUCUUUUUGUUAGCUCAAGUCUAAAUUUAAGAGCAUUUUAAACCCUGCCCCGUCAUACACACUUGUUGGUUUUGAAACCAUACCAUUUUCAUGCUGAUACCUGUCUUUAUGGUUUCAGCUGCUUAAAGCAGAGACUGAAAGUGGAGCACCAUACCGGUAAGUCGGUCAUCAAGAUCAAAGGAUUGCUGGUCACACUAGACAGGCGAAGCAGGUUGAGAAAUGCAUAGUUGUCGAAGGACAAAUUGCAUCCAGGUAAUUUCAGCGACAGUAAUAGGAAGACCAUGAUAUUCGGACUCAGCACUACUUCGUGAGAUAACUCUUUGUUUGGUAGACGACCAUGACACCAGAUUGGAGCCAAGGAAGAUGUAAUAGCUGCUAGCGCUUCCACGAUCGUUUGGGAAUUAUGCCCAAUCCGCAUCUGUGUGGGAUUGGAUGUCCAGAGAGGACGAGGGAUGCAGUAUCAGUCCGUGGGGGGUGGUGCCUUUAAGGUACCUGAGGAUCCUUUUUACACCAAGCCAGUGCAUGGUGGUGGGACGAGCCAUGAACUGACAUGCUUUAUUGGCUGCAAAUAAGAGAUGAGGCCUGGUGUUGGAAAUGUAUUGGAGGGCUCCCACUAUGCUGCGGUACAAUAAGACAUUCGAAAUGGUUCUCCAUCAGACUCAGAUAGGGUUGUGCCAGUGGCUCCAGGUGUGGUAGUAGGCUUGGAAUCCAACAUAGUCGUUCAAGUGAGAAGAUCACAGAUGUACUUAUGCUGAUUGAGAUGUUGUAAUGCAUUGGCAUGAGUGACCUCUACACCCAGAAAGUAGUUAAUAUGACCAAGGUCUCUAAGGGCAAAUGUUGUUUUGAGAUAUUGCAAAAAUGAGAACACCUGAGGAGGAUUGCUGCCUGUAAUUAAUAUACCGUCAACAUAGAUUAAAAGGAGUAUGGUAGCAAUUGAUGUAUGAAGGAAGAACAGAGAAUUAUCAGCCUAUGAACAAGUGAAGCCCCAGCUGAGAAGUGCUGUUCGAAGUCUGAGAAACAAGGCAUGAGGGGCCUGCUUGAGGCCAUAUAAAGCUUUGUUCAAGCGACAAACAUGAGAUGGAUAUUGCGGAUCUACAAAAUCUGGAGGCUGCUGCAUGAACACUUGCUCACGGAGGUCGCCAUUGAGGAAGGCAUUUUAAUUUGGACAUCCAGUUGUCUAAUUGGCCAACCAGAGGAGAGAGCUAUGGUGAGGACUAUGCGAAUGGUGGAUGCCUUGACUAUUGGACUGAAUGUUUCGAAGUAAUCUAGCCCAUGUGUUUUGCAACACGGCGAGCUUUGUAGCGAUCAAUGGUCCCAUCUGGUUUAUAUUUGGGUUUAUAGACCCAUUUGCAACCAAUGAUAUGUCCAUGUUGAGGAGCUGGAGCAAGAGUCCAGGUGUUGUUGCGGAUGAGGGCAUUGUAUUCAGAUGUCAUAGCUUCUUUCCGGUUGGAAUUUUUGAGUGCUUGGUGAUACGUUCGAGGUUCAAUGAUUUUCGGUGCAAAGAACAAUAUGGGUUUGAGGUUACCAAUUUUUUAUCGAGUGAGCAUGAGGUGGGUGUUAGCUGGUUUGGUGAAGAGAGUCUUGGACUGUAAUGCUAAAAGUGAAGAGUUAGUAAAUGGUGCCUGAAUAAUGGAGGGAAUAAAGUGGUUAAAGAAGGAAGGACUGGUUAUAGCUAGUUGGGGAAUGGGUCGUUCACGGGACUGGGUGGUGGUGGAUGAGAAAAGGGUUGGGAAAUGAUGAAGAGGGCUGGAAUAAGGAAUAGCUGAGUGAGGGCUUGAGGACAGGAUGGGAGAGGGCUCGAAGAGUGGUUAUAUUUGAAAUGAGAAGAUGGUUUCAUUGAAAACUACAUGACGGGUGAUGUAGAGGCGACUGGAUAAGAGGUCCAUGCAUAUGUAGCCUUUCUAAAAUGAGCUAUAACCCAGAAAUACACAUUGGACUAAUCGAUAUUGGAGCUUAUGGUUAUUGUAUGGUCGAAUGUAUAGGUAGCAAAGACACCCCAAAUACUUUAGACAUUGUAUAAUCUGGAGGAUGGCCAAAUAGAACUUGGAAAGGGGAGUUAAGAUUUAGGAUUUUGGUAGGUAGUCUGUUAAUAAUAAAUGUUGCAGUUUGGAAGGCAUACAACCAGAACUUCAAGGGUAAAGAGGCUGUGGCUAAGAGGGUUAGCCCGUUUCAACAAUGUGGUGUAUUUUACAUGCAGACCUGCCAUUUUACUCCGGAGUGUGGGGACAUAAACAUCGGUUUAUAAUUCCUUGUUGAGUAAGGAAGGGAGCGAAGGCCCUAAACUCUCCUCCAUUGUCCUAUUGGAGGCAUUUGAUUGUGGAACCAAACUGUUUCUCUACUAGAAUUUUAAACUUCAUGAAUGUAGGUAAGCUUGAUCCUUAGUGUGUAAGGGAUACGGCCUGGAAAAUCUUGAACAAUCAUCAACAAAUAACAAGAAAUAUCGAGCACCAAUAGAGGCUGGAAUGGGUGACGGUCCCCAAAGAUUAGUGUGUAUAAGAUCAAGGAUAUUAGAAGCUUUAAUUGGACUCAGAAAGUGAAAAUGGUAAUUUGUGGCUUUUUCCAUAUUGACAAGCAGUACAUAUAGUAGAAUUAUUGGUUUCAAGAGUUUGAGAAUGUUUGCAACAGGAUGUCCCAGCCUAGCAUGCCAGAGAGUAAACUGCUCAGUUCUUGUGGUAGACGCAGGAGUGUGAGACGCAGUUGUGAGGAAGGUUGAGGAUGACCUUGGUGUUAUGAAGUUCAUACGGAACUUAUAGAUACCAUUUUCAAGAUUGUCGUGGAGUAGAGUUUUCUUCAUGAGGUGGUUCUUCACAAGAAAGGGACGAGGAUAAAAGUCAAAGAAAGAAUUAUUGUCAUGGCAGAAUUUUGAGACGCUCAUAAGAUUUUGGCAAGUUUGGGAACAUGAAAUACUUUGUUUAACUGAAAAGUCUUAAAUGAAGUAGGUAGGAAUUUAGAACCAAUAAGAAGAUAGGAAGCCUCUUACCAUUGCCAAUGAUGACUAUAACUAGAAAUGGGAUCUGUAAGUGCAGGCAUAGAACCUCUGAACAUUCUGAAGAAGGCCAAAACUUUUCUUUUUGUUAGCUCAAGUCUAAAUUUAAUGACAUUUCUCUCAUACACACUUGCUGGUUUUGAAACCAUACUAUUUUCAUGCUGAUACCUGUCUUUAUGAUUUCAGCUGCUUAAAGCAGAGACUGAAAGUGGAGCACCAUACCGGUAAGUUGGUCAUCAAGAUGAAAGGAUCGCAUAAGGUUAUAUUAUUCUCUUGAAUUUAAAAUUUCAAAUCACAUACAAAUGGGAGAAAACAAAAUACAAGAAUUUGACAACAUAAAUAUUACCUCCUCAUAGCAGGGCUAUCGAUACUCUCUAACAGCCUAUACAUAGAACAAAACCAUUUUUUCAUCUUUGAAGAACUUGAGCUUUUAUCGCCUUUGGAAGUUAAAUGCCUUAAUGGAAAAGGCGAAGAUAAAUAAGAAAAGCACCGCAAACCCAACAAUCACAGCUGCAACCACUCCCAGGAAAUCAUGUUCGAACCCAAAAUAGUCAUCCAAGUAUUGUUUCACUGUUACAUUUGUGCCAAGUAGUCUGUCUUCGAUAUCUCCAAACUGUGCUGUAAUCAAUCCAUACAAAGUCCAUGCAACUGGACAUGCCCAAUAAUACCAUCUCCACCACACAGGAAUCCUCUGCAUUCAUCAUGGAAGAAAUGCAACAAAAUGAGACAGUUUCAUAUCCAUGUGCUAAACAAAGUUCCAAUUUAAAGAAUUAUGGGUUUAGAGCACUAACAGUUCCUGGGACGAUAAAACCGGAGAAGAGGUUCCAUAAUGCAUAAAAUGCUACAGCAAUGAUGGCAGCAAUAUGCUGAUUUGGUGUGGCAGCCACAGCCAUCAUGCCAAACAAGGUGAAGUAUAAUAGGCUGAAGAACGUAAAAAAAAAAUAUACCAGAAGAACUUAGCAGUUGUCCAUUCAAAUCCAAUCAUUGCAUAAACUAUAGCACCAUAAACCACAGCUUGCGAAAAGACAUAUGGUAUCUCAACUAAAGCCUGAAACAAGAGAUGAAUUUUGAUUAAUAAAACGCAUAAAGCAUUAGAUAUAUACAAAGUCUAUAGCAUAAGAAAACUUGUUACCUGCGCAAAGGCAUAUGGCAUGGCUGAAUACAUUCCUGCAGCUCUUUCUCUGUAAAAGACUGUCCGUUCAACUACCACGACUGGCUGCACCGAUUGGCCUAUCUGUAACCCAAGGAAGAUAACAGCAGCAUACAUAGAGCCCAUUGCAUUAGAUAGAUCUUGUUGCCUUGUCCUGCAUUUUCCCAUGUGAAGUAAAAAUUGAAGUUGAUAUGGAGAAGCAUACUGAGUUGUCAAAAUUCUUAACUUAAAUCAAAUUACCUUUGGGUGCCGAGAUCCCAGAACAUUGUCCCAAACAUCAAGGCUAUGAAAGUUGUGAAGAAAAAUCUCACUGCCGUGUAUGGUGGAUUGCGCCAGUAUGACCAACGUUGUUUCCAUAAGCAUGCCAUACAUUGGGUGAAGGACUGGGAGUAUUGAGUAGGGAAAUAGAGGUCCUUAGAACCAGGGGUAGGUUGGCUCAAUUCUUUAAUUAAAUCUUUGUUUCUCCUGAAACAUAUGCCACAUCUUAGAAAAAGCCUCAACAACAAAUUCAAGCUUGCAUGAUGAACAUUGAGAUGGCUGUAUAUGACAUUUCAAUAUCAUAAAGCAUUCAGAUAUCCUAUAUUUGAAUCACCUGUAUAUGUCUGAGUUUUUGUAUAUUUCAGUGAAAUCCACUCCCAAAAUUAAUUCUUGUGUAGAAGUGGUAACUUCCAACAUCCAGGUUGCAGGGUUAUAACCAUCUUUGAUUUUACUUACUCCUUCAAUUCCCUAAAUGAAACCAAAUUAAUCCUUCAUAAUGUACCAAAUUUUAUAAAGGAAGUACUAAAUUUUGUCAAGGACGUACCAAAUUUUUUAAAGGAUGUACCAAUGUUGCCAAAGUCCGUUAUGAGGUGGGGAACGACCUUCAAUAACUUCCUGAAGGUCUCCAAAUGAAGAAAUGGACUAUGGAAAUGGAGAUAAGUGUUCCAUUAGCUCAAGGAUUGGAUGUAUUAAAUUUUCUCAAUGAUGUACCUAGGGUUCCAAAGUCCAUUUCGGAGUAGGGAACGAUUUCCAAUCACUUCCCAAAGAUCCCUAAAGGAAUAAACAGACCAUGAGUAAUAAGAUAGAGAUUUCAAUAGCUCAAGUAUGUACCAAAUAUUUUUAAGAAUAUACAAAAUUUUAUAAAGGAUGUACCAAGAGUGCCAAAAUUUGUUUCGAUGUGGGGAAUGACCUUCAAUCACUACCUAAGGGUCCUCAAAGGAUAAUAUGGACCAUGGGAAGAUAGAUAAGGGCUUGAUAGCCUGAGGAUUGGAUGUACCAAAAUUUCUUAACGAUGUACCAAAUUUCCUUAAGGAUGUACCUAGGGUUCCAAAGUUCGUUUCUAAGCAGGGAACGACCUCUAAUUACUUCCUAAAGAUCCCUAAAGAAAUAAACAAACCAUGGGUAAUAAUAUAGAGGUCCUGGUAGCUCAUGGAUUGGAUGUACAAAAUUGUUUUAAGGAUGUGCCAAAUUUUAUAAAAUAUGUACCAAAUUUUAUAAAUGAUGUACCAAAUUGUCUUUAGGAUGUACCUUGGGUUCCAAUAUCAGUUUUAGAGUGGGGAAUAACCUCUAAUUCCUUCUCAAGGGUCCCCAAAUGAAUAUAUGAACCAUGAAAAUGAAAAUAGCGGUUUUAGUUCCUCUAAGAAUUGAUAUACCUAGGAUCCCAAAGUUCUUUUUGGGGUGGGCAAAAACCUCCAAUUACUUAUCAAGGGUCUUAAAAGAAUAUAUACACCUUGAUAAGUAUGAUAGUGUUUUCGGUUUUCCUAAGCAUUAAUUUACCUAUAUUUUUUAAGGAUGUACCUAUUUUUAUUAAAUUAAUAUAAAAGGCUAAAUUCAAUUUUUUAUGAAAAAUAUAUUUUCUUUUAUAUUUUAUUUUAAUUAAAAAUUAAAGAUUUUAACCAAAAAAAAAAAAUUAGAUCCAUAAUCAAUUUAAAAUCAUAAGAAAAAUGAUAUAAGCACCGUCACUUAUUGUGAUUUUGAUAUGAUAAAUUUAAAAUGAAAAUUAAAAGAAAAAUAAUGUAAAUAAUAAAAUAGUAUUACAAUGAUAUUUUUACUUUUACAUGUGAUAGAAUUUACAAAAUAAAUAAAUCUUUUGUUUAGUUUUAAUAUAAAAAAUCUUAUAUCUAAAUAAUAAAAUGGAAUUUUUAAAUUUAAACCUUAAUUUAUAAAAUGUAUUAUUAUAAUUAAUAUUUAAAAUCAUUGUUAUUUGUGGGAUAAUAUUUUCAUUUUUGUACAUUAUAUAUUUUGUUUUUAUUUAAUUUUUUAUAUUAAUUAUUUAUUAUACAUUAUCAUUUUAAGUUUAAUAUGUCAAAAAAAUAAUUAAAAUCAAUAAAUAUAGACAAAUUAGAGAGUAAAAAUAAAUUUAAAUUAAAUUAAAAAAUGCACGAGCAUAUUAAAAAGAAUAUAAAGGAAAAAAAGAAAAAUAAUAAUAAAAACUAUAAUAGGUGAUAAUGGAUUAUGGUGGCAGGAGAGGAAAAAAAAAAGUGGAAAUGUGACGAGUGGUAAGGGAGAUAUAUUGAUGUGAGAAAAAUAAUAAAAAUAAAUUACACAUGUACUUGUUAACAAGUUGUAUUAAAUUGAUGUAUACUUUGUCCUUUACUUUUAAGGGUAAUUAUGGAACAAAUUUGAAAGCACUAUUGGAGUGCAUGAAUAAACAAUAUUUUUUCUCAUUUUACACCAAAAUUAAAAAGAAAAAAAGUAAAGCUCCAAAAUCUCAUAUUUUUUGUAAUUGGUAUAUGGUUAGAUGAUUUUCCCUUUUUUUUAAGCUUGGGAUCAAAUGUGGAACCGAAGGUUGGACCCAUACACAUUAAGCAACCAUCUUUGAAAAACUUGUCCUCUGCACAUCUUAUCAUGUUUGGAAGUUAAAUGCAUUAACGGAAAAAGCAUAGUUCAAAGUCGCAAUAUCGGUUAUUGACUCGGAAAGUCAUGAGGCAUAUCAGUAUCGAUGUCUCGCUUCGAUAUCAGGUGAUACGUAAAAUAAGAUAAUUAAAAUUUUCAAAAAAUUAUAAAAUUAUUAUAUAAAUUAAAAAAUAAUAUAUAUAUCUAUAUAUAUAUAUAUAUAUAUAUAUAUAUAUAUAUAAUUAAUUAAAUAAACUAAAAAUUUUAAUAAAACAAAUUUUUUUCACAUUUAGCUCAAAGUUAUUUGUGAUAAUAUUAAAAUUUGAGGAUUUAAUUCUCACUUUGCCAUAUAAACACUUUAAUUUAUCAUUAAAUCUCAUAUAUACCUUUCAUAUCAUUUUACUUUAGCAAAUCGGGUACUCAAUUCUCUUAAUAUGUUAUUAUUAAAUCAUAUUAAAGUGUUUAUAUGAAAGGUAUUUUCCAUGUAAAUUGGGACUCAAUUCUCCAUGUAAAUCCGUAUAAAAGAUAGUUUUUUACUUUACUAAUUUGAGCUCCCAAUCUCCCACUCUCGCCACCGUUGCUGUCAAGACCCAUAACAGACCUCCCAAUCUCCCACCCUCACACGCCACCAUGCCGUCAAGACCCACAAUAAACGAUACCACCUGCAAUUGUAAAUUUGCAACCAUGUAAGACCUAACAUGGGAAGGGGAGCAAUCUGAUUGUGAGGGGGUUGUCUUGUCGACGUCGCCGAUGAAAGAUUCAGUCCACUUAACGAGUCACCACCGUCGACACCAAAGCUCCACCCUCUGGUGAUGCUCGAUUUUGAGGAAAAUCAGGUAAGUAAAUCCUAAAUCAUGUCCUCAUCCUUCGGUGGUUUCUCCACUUAUUUCCGAACAAAUCACGGUUUGGGUUUUUUUCUUCGUCUUCUUUGAUCUUCUCAUUAAUGGUUUAAAAUUUCAGAAUAGGUGUUUUCUUUUGAAAGGGCAAUGUUUGAUUAUUAUUUUUUUUAAUUUUAUGAAAAUUUUGAAAAUUCUUUGUAACCUCACCGAGUCAACCAAGUUAACUUGGAAACUCAGACAAGUCAAUCGAGUCUAACCGAUUCCCAGCCGAGUUCAUGCAUUAUACUGUAUCUGGUAUCAGUCUCGUCGCGGCAAGUAUCGAGGCAGAUACGACUUGGCUGAGUCAUACCGGACUCAGCUGAUACUUUGAACCCUGGGCAAAAGUGAAGACAACGAAGAAGAGCAAGGUAAAGCUAGUUAACAACCACAACUGCAAUCACUCCCUGGAAAUCAUGCUUAAAUCCAUAAAAAUAAUCCAAGUAUUGUACCACGGUUACAUUUCUAUCUGUUAGCAUCUCCUCUACAUCACCAAACUGUGAUGUAAUCAUUCCAUACAAGGUCCAUGCAACUGGAAAUAUCCAAUAGUACCAUCUCCACCACACAGGAAUCCUCUGGAAUCUAUCAGGGAAGAAAUGCAACACAAUGAAUCAUUUCUAUAUCCUUAUGAUAAUGUAAUUUGGAUUUGAGAAACAAUUAUAUAUGGGUUGAGAGUGCUUACGGUUCGUGGGACUGUAAAGCCUGAAAAGAGUUUCCACAAUCCAUAAAAUGCAGCACCAGUGACGGUAGCAACGUGUUGAUUCGGUGUAGCAUCCACAGCCAUCAUGCCAUAGAAGGUGAAGUACAACAAGGUGAAGAACAUGAAGAAGAGAUGUCAGAGGAACUUAGUGGCCAUCCAUUCAUAUCCGAUCAUUAAAUAAACUAUAAGACCAUAUACAACAGUUGUACAAAGAUAUAUGGGAUCUCAACAUAAGUCUGCAACAAGAGAUGAAAUUUUAGUAGGAAAUGACAUAAAAGUAAUACAGAUCUGCAAUGUCUAUAGCAUAAGAAGACUAGUUACCUGUGCGAAGGCAUAUGCCAUGGCUGAAUACAUUCCUGCAUCUCUUUCUCUAUAAAAGACUGUUCUUUCAACUACGACUGGCUUCACGGAAUGCGGAAUUUUGAAUCCCAAGGAAGAUAACAGCAGAAAACAUAGCACCUAUUGCAUUAUCCAAAUCUAUUGACCUUUUUCUGCAUUUUACAAUGAAGGUAUAAGUUAAAGUUGAUUUAGAGAAACGUAUGAAUUGGACUGACUUCCACUUACCUUCUAGUGCCGAGAUCCCAGAACAUUGUCCCAAGCAUCAAGGCUAUGCCAACUGUGAAAAGAAAUCUCACUGCAGUGUAUGGUGUGUUGCGCCAGUAUGACAACCGUUGUUUCCAUAAGUUUGCCAUGCGUUGGGUGAAGAAGGGUUGGCAGUAUUGAGUAGGGAAAUAGUGCUCCUUUGAACCGGGGGCAGGUUGGCUCAGUUUUUCAAUUAAAUCUUUGUUUCUCCUGAAACAUAUGCCACAUGUAAGAAAUGGCUUAAACAACAAAUUUAAGCUUUCAUGAGAAACCUAUAGUUGAAUCACCUGAAUAGGUCGGAAUUUUUGUAUAUUUCCUUGAAAUCAACCCCCAAAAAUACUUCUUGUGCUGUAGUGGUAACUUCCAACAUCCAAGUUGCAGGGUUAUAACUUUCUUUGAUUUUUACUGACUCCUUCAAUUCCCUUCACAAAAGGAAGUCAUAUGCAUCAGUAAGCACUUGAUAUGAAUUAACUCAAACUAAAGCAUCACUGCCAAUUAUUUUUGCUAUAUGCCAUGGCAACUUAACUCAAAAUACUUUAUCAAUUGGGAAGAAUGUCUACCCAGUGGUCCCACUUAUAUCUCUUGUCCUCCGUGCUUCAUCAGGAGCAACUGCACACCCAUUUUAAAUAAUUCAGUACUUAUCUGCCAAGGAUUAACAAGAGAAACCAUAAAUUAUUUCUGUCCACGAAAAAUUCCUACCUCAUCGAAGGCUUCAAAUAUGUCAAUACUUAGUUGAUGGAUGGUGCACACAACUGUUUUUCCUGUGUCCACUGUGUUCCUAACUGUUCUCAUAAUAAUUGCAGCAGCUCUUGCGUCUAGCCCUGAAGUUGCCUCAUCCAUGAAUAUUAUUGAAGGAUUUGCCACAACUCAACAGCAAUAGUUAGCCUCUUAUGCUGCUCAGUUGAGAGACCAUUCACACCUGGCAACCCAACCAGUGCUCCCUUCAAUGGGGUCAGUUCCAUGAGCUCCAUGACUUCGUCAAUGAACAUCUGUGACCACUAGCAAGGAUUAGAAAUUGUUUAAAAAACAAUGCAAAAUAAAAAAAAUAAAAAAGAAAAAAGAAAAAAUUCACACUGCUUGUGAUUCUUUUCUAAUAGCAGGUUGUGAACUUUGUCUUGUCUUGUUAAACCAAUCAGUUAAUUGAUGGAAAUGGCUCUUUUAUGCUUAAUAACACUUGCUUGCAUGAACUUCACCCAAUUGGAUUCUAGGACAAUGAAAUUUCGACCAACAUUUUUCCUUAGGUGAAGGUCAAGCCAAACUUGAACCUGAUCUUAGCCCAACCAAGUCAAGUUUGAAAAAUCAAUUCUAAAUAGGCUUAGCUUGUUGAGAGCGAUAAAUUGAAUAAGAAAAAUGUGGAAACAAGGAAACUCACCUUUCUGGCAGCAGAAUCCACAUCAGAAGGUAACCGCAGCCAAGCUGAGUAGACCAAGGACUCAUAGACAGUAACAUGAGGAGAGUGGAUAUCAUUCUGCGCACAGUAUCUAGAAAUUCGAGCAAAAGUUUCUUUCUUCUUUAGGUAGCCAGAAAUGGUGAUGUUACCCUCAAUAUAUCCACCAGUUUUCCGACCAGCCAGUACAUCCAUGAGAGUGAUUUUACCAGCACCGCUAACACCCAUCAGAGCUGUAAGAACACCAGGCCUGAAAGCACCACUCACCCCCUUCAAAAGCUCCAAUCUGUCUUCAAGGACACCCUAAUUCUUCAUUUCCUGCAAGUUCAAUUCAAACCACUUAGUACUCAUCUGCAGUUAAAACGUGUAUAUUGUUUGCAUAAAUUUGACAUUACCUGUGGCAUGUCAACUGAGUAUCUAAUAUUAUCAAAGGUGAUUGAAUGUGGUUGGAAUGGAAGAAGCGUUCCUUUUUUCUUGUUCUGGUUAGCCUCAACAACAGCUCUAGACCUCACAGCUGCAGAUGAGAUAACUUGCCCUCUUUCCUCUAGUCUCUCUGCAUGUUGAGCUCAAAUCUAAUUAGCCAUACAAGUUAAAAUGACAACAUAGGCACACAAAGGCAUGCAUACACCAUGUAUGAGUUUCCACCUAUGGAUGCAGUUUGGUCAAUAGAGUCAGUCUUGUCAUUAAUUCUCUUACUCUUCUAUUAUAAAAGCUUGAGGCUUAUCAUAUGUUGCAAGAUUUGUACAAAUUUUAAUAAACUAGAUCCAAUUCUUAUGAGUUCAAAGCAGAGAAGAUAAAGAUGCUCACGAUCUAGGUAAGUGAGAGCCAUAGUAUAACAGAUGUUGAAGUCAAUCAGGAAUCCAAUCUGUGCCCCAACUCCUAGCUAGUACCAGUAUGACUCUGUGAAGAAACCGUGAGACUUUAAUAUUGCGACUCAUAGGGAUACUUUUGAAUUUGUAGAUACAUUCUGAAAAAAAAAAAAAUUGUUCAAUCAUCAGCCAACUUUUGCAGACUGACAUAAGUAAACACAAAUAUUCACAUGGAAAAUUCAAGAACUUACAUGUCUCCAACUCUUCGCGAGGAAUUCAUUUACCAUUAUUGAGGUCUGUGCAUACAUCAGAGGGGAAGACCAGACACCCCAUUUCCACCAUUUCUUGAUAUUUUCUGCAGUACUCACCAAACACAAAAAGGAAACAAAAAAAUCAUUGUUAGGGUUUAUGCAGAAGAAGGUUCGACUUUUCCCAAAAAAAAAAAAAAAAAACUUGCCUCAUUAUACCUCGAGAUAGGACAAAACCACCCAAUGCGAAAAGUAGAAGUGUUGCAAAUGACCCGAAUGUGUUUGCAACAAUCAUGUUUCGACCGGUUGAUGCUAUAAGUCGGAAUAAUGCAGAUGCCAUCUGAUUAACAAUCAAAAGAAGAAGAAGAUACUGUCUAAACAACCUGCAAUGAGAAGAUUUGUUUUAUAGAGAAAACAUGUGAAACAAAUUUCGACAAGUUUCUACAAAUUCCUAACUUGUAACUUUUACCUUUCCACACAUGGAUCCAAUCCGAAGACAUAAUAAGCAGAGAACACCCAAACACUAACUUCACAAAAUGUGAUUAGGAUCUUGAGAAUGAUUGUGGGAAGAGCAUAUGUCCAUGAAGGAAAGAAGAAUAGGUCUCUUUGCUUGUAAAAGACAGGAAGUCUAACAAUGGUCAUGGCAAUUUCUGAUAUUCCAUUAAACAAGAUCAUGAUCACAGUGAAAAACAAAUAACCAAUGUAUAUGAUUCUGUUGAAUGACAUGUCCUAGGAGUCGUUGACAUGGAGCUGAGUAGAUUGAAGUGGAAGUAGUCAAAUAAGUUAGUCAUGUGGAAGAUUUACCUAUUCCUUAGGAAGUAUUUGUUGGUUUGUUUCUAUUUUUUAGGAAGUAUCUAUAAGUAGCAAGUUUGUUGCUAUUUUUUAUGUUUUUCUUUUUUAAGCUAGCUGUAUAAAUAAGUGUUUUAAAGCUUAAUAAAAAAUUACUUCAGAUUCCUCAACGUUCUAUUGCUUCCUGAGAGUUUCUACACUUUGUUUCUAUCAAAACCCACAAAUUGUAUCAGAGCCAGGUUCUUGAGUAACCUGUGAGCCGAUGCACCACCAUCUACCCUAUUUACAGAAAGUAUCCAGAAUGACCUCAGAAGCUUCAUUGAAUGCACUAGCACCUCUAGUGUUUGAUGGAAUAAAUUAUCAAGUGUGGGUUGUUCGUAUGGAAGCCUACCUUGAUGCUAGUGAUCUGUGGGAAGCUGUUAGUGAGGAAUAUGAAGUUCCUCCCCUAUCCGACAAUCCAACUAUGGCUCAAAUAAAACUACACAAUGAGAGGAGGCAAAGGAAAUCAAAGGCAAAAGCUAGUCUAUUUACAGUUGUCUCAUCUACAAUUUUCACCAGAAUCAUGACACUGAAGACAACAAAUGAAAUAUGGAACUUCCUGAAUAAGGAAUAUGAAGGAAAUGAACGAGUCAAAGGUAUGCAAGUGCUGAACUUGAUUAGAGAAUUUGAGAUGCAAAUGAUGAAAGAAUCAGAAACAAUCAUGGAUUACUCAGACAGACUUCUUAGUAUUGUUAACAAAGUAAGACUUCUUGGUACUAACUUUUCUGAUUUUAGAAUAGUUUAGAAAAUUUUUAUAACAGUUCCUGAAAAGUUUGAGACUACAAUAUCAUCUCUAGAAAACUCAAAAAAUGUGUCAAGUAUCACCUUGGCAUAGCUGUUGAAUGCAUUACAGACUCAAGAACAAAGGAGGUUAAUUAUGAGACAAGAAGGAUCUGUGGAGGGUGCAUUUCAGGCCAUAUCUCAGUACAAGAAAGAGAUGCAAAGCAACAAUAACAGAAGCAACAACACUCAAAAGUUUCCACCAUGUCCUUACUGUAAAAAAUCCAAUCAUCCACAAAAAAGGUGUUGGUGGAGGCCGGAUGUAAAAUGUCACAAGUGUGGUCAGCUAGGGCAUGUGGAAAGGAUAUGCAAAUCUCAACAGCAGCAAGGAAAAGUUAAGGCUGUUGUGGAAGAACUUCAAGAUGAGCAACUGUUUGUGGUAUCAUGCUUUGCCACUAGCAGCUCCCUAGAAACUUGGCUUAUAGACAGUGGUUGUACAAACCAUAUGACUUGUGAUCAAGGGCUCUUUAAGGAACUUGACAAGACUGUUACUUCCAAAGUUAGAAUUGGAAAUGGAGUAUAUUUUGCAGUAAAAGGAAAAGGAACAGUGGCAAUUGAAGGCCACACAAGUUUGAAAUUAAUCUCUAAUGUCUUAUAUGUUCCUGAGAUUAAUCAAAAUCUGUUGAGUGUUGGUCAACUACUGGAAAAAAACUAUAAGGUAUUUUUUGAGGACGGUCAUUGCAUGAUUGCUGAUGCACAAGGCAAAGAGGUAUUUAUAGUCCAAAUGAAAGACAAAAACUUUUUCUUGGAUUUGAUGCAAGAAGAACAGGUUGCAAUUCACAAAGAAGAAAACAAUACAAUGCUUUAGUAUAGGCUUUUGGGGCACUUUCAUCAUACCGCCCUUCUCUUUAUGAAGAAGAACGAUCUUGGAGAAGGCUUGCCUGAAUUAGAGGUGAAGCCUCCUACUUGUGUGGCCUGUUGGUAUGGGAAACAAACAAGACUUCCUUUCCCACAAAACAAGGCCUGGAGUGCUACUCAGAAGUUGUAAUUAGUACACACUGAUGUGGGAGGACCUCAGAGAACACCAUCACUGAAUGGUAGUAAGUUCUAUAUUGCUUUCAUUGAUGAUCACACAAGAAUGUGCUAGAUUUAUUUCAUGAAAUUUAAAUCUGAAGUUGCUAACAUCUUUUGGAAGUUUAAAGCUUAGGCUGAAAAUCAAAGUAAAUGUAAAAUGCAAGUGAUCAGGUCUGAUAAUGGAACUGAAUACACCUCGGAGAAAUUUAACAAAUUUUGUGAGGAUGCAGGCAUUGAGCACCAGCUUACAACACCUUAUACCCCUCAACAAAAUGGAGUUGUUGAGAGGAAAAAUAUAACACUUAUGGAAAUGACAAGGCGUUUGCUACAUGACAAAGGGCUACCAAAAAAAUUCUAGGCUGAGGUUACACAUACAUUAGUCUUUCUGCUGAAUAGACUGCCAACAAAAGACUCCAUUUGAAGCAUGGUAUGGCUAUAAACCAAGGCUGCAAAAUUUAAAACAUUUGGUUGUCUUUGUUUCUCUUUUAUUCCACAUGUUAAGAGAGACAAAUUGGAUAAGAAAGCAAAAGCUGGGAUCUUUAUAGGCUAUAGCUCAAUAUCAAAGUCCUAUAGAAUCUACCUUCCAGAAAACAACAAAGUAAUAGUUAGCAGAGAUGUCAAAUUCUUCAAAUCAGAAAGUUGGAGUUGGGAGAAUGAUAAGAAGCUUGUGUUUAAAGAGAAUCUUGAGUUCUAAAAUGACCUUAAGUUUCAAGAGAAGAAUGAAAAUAUUGAUGAUGAACCUAUCAAGGGAACCAGAUCACUCUCUAACAUCUAUCAUGGGUGCAAUGUUGCUAUAAUGGAGCCUACAAGGUAUGAAGAAGCUGCAGUUGAUAAAAAAUGGAUGGAUGCAAUGAAGGAUGAGCUUAUAAUGAUUGAAAAAAACCAAACUUGGGAGCUAGUGGACAAACCAACACACAAAAUGGCAAUUGGAGUCAAGUGAGUUUAUAGAACCAAACUCAAUUCUGAUGGUUCUAUAAACAAACACAAGGCAAGACUAGUUGUCAAAGGAUAUGCUCAGAUGUUUGGGGUGGAUUUCUCUAAGACUUUUACCCCAGUUGCUAGAUUGGACACUAUAAGAAUGUUGUUGGCUCUUGCUGCUCAAAAGGGUUGGAAUAUACAUCAGAUGGAUGUCAAAUUAGCCUUCUUGAAUGGAUACUUGGAGGAAGAAAUUUUUGUGGAGCAGCCUGAAGGUUUUAUUGUUCAAAGAAUGGAGGAGAAAGUAUAUUUGUUGAAAAAGGCCUUGUAUGGUUUAAAACAGGCACCAAGGGCCUGGUACAGCAGGAUUGAUUCACCUUUGUUAGGCUUAGGCUUUACAAAAAGCCUAAGUGAAUUUACUCUAUACUUCAGGAAGGUUUGUGAUGAAACACUUGUGGUAUCUUUAUACGUUGAUGAUCUACUUAUGACAGGAAGCAGUAUGGAGCAAACUGACAAUUUCAAAAAGAAAAUGAAGGAUGUUUUUGAGAUGACUGAUCUUGGGAGGAUGACAUUCUUUCUUGGCAUGGAGAUACAACAAAAGCAGAAUGAGAUGUUCAUAUGUCAACAGAAAUAUGCCAAAGAAAUCCUGAAAAAGUUCAAGAUGGAAUAGUGCAAUCCAAGUGCAACUCCAAUGAAUCAAAAUGAGAAGUUUUGCAAAGAAGAUGGAGCUGCAAAAGUUGAUGAAAGGCUUUACAGGACCAUUAUCGGGUACUUGAUGUACCUAAAGACAACUAGACCAGAUAUUAUGAAUGCUGUAAGUUUACGCUCAAGGUACAUGCAUUGUGAUAGUGAAAUUCACUUCCAAACAGCAAAAAUAAUUGUUAGAUAUGUCAAGGGUACAAUUGACUAUGGUCUGAGGUUUUGUCAAGUUAAAAACUUUACUCUCCAUGGUUAUUCAGAUAGUGAUUAGGCAGGUUGUGUUGAUGACAUGAGAAGUACUUUAGGUUAUUGUUUCAGCAUUGGUUCUACUAUUUUUUUCAUGGUGUUCCAAAAAGCAAGAAGUCAUAGCUCAAUCCACAGUAGAAGCAAAAUAUGUAGUUGUUGCUAUUGUUGUGAAUCAAGCUCUCUAGAUCAGGAAAUUGAUGGCUGACUUGUUUAUGGAGCAAAAGAAAAACACACAAAUACUCGUAGACAACCAAGCUGCAAUUUCAAUUGCAAAUAAUCCGGUGUUCCAUGGCAAAACAAAACAUUUCAAGCUGAAACUUUAUUUCCUAAGAGAGGUACAGAAGGAGGGAGAAAUACAGUUGGUCUACUGCAAAACAGAGAGUCAAAAUGCUGAUAUCUUAACCAAGCCACUUCCCAAAGCUAGAUAUGAGUUCUUGAGGCAAAGGCUUGGAGUCUACAGUUCCAGAGACAAGGAGGAGUGUUGAAUGACAUGUCCUAGGAGCUACUGACAUGGAGCUGAGUACAUGGAAGUGGAAGUAGUCAAAUAAGUUAGUCAUGUGGAAUAUUUACCUAUUCCUUAGGAAGUAUUUGUUGGUUUGUUUCUAUUCUUUAGGAAGUAUCUAUAGGUAGCAGGUUUGUUGCUAUUUUUUUUAUGUUUUUUUGUUUUAAGCUAGCUGUAUAAAUAAGUGUUUUGAAGCUUAAUAAAAAAUUACUUCAGAUUCCUCAAUGUUUUGUUGCUUCCUGAGAGUUUCUACACUUUGUUUCUAUCAAAACCCAUAGAUUCCAUCUUCCAUUGAACAUUUGUGCAUAUGAGUUCUUAGGAAAAGUGUCAUUGCAAUGAGUGCCAUUAUUAUGAGCUAAAAACAUAAAAGAAUAAAUAAAUUAGGAUCGCAUAUUCAAAAUUAUAAGCCAUCAUCGUAAGUAACAAUAAUAAUAACACUCACUUGGAUGAGCUUUAAAAUAUAGACAAAUGAGUUCCUCUUCAUCAGCAAGUGCUCUCUUGAGAGGUAAGCAACCAACAAUUCUUUCUUGCUAAUUCCAUACUUUUUGGUUGUCAAAGCAGUUGGAUGGCUUUUGGCCUUGUUAAUUGGAGUUGCAAGCUCUUUUGCUAGUUGCUCUCCAACAUGAAAUGACUGGAAUGCCUCAACAAAUUCCUUCGCUAUGGCAAACCUGUAAGGCUCAUUUUUUAGUGUCCAAUACUGCUCAUGAUCUUUCCUAGAUGUUACCUGCAAUGAAUUCAGUUUUCAAAAAGACUAAUUGUGCAUCUUAAUAUGUAAAUCUUAUCUUCUAGCUUGAUUUUAUCUAAAAGAAGAAAAUACCAAAAACUACAAAGCUAGAUUUGCACUCACUUCUUGGAGGAAGUCUGUCACGCCCUUUCUUUGAGGACAUUUGAAGCCCAUUGACUAAAAAAAUUCAAGCACAUUUUCACGAGGUCCUUGAUAAACAAUAUGACUAUCAAAGAGGAGAAUGAUGUCAUAAAAAAAAUCACAAGUCUCAAGUGGUGGUUGGAAGAGAGAAAUGACAGCAAUCCCAUUAAGAAUGUGGAUGGUUUGCCUGAGAGAAUUCACAAUUUGACAAGUUGUUGAGUUGUCCAAGCCAGUAGAGAUCUCGUCCAUGAAUAGCGCCUUUGAUGGACCGACCAGCAUCUCACCUAUCAUUCAAACAUUUCUCAUAAUUAAAUUAAAUUAAAUCAAUGAACCAUACAUAUAAAUACAUAUGUAGUUUUUUUCUUAUUCUUUCGGUUAAAAACCAAAUUAUUCAACCUGUUGUCACACGCUUCCUUUGUCCUCCAAAGAUACCUCUUAUCAUUUCAUCUCCUACCAUGAUAUCAGCACAGAUAUCUAAUCCCAGAAUCUGUGGAUAGAAGCAGGCAUAAAGACAAAUAAACAAAGUAUGAGCUAGUAUUGGCUUUUCUCAUAAAUCCGUAUGUCAUCAUUGAAAGUCAUAUGGUUAUAGUACCUUCAUUAUAUGAUCAGUGACCACACUUUUCUUUUGGCCUUCAGUUGCUACUGCCUGAAAUAUUAGAAACUAGUAAUGACAAUAUUAGAAACCAAUUCUGUUCAGUACAUUAAGAAAUUCCGUGGAUAAAAGAUUUUGCAAUAGAGCAAAAUUCAGGAAUAAGAUCGACUCAAGCCAUUCAAAAGAGUACAAAAAGAAGGGAACAAACUCCAGAAUAGACACAACAUCAAGAAUACAAAGCUAAUUUGCCUAUUUAUGUCAAGAGAUCAAAAUUUUCAUUCUAGGGAAUACAAACAUCCAUGUUCUCCACUAAAAGCAAAUAGAUCAAAUUUAGAAGAACUGGUACAAAUUUUAUUGAAAGUAGCUUCUGUCUCACCUUCAUGAAGACAUUGAUAUCAGGAUCAAGCUUAAUGUUUGAUGUUUUCUCUCUUCUUGCGAGCUCUGCUAACAUUUUUGCAGAUAGCCAAAAUAAGAGUCAAUCUCCUAGCCUAUACAAAUGAGAUAUAACUGCAUUGGCAAUCUUCAAAAAUAGAGAAAAUAAAAGGCAAAGGCAAUGGCUUCGACUAACUAAAUCGAUCUCUAACACCCUGGCAUCUUGUAGAGAAGGCCAAGGUUUCUUGUACAGUCAUUUCUCCAAGAUGGGUAUCAUGUUGACUGAUAUACGCAGCAGUUCUCUAUUGUACAAACUCAUUCAUGCCAUGACCAUUGUAUGUCACUCUUCUAGUAACCUAAAGAAGAAAUUCCAGUUUUCAAAUUAGACAUAAGAUAAAACAGCUAAAAUUUGAAUAGUCAUGAUUAUUUUUUUCAUUCAACCUUCAGAUUGGGAUCAACAGUUUGGCGACCCGACCCAAAUAAUAUUGCAUGAUUUUUUAAUGGAAGAUUUACUGAGGCUUGUUGGGCCCGUUUAGCCCAUUGUGGAACCACAUUUUGUAAUUAGAGUUUUUUAGUGUGGUGUGGUUGUCGUGUUAUAUAUAGAGAGAAAAUAUUGUAGCUGCAGUAGUUGUACUCUGUAUUUUUCCCUGAUAAUAGUGAUAUCCCUGCAACUCCGUGGACGUAAGCAAAUUGUCGAACCACGUAAAUACUGUCCUAUGCAUGUGAUUGUUUUUUUUUCUUUGGCGUGUGUUUUUUCUAUUUUUUGUUUCUCACGGGUUAGGAAUUCGCCUUAAUUCCCUACAACUGGUAUCAGAGCCUAGGGUUAGGUUUGAGUGGGAGCAAUGACAGAGGAAGCAGGAAAGGCAUUUGGAAUAGAAAAGUUUGAUGGCAUAGACUUUGCGUAUUGGAGGAUGCAGAUUGAAGAUUAACUCUAUGGGAAGAAAUUGCAUUUGCCUAUUUUGGGGACAAAACCUGAGAGUAUGAAGGUUAGGGAAUGGGUGCUUCUUAACAGAUAGAUUCUAGGAGUUAUUAGGUUAACUCUGUCUAGGUCUAUUGCACACAAUGUUGUAAAGGAAAAUACCACAGCAGAUCUGAUGAAGACUUUGUCUGGUAUGUAUGAAAAGUCAUCCGCAAACAAUAAGGUGUAUCUGAUGAAGAAAUUGUUCAAUUUGAAGAUGGCAGAGAAUGCAUCAGUAGCAUAACAUCUGAAUGAAUUUAAUACAGUCACAAAUCAAUUGUUGUCUGUAGAAAUUGAUUUUGAUGAUGAGAUUCGUGCUCUGAUCGUCUUGACUUUUUUUCCAAACAGUUGGGAAGCAAUGAGGAUGGCAGUAAGCAAUUCUACAGGAAAGGAAAAGCUCAAGUACAAUGAUAUACAAGAUUUAAUUCUGGCUAAGGAGAUUCGCCGAAGAGAUGCAGGCGAAACCUCAGGAUCUAGUUCUGCCCUAAACCUUGAGACAAGAGGCAAAGGUAAUGACAGAAAUUCAAAUCGGGGUAGAUCAAAAUCCAUAAUUCUAAUCGGAACAGAAGCAAAUCUAGAUCAAGCGAACAAGUAUAAUGCUGGAACUGUGGGAAAAUAGGUCACUUUAGAAGGCAAUGCAAAAGUCCUAAGAAGAAGAAUGAAGAUGAUUCUGCUAAUGCUAUAACAGAAGAGGUACAGGAUGCAUUACUUCUUGCAGUAGACAGUCCACUUGAUGAUUGCGUUUUGGAUUCAGGAAUUUCGUUUCAUACCACUCCACACCGAGAAAUCAUACAGAAUUAUGUUGCAGGUGAUUUUAGUAAGGUGUAUUUGGCUAAUGGUUCAGCCUUGGAUGUUGUGGGUCUGGGAGACAUCCAAAUAUCAUUGCCCAAUGGGUCUGUUUGGUUAUUGGAGAAGGUUCGACAUAUUCCUGACCUGGGGAAGAAUCUGAUUUCUGUUGGACAACUUGAUGAUGAAGGACAUGCAAUACUAUUUGUUGGUGGUACUUGGAAGAUUACAAAGGAAGCUAGGGUAUUAGCUCGUGGAAAGAAGACUGGUACUCUAUAUAUGACCUCAUGUCCAAGAGACACAAUUGCAGUUGCUAAUGCAAGUAUUGAUACAAGUCUAUAGCACCGUAGACUUGGUCACAUAAGUGAGAAAGGGAUGAAGAUGCUAUUGUCAAAAGGAAAACUACCAGAAUUGAAGUCCAUCGAUUUUGACAUGUGUGGAAGUUGCAUCUUAGGAAAGCAAAAAAAUGUGAGCUUCUUGAAAACUGGCAGGACAGUGAAGGCUGAAAAAUUGGAACUAGUACACACUGAUUUGUGGGGGCCUUCUCCGGUUGCAUCCCUUGGAAGUUCAUAUUUAAAAGUUUUUUGUUGUGUUUCUUAUGUUCAUAUUGAUUCUGAUGCUCGUAGUAAACUUAAUGCAAAGUCAAAAAUAUGUUUUUUCAUUAGCUAUGGUGAUGUGGUUAUAGGUUUUGGGAUGAACAAAACAGGAAAAUCAUCAGAAGUAGAAAUGUGAUAUUUAAUGAACAGGUUAUGUAUAAGGACAGGUCAACUAUAGUGUCAGAUAUUACAGAGAUAGAUCAAAAGAAAUCUGAGUUUGUCAACUUAGAUGAAUUGACUGAAAGUACUGUCCAAAAAGGGGGUGAAGAAAAUAAGGAGAAUGUAAAUUCACAGGUAGAUCUGAGUACACCGGCCUAUAACUGAAGUUCGUAGAUCUUCUAGGAACAUUAGACUUCCAGAGCGUUAUUCACAUGUUUUAAAUUAUCUCAUGUUGACUAAUGGUGGUGAGUCAAAGUGUUAUGAUGAAGCCUUGCAAGAUGAGAAUUCAAGCAAGUGGAAGUUAGCCAUGAAAGAUAAGAUGGAUUCCUUGUUGGGGAAUCAGACAUGGGAACUGAUUGAAUUGCCAGUAGGAAAUAAGGUUUUGCACAACAAGUGGGUAUAUAGAAUAAAGAAUGAGCAUGAUGGUAGCAAACGUUAUAAGGCUAGAUUAGUUGUUAAAGGGUUCUAACAGAAGGAAGACAUUGACUACACAGAGAUAUUUUCUCUAGUUGUGAAGAUGUCAACAAUCAGACUUGUACUGGGAAUGGUGGCUGAAGAAAACUUGAGCAAUUAGAUGUGAGGACAACAUUCCUUCAUGGUGACUUGGAGGAAGACCUUUACAUGAUUCAGUCAGAAAGAUUCAUUGUUCAGGGACAAGAGAAUCUAGUCUACAAACUAAGAAAGAGCUUGUAUGGCCUUAAACAAGCUCUUAGACAAUGGUAUAAGAAGUUUGACAGUUUUAUGCAUAGAAUUGGGUUCAAGAGAUGUGAAGCUAAUCACUGUUGCUAUGUUAAGUUUUUUGACAAUUCUUACCUCAUAUUACUGUUGUAUGUGGAUGAUAUGCUUAUUGUAGGGUCUAGCAUUGAGGAUAUUAAUAAUCUGAAGAAGCAAUUGUCCAAACAGUUUGCAAUGAAGGAUUUGGGAGCUGCAAAGCAAAUCCUUGGUAUGAGAAUCAUUAGAGACAAGACUAAUGGUAUAUUGAAGCUUUCACAGUCAGAGUAUGUGAAGAAAGUUCUCAGCAGGUUCAACAUGAAUGAAGCUAAACCAGUGAGCACACCCUUGGGAAGUCAUUUCAAACUAAGCAAAGAACAAUCACCGAAGACAGAAAAAUAAAUGGACCAUAUGAGCAAGGUGCCCUAUGCCUCAGCUAUUGGCAACUGAUGUAUGCUAUGGUGUGUACAAGGUCAGACAUUGCACAUGCAAUGGGAGUUGUGAGCAGAUUCAUGAGUAGGCCUGAAAAGUAGCAUUGGGAGGCAGUCAAGUGGAUUCUAAGAUAUUUGAAGGGUUCAUUAGAUACAUGUCUUUGCUUCACAGGUGCAAGUUUGAAACUAUAGGGUUAUGUAGAUGCUGAUUUUGCUGGUGAUAUUGAUAGUAGAAAGAGUACUACUGGGUUUGUUUUUACUCUAGGUGGUAUAGUUAUAUCAUGGGUUUCAAAUCUACAGAAGAUUGUUACUUUGUCUACUACAGAAGUUGAGUAUGUUGCAACAACUAAAGCUGGAAAUGAGAUGAUUUGGCUACAUGGUUUCUUAAAUGAAUUGGGUAAGAAGCAGAAAAUGGGCAUUCUACACAGUGACAGUCAGAGUGCAAUUUUUCUUGCCAAAAAUUUGGCUUUUCAUUUAAAGUCGAAGCAUAUACAAACAAAAUAUCACUUUAUCCGUUACCUUGUUGAAGAUAAUCUGGUAACUCUUGAGAAGAUUUGUAGAUCUAAGAACCCGACAGACAUGUUGACUAAGGGUAUCACUAUUGAGAAGUUGAAGCUGUGCGCAGCUUCAAUUGGUCUUCUAGCUUGAGGACAUGAGGAUGAGUUGUAGGGAUGAAGGAUUAUUUCUUGGAGGAUAGCGGUUUGAUGUUGGUGAUUGAACUAGUCUCCAAGUGGGAGAUUUGUCGGGUUUUGUGGAGUCUAGUUUUGUUUGAUCCGGUUUGGUGACCCGACCUAAAUAAUAUUGUAUGGCUUUUUAAUGGGAGAUUUACUGAGGCUUGUUGGGCCCGUUUAGCCUAUUAUGGAACCACCUUUUGUAAUUAUGGUUUUUUAGUGUGGUGUGGUUGCCGUGUUAUUGAUUACUACCAAAAAGUGCUAUUUUGUAGACCUAAUUAUAAUGGUUUUAAGCACCUUUGAGUAGUAAUCAUAUUCAUUUAACCCAAUUAAUUCAUUAAGGUCCUUAGUAAUUGGUUUUAACCAUUUUGUGGGCAAGUUUACAUAUUUUUAUCAGCUUAUGAAUCAAUUCAAGCAUGCCAAAUGAUGGAGGAGCUACUUGGACAAGUUAUGGCAGUUAUAUAUAGAGAGAAAAUAUUGUAGCUGUCGUGGUUGUAUACUAUAUUCUUCCCUGAUAAUAAUGAUAUCCCUGCAACUCUAUGGACGUAGGCAAAUUGUCGAACCACGUAAAUACUGUCUUGUGCGUGUGAUUUUUUUUUUCUUUGGCAUGUGUUUUCUCUAUUUUUUGUUUCUCACAAGUUGGGAAUUCGGCUUAAUUCCCUACAAAGCUUUCCGGACAACGCCAAUUCAGAACUUGGAGGACCCAAAAGUAACGUCAAUCUGUAGAAAAAAAAAAUGCACAACAAUUGAAUAUAGAUCUUUGAGUAUAUUCUAAAUUCAAAGGAACUAUUCGUUUGUUUUAUUAAGUAAUCCAUUUUUACACUCGAAACGAAUUCAUACUCUCACCUACUAGGUUUGAUGAUUCCGCUAACAUCUCAAAGAAUAGUGAAUUUUCUCUUUCUAGUUCAAAGAAUCUGAAGACUAUGCAAGAUAUUCUUUAAAACAGAAGGAAAAUUAUAAUCUAUAAGUAUACAUAUCGAAAAGAGUAUUUAUUGCAUAGAUAAUGAUCUACAUUUGCAUUGUAGUUACCUCAACUUGAUUAAAAAUGAAAUUAAAGAAUGAAGGCAAAGCUCUGCUUCCUACAUAAGCUUCUCCAUCAAUAGUAAGAUGCUCAUAUCUAACUUCAUUUUGGGAAGUUCAAUCCCAACUCUGAAAAAAUGGAAGAGACAUGAAAACUCAUCAUUAAAAAGUUAAAGAAAGUUGUUUGGUUGGGGAGAAAAUGUAGGAAACAACUAUCAGGCAAACUCACCUAUCCAUACGAUUCUUGAGCUUCAACAAGAACUUCUCAUUGUACUCUUCAGCAAUUUUUAUCAACUGUUCCACUAAAUUCUUCUUGUCCUGAAGCCCAAGGUUGUGUAUAUCAACUUCAAUGGCCUCACCCUCUGAUCCCAGCAACAAACCUUUCCUCAACCGAUUGUAGGUGGGGGGUUUCUCAAGUGCGGCCCAUUUCAAAGCUUCCUCGUCAUCCUCACCCCUCGUAGAUUGGGAGAAAAUCUCGACGUCAGGGGUCCUCCAUCUCAUAGAACCAGCUCUACGAGUUUCAGGAGUCGACAUUGCAAACAAAAAGGAAGAACUCUCCUGCAAAACCAACAAGAACCCGCCAAAACCCGAACUGUUGAAAUUAUAAUCCAAGCUAAAGUCAAACUAAAAGAAUUUUAGGAAUUUGAUCAAUAUUAAAAAUUAUUAUUUAUUUAGAUUUAUAUGUUAAUUAAGACUUUUGGUAUAAUAGCAAUUGGAGUCUAGAAUAUAAACUCAUUUUUCUCUCUCUUAGUACAAUGUUAUGUCUUGUUGUAUUGCUGCUACUGCAUUGUAAAAAUCAUAUAGAAUGGAAGGUUUAUAUAGUGAUUGGUAGGACAGAAAAUGAAGCGUCAAAAGAUUUGAAACUGGUUUAUUUUCUUGUGAUUCUUUAAGUUAUGUUUGGUUUCUAAAAAAGUACUAAGAAAAGAAAAAAAAAUGAUUUUCUCAUGUUUAGUUUCAUAAUGAAAAAUACAAAAGAAAAUAAAAUAUAAUUAAAAUUUGUUAAAAUUUUAUAUAUUUUUAAAUUAUUUAAUCUUUAUAUAAUAGACGAAAAUAAGUAAAAUAACUUUGAAGAAAUAUAUUAAGGUUAUGUUUGGUUCCCGGAAAGUACCAAGGAAAGAAAAAAAAAUGUAAAGGAAAAUGGUUUUCUCAUGUUUGAUUUCAAUAUAAUUUUUUUUUAAAAAAAAUUAAAUAUAAUUAAAAUUAGUUAGAAAUUUAUACAUUUUAAAAUUAUUUAAUUUUUAUAUAAUGGAUGAAAUGAAGUGAAAUGAGUUUGAUGAAACAUAUAUAAAUAAUUUAUUAAUUUUAAAUUUAUUUUUUAUUUUCCUUUAUUUUUUCUUUCCUUCCACUUUUCCUUUUUAUUUUCUUUCCCUCACAUUUUCUCUUUAAUUUUCCGAGAACCAAACAUAGUCUAAAGUAAUUUAUUAAAUUUAAAUCUAUAUUAAUUUUUUUAUAUUUUUCUUUCUUUCUACUUUUCCUCUUUAUUUUCUUUCCUUCAUAUUUUUUCUCAUAUUUUUCGGGAACCAAACAUAGCCUAGAAAAUUGGUGAGGGAAAUCGACUAUAAAAGAGUCUGCACAACGACUUCAUAAUAAUGUACACAUGCCACCAUCUUUUUUUUUCCCUUCAACUUCCUAUAUUAAGACUUUCACAGUUGAUAAUUUUUGGUUUCUUACACUUUCUUUAGCAAGUAAAUAGAAAUGUGAAUUAUUGAAUGUUUUGUUAGUUUUUAAAAUAAGAAGAAAUAUAAUACUUAAUUUUAUACAUGUUUUCAAGCAUGUUUGGUAUGUGAGAUAUGAUAGGAUAGAGUAUUUAUAUUCUAUAAUAUCAAAUUCCAUUAAAUGAAAAAUGCAUAUUUUAAAAUAUAAUUUUUCAAUUAAAUAUGUUAUUUUUUUAUAUUAAAUCCAAUCGAUAUGAUAUUGUGAGAUGACAUAUCCAAUGCAUUUCCUAAAAUAAAUUAUUUCCAUAUAUUUUUAAGAUUAUCAAGUCUAAUGGAUAUAAUAUUCCAAGGUAACAUAUUUAAUGAGAUAGGUAAUGUAACGUUAUGCUUAUAUUUAAUUUGUAAAAUUAAUAAGAAAUAAAAUAGAAUAUAUAUUUUUUUAUAAUAUAUUUUGUAAAUUUUUUUUGGUUCUUCUAUUUUAACCAUAAAUUUAACUUCACAAUAAAAAAAUUAUUUUACUAAAUAAGUGAUAAAAAAUAAAAAAUAAUAAAAGAAAAAUAAAUUUAUAAUACAUAGGAUAAUAUAUCUCACUACUUAUCCUAUAAGGAAUAUAAAAAAGAUAUAGAUAAUAUAUCUCACUACUUAUUCUACCAUGUAUUACAUCCACCCAACCAAACCAUGACCUUACGGAUAUAAAAAAAAUUAAUGUUUAAUAACAUCCACAUUAAUGAAAACAAACAAUUUACUUAUAUAAACUAAACAAUCAAACACUCAAAUGAUAUUUCGCUCUAUUUAGACUAAUGAAAAAUAAACAAUUUAAAUAUUUAAUAACAUUCCACUUUAUUAAGCUUUAAGCUUAGAAUCUUAAAAAAUAAAAAUAAAAAUAAAAAAAAAAUAAAAAUUUACUUUAAGAAUUUUUUUUAGAGUUGUUUCAAAGUAAUGGGAUUAUUUGUUUUUUCUUUUUCAUUUAUGUCAUAAAGCAAAUUAUUUUAAAAUUUAAAAUCAAAAUAUAAAAAUUUAUUUUUUAUAUUAAGAUAAAAUUGUCUUAUAAAAAGUAACAAGUUAAAAAACAAAUAAUUUUAAAAAUGACUUAAGUCUUAACACUAUUAAGUAUUAUUUAGAUGCAAGGUUUAUUUAAUUUUAUUUUUUUUCAAAAAAAGCACCACCUUUCAAAUAAGAUUUAAGCAGGUUUAACCUCUUUGAAAUUGCUUGAAAUCUAGGAGGUUAUUUGUUUUUUAAACUUAAAUCUUAAAGCUAGUUGCUUUAAAAUUUAAGAUAAAAGUAAAUAAAAUAAAAUGAAAACUUUUGUUAUUAAGACAAAAUUUUCUUUUAAAAAUGAUAAACUAAAAAAAUAAUUUGAAAAAUGACUUCCAUCUUAAAGCAACUCUUUUUAUUAGGAUUGCCUCUCUAUCCUAAUUAAAAUUAAUAAUCAACUUGAUUUUGAGUAAGAGAAUAUCAAUGUUAACCAACAUUAUUUUCUAAUAAAAGUAUUUGUGAAAACGUAAACAUAUUUAUGCUUCAAUAAAUGGAAUACAUUUUUUAGUAAUAUAACCGUAUUUUAAUUUUGAAUAAAAAAAACAUAUUAGUCUAAUAAUCGAUAUUCAUAAUUGAUAAUAUCAUACAUUAAAAAUUAUUAAUGGCGAAUAACUAAUAUAUAUGGAUUAUUAAAGCAACUAUGAGCAUACAACCUAUGGAACUUGGUGUAAACUUUUUUGUGGAUCUGUUUUUUCUUUGCUAAUUAAAAAAUAAAUUAGUAAAGCAAUAACGAGCAUAGAAAUUAAUUAAAACAAUAACUAUCACUCAAAUGAAGUAUUAGGUUCUAUUGAUAAUUGUUUUUAAAAACAAUUUUUAGUCUCCAGAAUAAAAAUAAAAAAAACAAAAAAAAAACAAGAAAACAAGUUUGAUAAUAGAAAACAAAAAGCAUUUUAUUGUUUUGUUUUUUUUUUUAAGAAAAACAUUGUAUUUUCAAUCCUUUAAUUGUUUUCGCUUUUUUUUAAAGGAUUACUUUUUAAAAAUAAUCAUACAAAUAUGAAGAAUGAUUAAAAAUAAAACACUACAUAUAAAAAUUAUUUUUAAAACAUAUUUAAAAAUAUAAAAAACAUGUUAAUAAUAUUUUAGGUUUUUAAAUAGACUUUUGUUUUAUAAAAAAUCAAACAACAAUUUUCAAAAAUUAUUUUUAAAAAUUAUUUUCAAAAAAACACUUUUCAAAUACCCUAUCCUACCAACUAUAUAUAUAGACACACACAAUGCUAAUGAUUUUUAAAAGAAAAACAGUCACAUGAAAAAGGUAAUGAUAUUAGAGAGUAUAGAAGAACUUACUAAAUUGAAGAUCGAACAAGUCUUAGAAAAACAUUGUCAAUAAUACAUGGGAUGAUCAGAACGAUUUCAUAUAGCUACUGAGAUUGUCCUCAAAGUUGUUCUUAAAAAACAAAAAUACUAUAAAUGGUUGGAUCCAACCUUUCAAGGAAACCAAAGCCCUUUUCUUUUUUCUUUUUUUGAUAAAGAGAUUUUCAUUUUUUUCCUUCUAAAAGGAACAUUCUAUAUAUAGAAUCUAAAGGUAUCAAACUGUGCCUCCAAGUAGUUUGACUGUAAAGUACAAUUCAAUCCUACGUGUUGAUUGUUCUUUUGGUUUGCUAAUUGGUCAGGCAAUCGAUCUUUCCUCACGUGGUUUCCAUAUUAUCAUUUUUUCAUCUUUUUCCUCAUCAUUUUUAUCCUUUUCCAUAAAUAUAUAUAUAUAUAUAUAUAUAUAUAUAUAUAUAUAUAUAUAUAUAUAUUUAAAUUAUUUCAUUAGCAAUUUGUUGAAGACUUGAAAAUAAAUUAAAUAAGAGAAAUAUUCACAAAUUUUUUACUUAAUUAUUCAUGAUGACAUUAAUUAUGAGAGUAAGGUAUAACCAAAUAAGACUAAGAUGGUGUUUGUUUUUUUACUUAAUUCUAAAUAGAGUCUUAAUACUUAAUAGUGUUAAAUAUUAGGUUGUUUGUUUUUGUAGUAUUUUAUUUCUAUUAAGUAUUAAAAAGUAAAAAAAAUCAAUAUAUUAUUUUCUCUAUUUAGAAAAAGUUACAUAUUUUGGUUUUUUCUAUUUAGUAAAAAGUUUAUAAUAAGUCAUGAAAAAGUAGAAAAACAAACAACCUAAAUUUUAAAACUAAAUUGUUUUCAGCAAAAAGCUAAAAAAACAAACACCACCUAAGAUAGGAAAAAAUGAGACCAAAGAAUUUGUCUCUAAAAGGUAUGAAAAAAUGAGAAUCAAAUAUGAAUGAAGGAGAUAUAGGUAUAAACUUAAUAAGAAAAAUGUUAAUUAUGCUUAAAUCUAUGAAUUUAAGAAAAUCUAAAAUUUCGAUCAUAAUUAUUCAUGAUCACAUCAAAUUUAUAUAUAGGAAUGGUUGAAAAUAAUGAGAGCAAUGCAUAACCAAAUGGUACUAAGAUGGGAAAUAAUGAGACCAAAGAAUUUGUCUUUAAAAGGUAUGAAAAAAUGAGAUUCAAAUACCGAUUAACUAGAUAUAGGUAUAAAUUUAAUAGGAGAAAUAUUAAAUACGCUUAAGGUUAUGUUUGGUUCCAAGAAAAUAUUAAAAAAAUAAAAAAAAAAUAUAAAGGAAAAUGAUUUUCUCAUAUUUGAUUGUCUUAUGAAAAAUAUAAAAGAAAGUCAAGUAUAAUUAAAACUAAUUAGAAACUUACGUAUCUUUUAAUUAUUUAAUCUUUAUAUCGAUUAAUUAAAAUAAACAAAAUGAGUUUGAAGUAAUAAAUAAAAAUAAUUUAUCGAUUUUUAAUCUAUUUUUUAUUUUCCUUUCAUUUUCCCACAAAUUUUUGUGGAACCAAACAUUUGAAGUAAUAAAUGUAUGAAUUUAGGAAAAUCUAAAAUUUGGCCAUAAUUUUUCAUGAUUACAUCAAAUAUAUAUAGGAAUGGUUGAAAAUAAUGAGAGCAAUGUAUAACCAAAUGAUGUUAAGAAAAUAAUGAAAUCAAAUAAUUUGUCUCUAAAAGGUAUGGAAAAUGAGAGUCAAAUAUGAAUUAAUGAGAUACAAGUAUAAAUUUAAUAAGAGAAAUACUAAUAAUGCUUAAAUAUGUGAAUUUAAGAAAUUCUAAAAUUUUGACCAUAAUUUUUCUCAAAUCAAAUAUAUAUAUAGGAAUGUGUGGACCCCGCAUUUCGGCUCAUGCGUUUCCCACUCGAUGGCGAGCUCGAUUUUAAUUUGAAAUUUUGAUUUUAUUUAUUGUUUGAAAAUGACUUGGAGUCGCCACUUAUUUUUGUUUUAUUUUAAAGGGUAAACAAAAUAAGAAAGAAAAACCCUAAGUGUGACUCCUUGUUUUGGAAAAUGUGGUCUAUGAAAAACCGGAUCGAGUUCGGGGGUCAGGUUACUUAUCGAGAAGGUACGGUAGAGACCGUAGCACCCCUCUAAGUCCCUAAAAACAGGUCUCUACUAAUAAAAUAAAGCAAUCAUGGCAAUUGAUGAGUAAAUCAAUAAAUACCUAGGAUGGCCAUGCUCAUGUGAAAAUCAAAACACUCAAUAAGAACGAUCGAAGUGGGAGUGGAGCAUACCUUGGCACCAAACGAUCAGCGUCCAUCAAGAAAGGGGGUUAGCGCACAGUUAAGAAAUAAUAUCAUGCAUGUCAUAGAGCAGAAUAACUCAAUCAUGUACUACCAUCAAAUCAACUAAUUAAACAAUCAAUCAUAAAAACGUGUAUGUGGGGCCCCCACCAAAGCCCGAUUUAUAUUGCAUGAAUUAAUCCCAUAAAUUCCAUUAUUCGGAAUUACGGAAAAUUCAUUCUUGCUUAUUAAAGUCCAUAGGAGCAGAAGAUUGUUUGAAAGCCAUAGCGAAAUUAAAACUAUUCGGGAGAAAAUUAGAUUUUUGAAAUUUAAUUGAAAAAUUGGAAUCUCGAAGAUCACUAGAAAAUUGGAGUUUUAGAGUUUAUUUGGAGAUUAGACUUUUAGAGAUUGAAUGUGAGAAUGAGAAUUUUUAGAAACUGAAUUUGAAAGAGGUUGGAAUUUUGAAAACGAUUUGAAGGUUCGGGAUUUUAAAGAAAAAUUAAGUUGCGAAAAUUGAGACUUUGGGAGUUGAAUUUUGAAAGAUAUCAGAAUCGUAAGUUAUUUGAGAAAUAGAAAUUAUGAAAGUUGAUGAGUAAAAAUUGGAAAUCUUAGAAAUCAUUCGAAGGCGGAAUUUAUAGAAAUAAUGAAUAAGAUGAUAAUGAUAAUGAUAAUGAUAAUAAUAAGUAGUGGGAUAAAUACGGGAAUUGGAGCAUGGAAAACUGAAAAUUAAGUUCGGAGAUUGGACAAUUGGAGUUUCAAAUAGCUAAAUUUAGAAAUUGGAAUUUUGAAGAAUUGAAUUUUAAUGAUUGAGAUUUUUAAGAGAAAUAAAUAGGUAAAUAUGGAAUAAUGUUAUUAAUUAAUCAAAACGAUAUUUGGACAGAUGAAUAGUGAAUAGUGGGAUUUUUAAAUUUAAGUUUGAAAGUCGGAUCUCUGAAUAAUUGGACUCUAAUUAUUGGAAUUUUUAGAAGAAAGAAAUAAGUAAACGUGGAAUUUAUAACAAUGAUAACAAAGAUGAUAUUUGAAUGAAUAAAAGUGAAUGGUGGAAUUUUUGAGUCUCAAGGUUAAAUUUGGAAGUCCGGUUUUUGAAGAAUUGAAUUUUAAUGAUUGAAAUAAAUAAGUAAAUAAGUAUGGAGUAAUGAUACUAAUUAGCAAAAAUAAUGUUUAAACGAGUAAAAAAAUAAUAGUAGAAUUUUUCUAAUCAAGAAUUUGAAUUAGGGCGUUGGAUUUUUAAAGGAUAUGACUUUGAAUAAAUAGGUAGGAUUAUAAUACUAAUUAAUGAGAAUAAUAUUUAGGCGAAUAAAGAUGGAUAGUAGAAUUUUUUUUUUAGAUUGGAGUUUUAAUUAAGGCAUGGGGUUUUCGGAAGAUUGGACUUUAAAUAGACAUGAAAUAAAUGAUUCUAAUUGAUGAAGAUAAAAUUUAGACGAAUUGUAGAAUUUUUAGGAUUGAAAGAUUGAAUUAAGACAAGAGAUUUUUUGAAGAACUAGGUUUUAAAUAAAUAGAUGAAUAUGGGAUAAUAAUCCUGUUUGAUGAAAAUAAGAUUUAAACGAUAGGAUAAUAAUUCCAAUUGAUGAACAUGAGAGACAGAUAUUUGAAGAAUUAAAUUAAGGCAUGGGAUUUUCUUAAAAGAUUCAGAUUUUAAAUAGCUAGAUAAAUAUGAGAUAAAUAAUUCUAAUGGAUGAAAAUGAGAUUUGAACUAAUUAUUGAAUUUUUAGGAUUGAAAAAUUAAAUUUAAAUAUGGAAUGUUUGAAGGAUUAGACUUUAAGUAACUAGGUAAGUAUGGGAUUAUAAUUCCGAUUGAUGGAAACAAGGUCUAAACGAGCUUUUGAAAAAUUAAAUUGAGACAUGGGGUUUUUGAAGGAUUAGAAUUUUGACUUUAAUAAACGAGAUUUAUAAAAUAUGAUAAAUAGAUAUACACAAAAAAAUAAUAAUAAUAAUAAAUAGUUAUAAUGUUUAAGCUAGCCAAAUUGAAUAAUAUAAGCUUCAAGAUAAAACUAUAAUUAACAAUAAUAAUUUGACUUUCAAUUUUCUUUAAGAUGAGUUAACCAAAUGUAUAAAAAUAAGAUGACAAAUAAAAGGGGAUGAUUUGAUUAAUCAAUUAUGGAUAUUAGAGGUUUUGUUUUGUUUUCUUUUUAAAAUGAUUAUUUAGGAAUUGGGCAACCUGAUGGGCUAACUUGAAGUGGGCAUGGGCCACUUUAAUAAGGGGAAUUGGCAUGAGGCCUUCAUCAAUGUAAAUGGGCCUGGGCUCCAACUUAAGCCCAAGUCCAAUGCUAGCAUGGGCGGCUUCAGAGACUCAUCUCCCUCACCAACUUGUCCCGCCUGGCUGCAACCCCUUCAACAUCUCCCCGCGGCGGCGGCGGCUGACUCCAUCACGCCUGGAUGAAGCUGGCAGUCGGCGCGCGCCGCUUUCUCGGCGCGUCCACGUGCUCUACCGGCUGAGAUCGAGCUUCCUUUCUUCACGGUGGUCAUGUGCAUGUCGCCGACGCAAGCAGACGACAGCUGGUUGAGCUCUCUCUGGAUCGCUCUCCCUCCGGCAGCGACGUCGCCCGAGUCAGGUACGACGCAGGCGAGAUCGAAGGCGCGUCCUGCGCGCGCCUCGUGCCUUCUCGUGUCUACAUCGAGCAGCUCUCCAUGCUACCCCGUCGGAUUCGGGCUGCCUUGACCGCCGUGGGAGCAGUGGCUGCGGCGACGAUGCUUGGGAUUAGCACCGAUCCAGAGCUCCUCUUUAGGGGCUCAUCGGUUAUGAAAGGUGGCAGCCAUGCAUGGCUAUGCAUAGCCAUGCGAGGGGAGAGGAAUGGGUGCAGGGACGUGGAUGGGAACUAGGAUAGCUGUGGUGGGUAUUGGUAUGGGUUCAACGCAGCCAUGCAAGGGUGGAGAGAAACUGGAAGUUCUCAAUGCCAUUGAUCAAACAUCAAACCCAAGUGAGGAUCCAAUCUCUUGCAAGGGAAAAAUCAACAAAAUUGCAGGAAGCAAAAAAAAAAAAAACAGAGCAAGCAUUUUCAGGGUCUUGGAUACCCACAGCAAAUCACAAAAUAACCUUCAUAGAUUAACAGAAGACCUUACCUGAAUAUUCCACCACGUCACCUUCCUCUCUCUCGUCUGAAUCCCCCUGCGCCCCCUCUUCUUUUCUCCAAGCUUCAAAAUGUCCCCCCCCAUCACCCCCCGGAACCCCCCUUUUCUUUUUCUUCUCUUUUUCCUCUGUUUGUGUCUUCCUCAGCAAGUCAUCCUGCCUGCUGCUACCCAUCCCAUCUGGUGGCUACCCCUCAUCCCCUCUAGCUGCCCCAGAGCAGCCCGCUUGAGAGGCGGUCAGAAAAACAAUAAUAAUAAUAAUAAUAAUAAUAAGCUAAAGCUCCUGGGGGGGUGGUUUUCUACAGAAUGGUUGAAAAUAAUGAAAUCAAUGUGUAACCAAAUGGGACUAAGAAAAAUAAUGAAACCAAAAAAUUUGUCUCUAAACAGUACCAAGAAAUGAGAAUCAAAUAUGAAUUAAUCAAAUAUAGGUAAAUUUAGUUAGAGAAAUAUUAACAAUGCUUAAAGAUAUGAAUUUAAAAAAAUCUAAAAUUUUAACCAUAAUUAUCCAUGAUUACAAUAAAUAUAUAUAGGAAGGGUUGAAAAUAAUGAGAGCAAUGUAUAAGCAAACAAGACUAAGAAAAUAAUGAAACCAAAAAAUUUGUCUCUAAAAGGUAUGAAAAAAUCACAGUAAAAUAUGAAUUAAUGAGAUAUAGGGAUAAAUUUAACAACAGAAAUAUUAAUAAUGCUUAAAUAUAUGAAUUUAAGAAAAUCUAAAAUUUUGGUCAUAAUUAUUCAUAAUCACAUCAAAUAUAUAUAGUGAUGGGUGAAAAUAAUGAGAUCAAUGUAUAACUAAACUAGACUAAGAUAGAAAAUAAUAAAACUAAAAAAAUUCUCUAAAAUGUAUGAAAAAAUGAGAGUUAAAUAUGAAUUAACAUAUAUAUAUAUAUAUAUAUAUAUAUAUAUAUUUAAUUAGAAAAAUAUUGACAAUCUUAAGUAUAUGAAUUUAAGAAAAUCUAAAAUUUUGGCCAUAAUUAUUCAUGAUCACAUCAAAAAUAUAUAGGAACAAUUGAAAAUAAUGAAAGGUAUAAUCAAAUGAGACUAAAAUAGAAAAUAAUGAAACCAAAGAAUUUGUCUUUAAAAGUUACAAAAAAAUAAAAAUAAAAAAUGAGAGUAAAAUGUGAAUGAAUGAGAUGUUGGUAUAAAUUUAAUCAGAGAAAUAUUAAUAAUGCUUAAGCAUAUGAAUUUAAGAAAAUCUAAAAUUUUGGUCAUAAUUAUUCAUUAUCACAUCAAAAUAGGACGCUUGAAAAUAAUGAGAGCAAGGUAUAAUCAUACGAGACUAUGAUUAUCAAACUACUUCAAAAUCAAAAUCCUUAAUAGAAUCAAAUCAUCAAGAUGAUGUUAGUCUUUUUCAAAACAUUGAAGAAAAUCUAAGCCAAAGUUCCAAUCACCAAGAAAUAUGCAUAAAAGAUAUUUGCCGGCCAAAGACCUUAAAUGUAAUCACUAUGGAAUAAGAAUUAAUUUUAGAAUUAUUUAUUAAGGUUAAAGAUUCUUCAAUAAAAACAUAAUUAUGUGAAAUUUGUAAGAAAUCGAUUUCUAAACUAGAAAUGAAAAAAAAAAAACUAUAAAACCUUAUAACUUCUAUGAAAUCUUGACAAGAUUUAACUAUAAUUCCCUAAGAAAGUGAUUAUUAAAGAUCUUCAAUAGGAAACAAGAUGAUGUUAGAAGUUAGAGAAUUAAGACAAUACACCAACAUAUGUUUAACAAACCUUCAAGAACAAAUUAAUUAGAUAGUAAGUAAUAAGAAUCGAUCUUUAAAAAAUGCAAUGUUUCCCUAAUAAUUGUGAUUAACAAUGAGUUCAUCGCUAAGAUUAAUUGUUGUCUUAAUAGAUUCAAGAGUAGCUUCUUUAUGGCAUGCUAAUAGGUCAAACUUAAGAUUAGGUACAAUUUGUCUAAGGCUUAUAUCAAUAAUCAAGGGAUAUGCACACAACAUUUAAUUUGGUAUAAGAUUUAAGAGAAGAAAUAUUCUUGAAAUACCCUUUUUAAUUGUCUGGCCUAUCACUAGAGUAGAUGGUCAAGGUAUAAGACUAAAUUCUUAAAUCAAGAGACUCUUUUUGAAUUUGCAUAUCCUUGAAAAAGAAACCUAAAUAAAUUAAGAUCCUUGAUUAUUUCUAAAAAAAUACAGGCUAAGGAUAAUCAUAUCAAUUUUUUAGUUCAAGAAGUUAGAUCUAAGAGAAUUGAAGAACAAUUAGAAGUUAAAAAGACUCAAGAUGUUAUCCAAUAAUUCAAAGAAAAGUUGGUUAGAGAAGCCUGUCCUAAAUUCCCUAAUGUAUUUUGGCAUAGGAAUGAACAUGUUAUGGAACUACCUUACAACCUAGAAUUUAGGGAAAAUGAUAUUCCCACUAAGGCAAGACCAAUUCAAAUGAUUCAAAAACCAUUGAGAUAUUAUGAAAAGGAAAUUUAAGAACUCUUUAAAAAAUUAAUAAAAAAUCCAAAUCUCCUUUAAGUUGUGUAUGCACAAAUUUCUUGAAGUCUUGCAAAACAACCAAAAACUAUAGGAAAAAUAUAUGUGAUCAAAACUUUAUAUUAAAAUUAAUUGAUUGUGCGGUAUAGACUCAAAUAUAAUAUUCUUUACAAAAGAAAAUUUUCCCUUUAUUCAUUCACUUUGAUUACAAUCCCAAAGAUGAUGACAAGAGUCUUUUCUUGAAUUUUGAAAAUCAAUCCAAUGCCUAGAGUGAUUUUCUCAAAUGAACUUGUUAAAUGAUGAAAAACACGUAUAUACUUUUAUUGUAUAAAAGUAUAAAACACUUUCACAUUUAUUUUUAUAAUAAUUAUAUAAUGUAAUUAAAAAUAAUAAUGCAAAUUAAUUAAUAUAAUAAUUUCAAAAUAAUAAAAUACAAAAGACAUGCAAAUAAAAUUAAAUAUUAUAAUUUUUUUUUCAUUUUAUAUAUAUCCUUAUAUUUAAAUAUUAUAAAUGGUCUAUUUAAUAAAAUUUAAAAUAUUAAUAUAUUUAUAUUUCUCUUCAUCAUUUAAUUUGAUAUGUCAAAUAUAAAAAUGAAAUUAUUAAAAUUUUUAAUUAUAUAUAAUUUUAAUUUCUUAUAAUUAUUUAAAAUUUUAUAAUAUAUAAAUUAUUAUUUAUGAUGUCGAUCGAGGUCCGACCAAUGAACCAUGAACAAGUAACUUUUCUAGUUCAAUCACCAAUCCAAUUAAACAUUGAUCAUAUGACUUGUAAUACAAAAAUUCAUGGCCCCACAAUUGAUUUUUUAUUUAUUAUUUUAACCAUGAAAUGUGGGCCCCCAUGUUGUUCUUAAAUCUUAAAUAUCAAAUAAAAUGAUGAAAUAUUUUUAAAAUUUUAAUUAUUUAUAUAUAUUUUUUCACUUAUUAUAAUAAUUUUUAAUUUUCAAACCGGUUCAAUCGAGUCAACAACCAAUCCAAUUUUGAAAGCAUUGGUAAAUAUAGGCAUAAAACUAUUGGAAAUAACUCCCGCCUUUCCAAGGAAGGCCUAAACUUCCCUUCUUGCUUGCUGAAUUCUAAAUUUAAUAGCAUUGCAAACGCUGCAGAUUAAAAACACAGGUCUAGUUUUUUAUAGUUUCUAUAUUUUCAUCCUAUUAUUUAUGUCUUUGGUACUUAGAGCAGAGAUUGAAAGUGGAGGCCCAUACUGUUAAGUUGGUAACCAAGGAUGAAAGAAUAGCUCAAGGUUCUAUUACUGUCUGGAAUUUCAAAUUACAUAAAAUUGGGACGACAAAGAAAUUAAAGAAUUUAAUAUCCUAACAUCCUACGUACACAAAGAACAAAACCUUUUUUUUCAUCUUACAAUCAAAUGUUGAACUGAAAGGUUACAUACAUAAAAUAACCAACCAUCCUUGAAGAACUUGUGCUCCGAAUGACUUCUUAUCGCCUUUGGAAGUUAAAUGCCUUAAUGGCGUAGGCAAAGAUGAAUAAGAACAGCACCACAAACCCAACAACCACAGCUGCAACCACUCCCAGGAAAUCAUGUUUGAACCCAAAAUAAUCAUCCAAGAAUUGUUUCACCGUUUGAUUUUUGUCAAGUAGUGUGUCCUGUAUAUCUCCAAACUGUGAUGUAACCAAUCCAUACAAAGUCCAUGCAACUGGACAUAUCCAAUAGUACCAUCUCCACCACACCGGAAUUCUCUGUAUUCAUCAAGGAAGAAAUGCAACAAUAUGAGUCAUUUCUAUAUCCAUGUGGUAAGGAAAGUUGCAAUUUAAAGAAUCACAGGUUGAGAGCACUUACGUUUCGUGGGACUAUAAAACCUGAAAAGAGGUUCCAUAAUGUAUAAAAUGUUGCGGCAACAAUGGAAGCAAUAUUUUGAUUUGGUGUGGCAGCCACAGCCAUCAUGCCAUAGAAGGUGAAGUACAAUAACGUGAAGAACAUGAAGAACAGAUACCAGAAGAACUUAGCGGCAGUCCAUUCAAAUCCAAUCAUUGCAUAAACUAUAACACCAUACACAACAGCUUGUGCAAAUACAUAUGGAAUCUCAACUAGAGCCUGCAACAAGAGAAGAAAUUUGAUUAAAAUGCAAAACAUAUUAUACAUAUACAAAGUCUAUAGUGUAAGAAAACUAGUUACUUGUCCAAAGGCAUAUGGCAGGGCUGAAUACAUUCCUGCAGCUCUUUCUCUGUAAAAGACUGUUCGUUCAACUACAACGACUGGCUGGACCGAUUGGGCGUUCUGAACCCCAAGGAAGAGAACAGCAGCAUACAUAGAACCCAUUGCGUUUAACAGAUCUUGUUGCCUUGUCCUGCAAUUUACCACGUCAAGUAUAAAUUAAAGUUGAUAUAGAGAAACAUACUGAGUUCUCAAAUUUUUGAACCGACAUCAAAUUACCUUUCGGUGCCCAGAUCCCAGAACAUUGUCCCAAACAUCAAGGCUAUGAAAGUUGUGAAGAGAAAUCUCACUGCCGUGUAUGGUGGGUUGCGCCAGUAUGACCAACGUUGUUUCCAUAAGCAUGCCAAAAAUUGGGUGAAGAAGGGUUGGGAGUAUUGAGUAGCGAAAUAGAGGUCUUUUGUACCAGGGGCAGGUUGGCUCAGUUCUUUAAUUAAAUCUUUGUUUCUCCUGAAACAUAUGCCACUUGUUAGAACAGGUUUCAACUACAAAUUUAAGCUUUUCAUGAGAAACAUUAGGAUGGAUGUAUAUGACUUUUCAAUCUUAUUAUGCAAUUAGAUAACAUAUGGUUGAAUCACCUGUAUAGGUCUGAAUUCUUGUAUAUUUCAGUGAAAUCUACCCCCAAAGUUCCUUCUUGUGCUCCGGUGGUAACUUCCAGCAUCCAGGUUGCAGGGUUAUAACCAUCUUUGAUUUUACUGACUCCUUCAAUUCCCUUUAUGAAAGCAAGUGAUAUGUAUUAGUAAGUGCUUGAUAUGAAUUAACUCAAACUGAAGUAUUCACUUCUUAUAGCUUCUACUUUAUCAUGGCAGCUUACCUCAAAAUAAUUUAUCAGAUGGGAAGAAUGUCUACCCAGUGUUCCCACAUAUAUCUCUUGCCCUCCACGCUUCAUCAGGAGCAACUGCAAAUCCAUCUUAAAUAUUUCAGUGCCUAUAUGCAAAGAGAACAGAAGAGAAACUAUAAUUCUAUCCCUUAACAUUUCCUACCUCAUCGAAGGCCUCAAAUAUGUCAAUACUUGGCUGAUGGAUGGUGCACACAACUGUUCUUCCUGUGUCCACUGUGUUUCUGACUGUUCUCAUAACAAUUGCAGCAGCUCUUGCAUCUAGCCCUGAAGUUGGCUCAUCCAUGAAUAUUAUUGAGGGAUUUGCCACAAGCUCAACUGCAAUAGUCAGCCUCUUGCGCUGCUCGGUUGAGAGACCAUUUACACCUGGCAACCCAACCAGUGCAUCCCUCAAUGGGGUCAGUUCCACAAGCUCCAUGACUUCCUCAAUGAACAUCUGUAACCAUUAGCAAUGAUUAUGAAUUGUUUAAAAAACGUUGCAAACCAUAGUAGAGAUGGUAAAAAAUUUGACACUGCUUGUGACUCUUCUGUUAGCAGGUUGUGAAGAGGUUUCCCUAGUCUUACUAAAUGGAUCGGUUAGUAGAUGCAAAUGCUCAAUAACACUCAUUAGCUUGCAUGAACUUCACCCAAUUGGAUUAAAAGUCAGUGAAACUUGAACCAGCACUUUUUCCCAGGUGAAGGUCAAUCCAAACUUGAACCUGACCUUACCUCAACCAAGUAUAAAAAGUCAAUUCUAGGGCUUUGCUUGUUUAGAGCACUAAAU